rnacentral:lncRNA from 1 species
GUACACACACCCACAGACCCAGGUUUGUUAGGCCAUCCGUGAAGGAGUUAUUUAAGUUAUUCAUUGGUGAAUUUUUUAUGCACCUUUGUCUUGGAAGUGAUGUCUCAUAUGUGUCUUUCUUCCUGACUUUUUACUAUCAUCUUCCAUUGCAUGUGGUUAUUUUCUUUUCCUGUCCUUGAAUAUACACCAAUGAGAUAGUAAGAGUUCAACCUAUCUUCCCCACUGUCAAAUAACAUUCAAUGUUAAAAGCUUGUGUUCAAAUUUUGUAUGAAUGAGUUUGCUGCUUUUAAGACUAUUAGUUAAAAGAGUUCAGGACAUUUUUACUGAUCAGCAGCCUGUGUACGUCAGAAGCUAUUUUAGUGUACUUCUAAUGGAUUUGAAAAGCUGGGGAAGUGCUUUGUUAUCUAGGCAUGGGUCUUAAGCUUGAAGCAUGCUCUAUGUUGUUGGAAUAGCGAGUUGCUGAAUUUGUGCACUAAAUAGGGCUCUAGGAUACAAUUGGUGCAGAAAAUUAGAACAGAAGUAGGGAAGAAGAAAUUUAGAAACCGUUGCAUCCAUGGGGAUACUAUUUUGUACCAGUUCUCCUUUUCAAACUGCCAACAUAGAGAUCUGAUACAUCACUCCUACAAUGGACAACCUUGCAUAUUCUCCAAAUCUCAUGUUAUUUCAUAUGCAUCAAUAACUAUCUGUAUUCGUCUACUUCCAUCAGUUGCAAGUAUAGAAGACUUUUAUAUCCUGAUUGCUGAUUGAAACCUGAACAAUUCCAUGAGAACAGAAACAUCUGCGACCAAUCGAACUAUUGACUUCUAAAGAUGAGAAUCCCUCUGAAUCCUCCUAUGGAGAUAAGAGAAUUAUGUUUCAAAUAUAGAUAAUCUUUUCUUGCUGGCUAUUCUAUGUAAACUGUUUUCUUGCUGGUGGUGAUCUAUUGUCUUUCCUUACUUUUUUCUUUUCAUUAAUUUUUACAAAAUUUGAUUGACUUUUAGCACUUUUGAUCUUAGAAGAAUGCUUCUUUCUACAACUUUUUUGCUAACCCGGUUCUAUCUUGAUAGCUGUAUUAGUUUAUGAAAUCUUGGUUAAAAAAGUGACAAUUAGCACAAGGAUAAUCAGAAAUUGAUUGUACAAUAGAUGGUCUAGGGGCAGAAUACUCGAGUUUGGGAGCAAUUCUGACAUAAUUGUUUGAUAUGAUUGUUAGCAGAGAAAUUGCGGUUUAAUGAAAUGUAAUUCUUGAAGACAAUAGCCUAUGGCUUUUAUAUACUUAUGCUACUGAACUUGUGCUACUGAACUUGGCUUUUAUAUACUUAUGCUACUGAACUUGUGCAGAAUCAGCAUGCAUGAUAUUUCUUCACCAUCUUUUUUUUUUGUUUAUAGAUUGUCUGAUUGAUUCAUCCAAUUUCAUUUUUCUGAACUAUCUCAAUGGGAAACCUGCUUGCAGAUAAUGCAAAUUAACAUGUUUAAGUCUGGUAUUUUAGUUUAUACACAUGCUCAUACAGAUAAUGCAAAUUAACAUGUAUGAUGACCUGCAAAUCUACAAAGAAAAUGAAGAGGGUGGGGAUUUGUCUGUAAGAACAGGUAAUGCGACUUGUAUGCAUGAAAAAAUAAGAACAAGUUUAUUAAAACAACUAGAGCCAGAAUAUAAUGGAAGAUUCUGAACUUUUUUUGUCAGUGGCUGUUUGGCUUCUUUACCUUUUGGUUCUGAGCCAGAGACUCCACGACUAGAGCAAAUUUUGCACCAUGGCAUGUCCUGCUUGGCAUGUUUAUAUUUUUCAUGCCAAUAUUGAGGGCUGUGACCGGCUUGAUUGAGAAAUUCACCUUCACGGGCUUAGGAAGAGGGCAAGAAGCAUUGAUGGUCAACUCUCAGUGCAGGUUUGAAAAUAAGCUACUAGCUAGUAGAUCAAGUUGAUGAUUUGAACAACAAAAUCUUGCCCCCUUCAAUCUGCAAUUUGGCUAUGUCAAAUCAGUAAACUGUUAAGUUAAUUCUGAAAAUUUCUUAAAGCUCUAUAAAAAUGCUGGUAUACAAUAAUCAAGGAAUGGCCCAUAAGCUUGAGCCUAUAUUUAUAUAAUAGUUCACAUACAAUAGUUCACAACCCUGUUUGCAUUAUCAUUCUUUAAUCACAUAAAACCAUCAUAAUUGAGGAAAAGUUGAAGUGUUGUAACCACGUCUGCAGGCUAUCACCAACAGGCAGGAGACCCCGCCACAAAUUCCAAAAUCAAUAACAUUGCCAGAAAGACAUACUUUCCACUCACAGAGUUUCUAAUCUACACACAGGACUUCAAAUCCAUAUGUGAGACCACGAGUUCUAUAAAAGCUUGUUCAUUUAAUUAAACUGUAACAAUACAAAAUUGCAUUAGACUGAUCCCAUAGAAUUAUCCCUGCCAAGAAUUGCAAAAUUAGAAAGUAAUCAGCAUCACUUCGCUCUAACAUCUGUUCUGACUAAAAUGGUACUGCAAAUCUACCUAUAGCACACGAAUUUGGGAAAGAAAUUCAAGAUAUGAAAGCCAAUCUACGGUCAGACUUCGGCCACACCAAAUAGUACAACUUGUGUCUGAAAUAUCAGUAGCGUAACCUUUUUUCCGUAUCAUAGUUUGCCGAUAUAAACUACACAUGUAUGAAAGAUCAGCAUGAGAUAAAACAAAGUUCAUUACCUUUGCAACAGCAAGUGAGCUUAAGAACAUAUUACAACACAAUUCAGGUGACUGAAUGAACAGAAGAGAACCAGCGUAAAAGUUCCUGUCAAUUUCCAAUGCCAAACGUACUAGUGCAUGUUGAUUACUCACAGUAAACCAGUUCAUUGGCAGCUCUAACACACACAGAUUUAUGUGAACAAGUACACAAACUCUGAAAAAGUAAAGUGCGGUUGUAAAACAAAGCAAAGUAAAAGAAUGAGAGAUGUGUGAUUGGAUCAUAACCCGGGAUAGAUGCUAAAAUCCAGAUCAACUAUGAAAUGAAGACCAAAAAUUCAGCACUACCAAGAAGAAUGAAACAAAAAAACUCGCAUUCACCAACCUUUCAUAUAUAAUCUGCACAGAAGGAUUUUGAGAACGUACGCUAAGAGCUGCCUUCUAAAGCAUAAAAAAAAUCCCUCCUCCUUCAUCCGGACUUGGGACCGGCUGUGUGAUGUAUUGUGUCAACACAGGUGGAGUUAAAAAACUUCAUGUCUCUAGUGCCAAGCAUGAUAAGCCAUCUCUUCACGAUCAUAGACAAGUCACCUUGGACAAUGAAUACCCCCUAUGCCAUUCAAUGCGAGGAAAAAUUGACGAUACUCCCACUCAAAAACAUGUAGAGCAGGCUGUAUCAAAUAGCAAUAAUUGGUUAAUUCCCAAUCUUCAGCAUGUGUGAGGGAUGAAAUGUCAUCUAGCCUAGUAAAGGAAAUUUGUUCGAGCAUAACAAUUUGAUAUGAAUUCAACACUAAUUGGCCCAUAUGACAAUUAUAUUAAAGAAAGAUGGCGUGCUCACAGGAAUUGGGUUAAAAACGUCCACAAGACUCGUCUUAACUUUCCAUCCACAAUCAAGUUUUUUGGUUUAAAAUCCCAAUAUACCUAAAAGUCGAAGGUCCAAGUGAGAUCUAGGAUUGCUCACCAGAACCAGGGCAUUAACAAUGGUAACGACAGUGGUUGGCCUGCACUAUAGUUGCGGUGGGGUUCCCCCCAUUGUCCCUUGAUGUGUGAGUGCAAGGACUUGGCUGCAGCUUGUUAAUAGAUUUUGUUUUUCGACUGCAAAGCUGUCCCUCUUGUGGCAAUUGCAAUCCCAAUUUUUUUUCAGAAGCACCUUUUUUUUGGUGCUAUUUUGUGCUCUUUUUGCACUUAUUCAUUUUUAGAUCUCCUGAGAAUCCAACUGGCUCACUCAGGAGAUGUUUGGCAUGGGAACCACAAGUGCACCCUCAGUUAUUAUUUGGUAUAGCGAGACUCCCGACUUGGCUUACUCUGCAACAACCGAACAGGGAACCACAACAGAUACAUGGCACUAACCUGCCCCUGAUUGCUUUGUCGCCUCACCAACUUAUUAAGUAUAUUAAGAUGUCAACUCCAAUCACUAGGCGCAGACUUCAAGUUUUAACUCAUACUUCUUUCAGUUUCUAAGCCAAGGUAGAAAUGGAAAGAGGCCAAUUAGGAUUUCAUUCACAUCAAAAGCUACACCGUCGCAUUAUCACACAAUUACAGGGCUAGUUGCUAUACGUGCAAAGGUGUGUGAAGUAGCCUUAGACAGAUUCCCAAGUAUAGCUAACUUCGAUGCCUGAAAGUGGAAGUACCUAUCAUUUUCACCUCUGCUAUUUAGGCACAUUUAUAGGGAACUCACUUAGACACACUAAUAGGAACUCAACUGAUCAUCAGUAGCUAUUAAAAUGCACACAAACAGUUAAAAAGUUAAGAACAUAGCAUUUAUAGGCAGGCUAAAUGGGGCAAAAAAGAAUCAACUGCUGUUUAAUUAACAAAAGGACAGAUUUAAUUAUUGAUCGUGUAGAGUAUUUAUGAGACAUUAGAGUGGCAGAUUUAAAAUUAUGCAUUACCCUUUUUUUCUUUUGAAAACAAUAUCACCUCAUGCAUAGUUGAUAGAUACGUGUUAGGUAGAGCUAAGCGAAUUUUCCAUUUUUUGGGAAAAAUAAGACAUUCAAUGCCUUUUUUUCAUUUUUAAAAUUUUUUCUGUUUUUAAAAAAAAUUCUUUCCCUACUAAUAAAAAAGUAAAGGAAUAAAGAAACCAAAAUCCUUUAGUUUUUUGGAUUUUUUUUUCAAUUUUUCGUUCUUUACUUGCAAAUAAAAAAGUAAAAAGGAAACCAUAAUCAUUUUUCAAUUUUUUCUUUUUUUAAAAAAAUGCUUUUUCUACUAAAAAAAGUAAACCAAAAAAAGAAACCAAAAUAUUUUUGUGUUUUUUUGGAUUUUUUGAUUUUUUUGGUCUUUUCUGUUUUUGUCAAUGUUUUUUGUUCUUUGCUUGCAAAUAAAAAAGAAAAAAAGAAACGAAAAUCUUUUUUCACUUUUUUUGAUUUUUCAAGUUUUUUAAAAUUCUUUUCCUACCAAAGUAAAGUAAACAAAAAAAAAAAGAAGCCAAAAUAUUUUUGUGCUUUUUUUGUCUUUUUUUUUCAAUGUUUUUUGUUCUUUGCUUGCAAAUAAAAAAAAAAAGAGACGAAAAUCUUUUUUCACUUUUUCGAUUUUUCAAUUUUUUUUGAAAAUUCUUUUCCUACCAAAGAAAAGUAAACGAAAAAGAAGAAGCCAAAAUCUUUUUUGCUUUUUUGGAUUUUUUGAUUUUUUCAAUGUUUUUUUAGCAAAUAAAAAAGAAAAAAAAAAGAGGAAACCAAAAUCUUUUGUUUAAUUUUUUUUUUGUCUUUUUUGUUUUUUCAUUGUUUUUUGAAAUUUCUGAUUCUCUUCCUAGAUACUAACCUAAUUACUUAGCUAAUAAACAAAUAAACCAGUGAAAGAAAUUGAAAAUUUCAAACCUGUUGUUGCGCUUUGCCCGCCAAAUCCUCAGCAACUCUGGAAAGGGUCCUCAAGUUCAGUUUCACGAUCGUAUCCACAAAGGCACACGCCUCUUCUUUCGUGUUGGCCUCAGCCGCAUCAAUCACGUAAGUCUCCACAACCACCGUCUCAUCGCCGCCAUUGGGGUGUAGGCUCAUGAUCGAGCGAUAGUUCGACAAACGGUGGUCGCCGCUGACAAUGCUGAACCCGAAGAUGCACUGAUCAUGAUCAAGAGUCUCGAGCCGCUCGAUGCUAUAGGAGGCUGGAAGCCCUGACGCGACAUCCACACGGCGUAAGCAUCCGACUUGGUUCGCUUGGCCAUCUAUGAUUUUGCAGGAUCUCACAAACGGCUUGUAGCGUUGAGGAUUUUCAAAGUCGGAAACCAGAGCCCAAACGACGGAGGCAGGAGCUGCGAUAGUUUGGAACAAAGUAGAUGAACAUUCGUUCGGCUGCAAAACAGGGUUGUGGUGGCUGGAAACGGUUGUGGGAAGCUGGAAAGCCAUGGUUGCAGGAAAUUUUUUUAACAAUCUUCAGUGAAAAUAACGAUGGAAGGAGUUUUUGUGAGGAAGUUAGAAGAAUAGUAACGUGUAUUUAUAUAUAGGCGUAGGAGAAAUUCCUCCAAUUCCUAAGAGGAGGAGAAGGAUUAGGAUUAGGAUUAUGAUUUCCUAUGUGGAAAAGGAUUGGAUAUCAUGUUCAAUAUAAAGACUCGUUAGAAGUUAGAACUGGCAGCGGCGCAAGCUAGCUGGAGAACCAUCCAAAUUUGGGCUAAUUGAAUUGCGCCAUUAACAAUGGGGUAAAAUAUAGAAAAGCCCUUUGAGGUUAAGUGAAUGUACAGAAAGCCCCCCUAUAGUUUCUAAACAUAUACUCCGAUGCCUCAUAGUUUGAACUAAUUUUAAAACGUAAUGCAAAUUGUUCGAAUUAACGAUUUGAAAUACACACGCUUGUUUUACCAGUAUUUAUACUGGAAACAAAUAAAUUUUCAAUUGAUAUACCUAUUAUACUUUUAGAGUUAUAAUACUGAAAAGCCUCAUGUGAUUAAUCAAACCUACAGAAAAUGCCUUUAUUGUUUAAAAUCUUACAAUCUAGUAUCUCGUGGUUUUGAAUUAAUGUGAAAAUCGGCAAAAAAUCAUUUAAAUUAAUGAGUUUGAGGUUGUUUGACAUGUAAAAUAAUUUUUUUAAAUCAAAUUUUUAGCUGAUAUACCUAUUAAACACCUUAGAACUCAUAAAAUUUUCAAAAACAACCCAAAACUCCCAGAUACAACUCACCUUUAUUUAUUUCUAUAAAAUAAAUAAAUAAAAAUUCUCAAAUGAAACUCACUUUGUUUCUAUACAUAAAAUAAAUAAAUAGAAACUUCCAAAUACAACUUAUCUUAUUCAUGUGCACAAAAUAAAUAAAUAAAUAAAAACUACAUGUAACCAUAGGGGACUUUUCCAUAGAUUGAUUUAAUCACAAGGGAUUUUUCCGUAAGUUUGCUUAAUAGGAUGGUUGUUAGAACGUGUUUUAGUGCUUAUAUAUAUUAGGAUAAUUGUAUUAUUUUGUCUACCUCCGCUAGUUUUGACGAUUUUUGUUGCUGUCUUAAAUUAGUUCAAAUCAUGAGAGGUCAAAAUGUAUGGUAUGAAAUCAUAAAGGACUUUUCCGUAGGUUAACUUAACCACAGGGGACUUUUUUGCAUUUUACUCUACUUUCAAAGAUUGAACUGUUUCAUUUUUUUCCUAUUUUAUUAUAAGCAUAUACGUUACAAGUUUGAACAUAACAAUUCAAUAUUUUGAUUAGAGAUCUUUUUUUGGGAUAGUUUAAGUUAUAAAAAAUAAUAUAUUUAUAGAAAAGAGGUCAAUUUGCAGUAGUAUGCCAAUAUACUAGCUUUUUUUGGAUUGCUAUUCUCUGGUAAAAAAUCUCAUUUUUUUGGGAAUAUUCCAUUGAUACAUUUUUCAAUGAUUUUUUUACUUCAUAUAAAUCACAUCUAAAAAAGUGUUACAAUAUACCCUUCCAAGAAAAUGCAAUCCAAACAAUAUACUUCCAUGAUCAAUCAUAGUAGUAUUGUGAUUAGGAACCUUUUUUGCAGUUAGAAUAAAAAAAGAAAAAAGAAAAACAGAACCUAGACAACAAAAUCGAUUAUGUGACUUGACUUUCAUGAUUACUUGACAUAAUUCUAAUCUAGGUGAAGGUAACUUGUAGUAUUUUCGGUUUUUUUUUUCAAAGGUCAAAAGGUAGUUUGGAUAAAAAAGAAUACGAGUACUAAACUAUAGGUUUAAAUUUAAAUUCAUUUGAAUCAAAAAAGGGAAGGAUAUAGGCUUGUCAUUGGGCCAUCUGAAGUGAGGUUUAACAAACUCAGAUUUGACUCAUAUAGUUAGUACCACUUUUGGAUUUCGAAUUAUGAGAUUUGAAGUGAUAAAUAUGAAACUCAUACUUGACUCACAAAAUAUCCGGAUUAUUAGUUUAAUUCUGACUUAACUCAAGCUCACUUAUAACUCCUUAAUUUCCUUAAUAUAAUUACUAUAAUUAUUAAGUUUUAAACUAAUUUAAUAUCCACAGAACCACAACAUUAAAACUAUAUAGGAACCCGUAACAGUUCAUUAAAAAGUAUAUAAAACCAAGAAUUUUUCAACAAUCAUAUAUCCAAUUAAUUUAAUGCACAUGAAAAUUAAUAAUAAAACAUUAUCAACAGUCAAUACAUCUUCAAAGGUCCUCAAUUUGCUCAUACUAAGAUUUGUCUUUCUAAUUCUUUUGACAUAAUUUUGUAUAUUUAAUAUUCCUUAAAUACAUAUGUGUAUUUUGACAAAUAACUCAAGUAUUAGUAUUAUAUAUUUAGAUAUAUAAUUAUAUAUAUAUAUCAAAAUAUGAAUAUCUUAUAUAUAAUUAUAUAGAUAGAUGCAUAUUAAAGGGUCGAACCUAUAUUGAAUUUGACCCUAAUAAGAUCUAAACUCUACUCAUAUUUAAUUCGGGACUAAUAUUUAGACCCAAAUUUAACCCAACUCAGUGAAAGUUUAGGCUCAUUAGACUUUUUCUCGGAGCCGAGUUCAAACUGACUCGGCCCUAGUAAUGGUCCUAGAAGGAUUGCCUCAUAUUUUUGUGCUAAUUCAUUCCCUCCCAAAAUGAGUAAGAAAGGGAAUUUGGGAUCAGAUAAUUAGAGUGGGGGUUUGCUAAGUUGGACAGGUUAAUUUGGUAAUUUUGAUUGUGUAUGUUUUAUUAGAUAUUAGGAAUAUGUGAAUUUGCCAAAACUUGUAUGUCUUUAAGAAUUUUAAAUCUUUCUAUUACUACUUCUCAAAAUUUUUCCAAAGGGAGAAACACAAAUUUGACUCUCAGUGUUUGACAUUUAUAUCAAACCGGUCUAUAAUGUAUCAGCAAAACAAAUAUGGUCUCUAAAUUUUCUGAUUUUAACUUUACAUUUUUAGUCCCUAAUGUUUGAAGUUUCAAUCAAUAUGGUCUCUUAAGUUUCUUGUUAUAGUUAGGGGUUUUAAAAUGGAAAAAAAAAAGUGUGAAUUGAAUUAAAGAUAUGACAAAUGUCAUCCUAAACCCUAUAAAAUUUCAUAAAAACACUUAUAUCAACAUAAUAACAUCGUUGAACUUAAAGAGUUUUAUUUUUUUUAAUAAGGUAAACAACAAAAAAGCCCCCUGUGGUUAAGCAAUCAUACAUAAAAGCCCCCUGUGGUUUCAUAUCAUACCAGUCGAUACCCCGUGGUUUGAAUUAACCUGAAAAGUGGACGGAAAUCGUCAAAACAGACGGAGCUGAGUGAAUAGACGAAAAUACCCUUUUGAUAUAAGCGAAAAUUGCAGAAGUAAUUUUGCACUUUCAUUCUAUCGAAACCAACGAAGAGAGAGAGAAAGAAAUAGAAAACCCUAGAGAGAGAUAGAGCAGCCCCUUUUCUAGCCAAUUUUCAGCAAAAAUUUCGAUUGUUAUUUCAAUCAAAUAUCAAGAUCGGCGGAGAAUACGAGGAAGUGAAGAUUUGCGGUAAAAAAUCGAAGAAAAAUGGGUAUCAUCUCUCAUCUAUUUCGAUUCGGGUUUUGGGGCAUGUUGUACAAGAAAAAUUGUUAUUUACUGAUUUCAGAUUAAAUUGGGAGGCCAUUAUUUAACAAAGAUAGCUUUUUUGAUGUAUUUACGAAUGUUGUUAAUGAAGAUAAAGGUUUUUGACGUAUGCCCAACAAACCUAGCUGCAUAGAUAGAUAGUUUAAGCGUCCCUUUCAAAUUGGUAAAGUUUUGAUAAUUUUUGAAAGCUUAAAAAGAGACAGCUUUAUAGAAGAGGUCCCUCCAAAAACGCGUUUAGCAGCUUUGGUUCCAAUGCCUCAGUUGUUUGGGAUGAUAAGGCUACGUGUUUCAGGUCCUAAUCUGGUCAUCCCUUGUUUUUGGUCAGACUCAAUUGUUGAGUCUGACAGUCCGUCUUUUUGGCUUGAAGUUAUACUAUCAAAGUGCAGUAUUACUUCUAUUGAUCAUUUACUACUGUUAAAUGCCAUGAUUAGCCAAGCAUGCCAGUUUCUGUAAUCUGUCAUUAUCUUAAUAUGGCUUAUAUCGAGACAUGUUGUGGUCCAAUGUGGUCCCCAAUUGUUUGUUCUGAUUGUAUUAUGUUAGUUUUUUGUGUACUUGUGAAAGACUCUGAGAACUUUAUUGCUUGUCACGGUAUCAUAGAGGAGAAAUCCGAGGACAAAGUUGAGAUACACAUGUAUUUUGGUGGGAGAUUUAGAGAAAAACCAAGGCUCCACUACACAGGAACCCACACGGCUAUUUUCAAAGACAGAAUUGAAGAUAAGUUAUCGAUAGUGAGCCUGUGCAGAAUGUUUAAAAAAGUAGAUGAAGGAGCAAAUAAAGUAACGUUUUGGUUUUGUGUCCCAGAUGUUGAUUUAGAAGGUGGUCUACACCCAAUUAGGGACAAUAAUGAUAUUAAUUUAAUGAAGCAGUGCUACUGGAACUUGCCAAUGGAAAGGCUAAUUUAUGCUUGUAGUGGGGAUGAGCCAUUUGAAAAGGAUCCAGAAUAUGGUGGGGUCAGUAAUGGAAUAAAAAAUGAAGGCCUUGAUACAACCUGUGGACAUGAAGAUAGUGGGGUCACUAACACUACGGGGACAGGUGCAUGUGAAGAUGAUGAAGAGCCAGAAUGGUUAAAAGAUGGGUUGGAAACAAUAGAAGAUGAAGACAUCUUUAGCCCCAAGAAAGAUACUGCUGGACCCAGCAACUAUAACAAAAAAGGUGGGGCAGGGGCAGAUGGAGACAUAAAAAAAUUGCCAGUGCAUGUAUUCUCAUUUGGUGGAAAGACAGAUGAAAAAAGUUCUCCUAAAAAGGGUUCUGUGAGAAAGAAAAGGGGGCAGCAAAACUUCACAAUCUUGAGGGCCAGAUGUGAUUCGGCAAAUUGACCCACCUGUUUCAUCUCAAAGGCCAUCAGAUGCUGAAGAUGUAAGCAUUGAAAAAUGACAUGUUUCAUCUCAAGGGCCAUCAGAAGAUGAAGCUGCAAACAUCAAAAAAAUCUUCUGCAACAUUUAGAGAAUCAGAUUUGAGAGAAGAAGAUGAAAGGGUAGGGAAUACUGAGGUAACUGAAGAAGAUUGGCAAGAACCUGUGGUUCCAGAUGAAGAUUUGCUGGACAGAUUUAGAUCUGGUAGUGGAGAAGAAGAUGACUGCCUUGACUUCAAUCCUGAAGUUGAGUUUGGGAAGUCACACUUUGAGCUGAAAGUGGGGCAGAAGUUUACUAAUUUUAGAGUGUUUAGAUCUGUGUUGUGUGAAUGGCUAGUAAGAGAGGGUUAUGAAGUUACUUGGGUGAAGAAUUACUCCAAAAAAAUUAUUGCCAUCUGUGCAAAAGGUUGUAGUUGGAGGAUUCGGGCAACACCAAUUCAAAAUGAAUCGACCUUCCAAAUAAAGUCACUGAAGGGUGAUCAUGUGUGUGCUCGAGAAUAUCAAAAUAAGCAUGCAACAGCCUCAUAUCUGAGCAACAAAUAUCAAGAGAAGAUCAGGGAUAAUCCAAAAGUUGAUUUGAUGGGGUUGAAGAAUGACAUCAGAAGAGAUUUAAUGAUCAAUGUGUCAAUUGCUAAGGUUGGUAGAGCUAAACGUAAGGCAAAGGAUAUGAUGCUAGGCACGGACAUGGAGCAGUAUCAAAAACUCUGGAGUUAUGCAGCCACAGUCCGAGACACAAAUGCUGGAAGUACUGUAAAAAUGCAGAUUGACAAGCCUCCUGAUGGUUCAAGGGGUACAUUUCAAAGGUUAUAUUAUUACUUAUAUGCCUGUAAGAAGGGUUUUCUUGAUGGUUGUAGACCAAUAAUUGGUCUAGAUGGCUGUUUCCUUAAGAUAGCAUUUGGUGGACAAUUAUUAUCAGCACUUGACAGAGAUUGCAACGACAACAUGGUGCCAAUAGCAUUUGCAGUGGUAGAGGUAGAGCGGUAUGACUCCUGGAAAUGGUUUUUGGAGUUGCUAAUGGCUGAUUUGGGCAUGGGAAAAGAUGACAUUCCUUGGACCUUUAUCUCAGAUAGACAGAAAGGGCUUAUGCAUGCUGUGAAGGUGUACACUCAACCAAGCUUUUACAUUGAUUUAAUGAGUUUCAUAAAAACAAACGGAGUUCUGAUAUACAUCUAAGUUCUCUUUAUAUAUGUAAUUGCAGCCUGUGCGUGGUACGAAUAUGAGUGGGGGUAACAGUGCUGAUGCCACCACUGCAACAGCAACCACAGCCACAGCUCCAACUAUUACUGAUGUCUUGCGCAAGUUAAGGCCAAAGAGAUCAAAAGCUAUCCAGCCUUAAUUACCUGCCUAAUAGUUGUCUAGCUGUAGUUAGACCUUCAUUUUGGAAUAUUACAUGCAAUUGCAAUGAUAUAUGCAACUAUCUGGAAUGUACAAUGAUUGGUUGUCGAUGAAAAUGUAAUGUCUACUGAUCUGCAUACAGUUAGCUUAUGUAUUUACUAUUUUUGUGGUAACUGGAUGAAGUUCUUGGGUACCAGAUUUUGGUUGUGUGAAAUGGCAACCAGAUUUUGUAGUUACUGAAUAAUUCUGGAAACAGUGAUGGAAUCUAUGUUCUGCAUACACUUGGCUUAUGUAUUUACUAUUUUUGUGGUGACUGCAUGAAGUUCUUGAGUACCAGAUUUUGGUUGUGUGAAAUAGCAAGCUGAUUUUGUAGUUACUGAAUGAUUCUGGAAACAGUGAUGGAAUCUAUGUUCUGCAUACACUUAGCUUAUGUAUUUACUACUUUUGUGGUGACUGAAUGAAGUUCUUGGGUACCAGAUUUUGGUUCCCUGAAAUGGCAACCAAAUUUUGUAGUUACUGAAUAAUCUGGAAACAGAUUUUGUAGUUACACUCUUUGUUCUGGAAAUAGUUCUGAAUCUAUGUUCUUGGCAAGUUGAGAUGAAUGUUAUGCAGAAUGGCAACUGGCAACUAGAUUCAAUUUUGUCUUCUUUUGUUUGUCUUCUAUAUCACUUGCUGUCCAAUCUUCUUUUGUUUGUCUUCUGUAUCGGUUGUUGUUCAAUUUUUAGCAGGUAUAUUUCUUACUCGUAGUAGAAACACCAGAACAAAUCUGACCAUUAUUCGGUUGGGGUAGACACCAAACAAAACUCCACAACUAGUUGAGCUAAGACUACCUGCUGAAAUGCAGCUAGUUGAGCUAAGACUACUAAUGUGCAAACAAAACUCCAACUAGCUUAUUUCGUUCAUUUUUUGGUGUUUUCAAAAUGCAGAUUACCAAAACAAAACUACAAAAUGUCGAUUACCAAUUUUGUUCAAUUUCACUGCAACAAAACUCCAUACAUCACCAGCAGCCUACCAACUAGCAAUUUGAUAGAUGAAGAACUACAUCAUCAACAACAGCCUACCAUUAUCUUAUCUGGUAGACAUCAACAACAGUAAAAUAGAAAAGAUAGAUACCAUAACACAACCUCCAACUAGCAAUUUCAAAUUCUUCAUUUCAUUGUCCAAAUUUUCCAGUUUCGAGAGCACGCCACCCAAAUACGCAUUUUCUUCAACAGGUUGGCUCACUACGGGAAUAGGUGCAUCUCGAUUUGGCUCGUCUCUGUAAAUUGGGUUACACCAUGAAAAGAACCCACAUUCAUCUUUUUCACACACAAAAUAUAACAAUCCUUUCGAUGGCUUUUCCGACUCAACAAUCUUUAGCUUUGCCUUCCUUCGACAAUUACAUACCUUGUACUGGUAUCAAAGACCUCUGCCUCCAUUUCCCCCGCUUGUUGGUCGAGAGCUUGAGGAAGACAUCUUGGGGUACUUUCUCCACUUUUCCUUCAGAAUUUGCAGACCGAAUAUAUACAAAUACAGUUCACAUUUUUACCUUAAGGCUUUGUUUCCUGCAAUUCCUUUGCUAGCUUGCAAGCUCUGCUUGAUUGAUUACUUGCACAGGCUUCGAAUGCUGCCUUCAAUCUUCAAUUUUGGCCGAACAUGAAAACUCGGACUCGGAAGACUUGGAAGCUGGUCUCUUAUUAUUAAAGAGUGAAGGGUAAAGUAGGCAUAUCUAGGGAUGGCAACGGGGCGGGGUUGGGGCGGGGGACCCCUCCCCGCCCCCCGCCCUGUUGCCUAUUAGUUCCCCCCGUCCCCCGCCCCGUCCCCCGCCUCCCGCUCCCCCCGCCCCGCCCCGCCCCCGCCCCGCCUUGCCCCGCUUCCCCCGCGGGUGCCCCCGCGGGGUUAAUAAAAUUUUAUAUUGAGAAUAACGUAGAUUCCCAAAUCUUCAUGAUCAUUACCCCAAACACAUGAAUAAAUUGAGAAUUUUGGGUCAAGGAGCUUUUCCAAUCGGAAAUGGUAGUUCUGCUCAUAGGAUUUUGCAUCCCAGAGUUCGUGUUGAAGCUAACAACAUUUUGUCCAAGAAUCAAAUUUGUGACUUUGAUCAAAUAUUUUCAUGAUAGUAUCCAGUGCGAAUUCCUAGUUUUGAAGCUGCUUUAAGAGCUCAUAGCAAACUCCAAAGUUCCUGGAAAUAUGAGGCUGGCCCUCGAGUGAGAAGCCAAUCAGAGGCGAAUCAAUUGAUGAAUAUGCUUUGCAAGUAUGUGGUUUUGGUCCUGCUUUAACUCACUAAUUUUGAAAGGAUGAUGCAAUUUAAGAUUACUGGACUGUAGUAAAAGAACCUAGAACCCACCUAGAACAUUUACAAUGCGGUAAUGAUCGUACAAUCCUGUAACAAAAGAUCAUAGUGUAUUAGGCACAAGUAGCUAUGUAUCAUAUACCAAGCAGAUUGAUAAGGUUGUGGGUAAUCAAUUCUUUUCUGCUCAACUACUGCUUUGCUUGGCUUAUAUAUAAUUAUAUAUAUAUAUAUAUAUAUAUAUUUUUUUUUUCUUUUUUGUUUUGCGGGUGGCGGGGCGGGGGAUGGGGCGGGGGUAUACUCCCCCGCCCCCCGCCCCGUUUCUAAGCCGGGGGAAAAAAUUCCCCCCCGCCCCAACCCCCGCCCCGAGAGCCCCCCGCGGGGCGGGUGCCCGCGGGCACCCGCCCCCAUUGCCAUCCCUAGGCAUAUCAGGUGAAAGUUUGUGGUGGAAAUUUGUUUUUCGCAUAUGCACGCGCCUUUGCAGUUCGUUUAAGACACACGCCGAAUAUUUGACGAUUUCCGUCCACUUUUCAGGUUAAUUCAAACCACGGGGUAUCGACUGGUAUGAUAUGAAACCACAGGGGGCUUUUAUGUAUGAUUGCUUAACCACAGGGGGCUUUUUUGUUGUUUACCCUUUUUAAUAAGUAACAUUCAAAUGACAAUAGAUACAUAAUAUAUAAAAUAAAAAGGGAAAAUUAUAGUAUUAAUAUAAAAUUUAUUAUCAUUCGUGCUAGUUCUCGCAUGGCUUGUGCAUAUAGACCUUAAAUUGUUAUAGUUAGGAAUUGUAAUUAUAAAAACUAGCAAACAUAAAUACUAAUAUGAAGUGUUUUUACUCAUUAUGGGUUAAUUAUCAAUUAAUUACUAAUAGUAUAAAACAAUAAUUACAUAUAUAAUACCAAAUUUGAGACCAAUUAUACCAAAGGGAAGAAGUAUAUCAGACAUUAAUGGCAUGAAUAAGUGAAGUAAAAAAUAAAAAGUUUAAUUAGUAUUGCUAGUACCCAUUUAAGAUAAUUGUGUUGUAAUUCGCAUCUUAUUUUAUUCUAAUACCCUCAAUAUCACAAUGGAAAACUUAACCUACUAAAAUGAUUAAAAUUUCAAACAUUAUGGUCCAAAAGUACAAAAUCAAAAUUGUUAAAUAACAGUAAUUAAAUUUUUGACUGUUAGUCAUUGUUAACUUUUCGUCAUUGUUGAAUGUACCUACUACCAAAAAUUUUAAGAACCAAAUUUAUUUUGGUCAGAACAUUAGAGACUAAUUUAGCACAUAUGCUAAAAAUUGGAGACUAAAAUUACAAUUCUCCAUUUUUAUAAAAGAAAAGUCUACACCUUUUUUUUGUUUUAUUUUUGUGCACACAUGUGAUUUUUUUUCACCUUUGAUAUCACACAACGGUCCAAACCGACUGACAUUAGUUAAUAGAUUCAAUUGUUAAAAUGACUUUGUGAAUUGUGAGGGUGGUAAUAUGUAGAAAAAUUCUAUUUGGUAGAAUUUGGGUAAAAUGAAGGUGCGUUUGAUAAAAUUAAAAUUUGAAAACUAAAGUUUGAAGUUUGAAUUCCAUUAAGUUAAGUUGUUGAAUUGUUAAGUUUUUUGCCCUAUUUGAUAACCUAAUUCAGCACUUAAAGUUAAUGGAUUCAGACAAUAACAUGUGCUAGACGCAUUUGAUAACCAAAAAUUGCACAUCUGAAUUAAUUAAAUGACACUGAAUUUUCUAAACAAAACUUGCUCCAAAAAAGUUUGGUAAAGUUAGUAACGUAGUUCAAAAUUUUGCUUUUUUUUUUAAUUUUCAAAUUUUUGCAAAAUUUCCUAGUGUUUAAAUGGGUAAAUCAUAAGCUUUCCGUUGAGUUGUUCUAUGCUAUACCUUACUAUUUGAAUUAGGACCAUGCAUAUGGUUUUACAUAUUAAAAGUGAUCAAGGACAUGAGAUAGGAUUUGCAUAGAUGGAGCUUAGUCGUGACAAGUGUCGAGCAUGUAUAAUAAUAAAUAUUUACUCGAGUAAAAUAUAAAUUUUGUAUAUAGUGGUGAGUAGGAUCAAAUUCAUAGUAACUAGAAAAAAUUCAUUUCUUCUAGAGCCCAGAGGACGAGGAAUUUUUAUAAAAUUGAGAAUAUUAAACAACUCGAAUAAAAAGGACGAAAUUACAAUUAAUUGAAAUUGAAUCAAUAAUAAACAAACUCUAGCCAAGAAAUAACUUCAGAGAUGGUUCACUCAAUUAAUCACUGAUGCAAUAAUAAUUUCAUUUACUCACUGAUAAGUAAGUUAAAACUGUCAAACAAGCGAUGACAAUCAAUUUCUCCUUAUGGUAUUGGUGAUUAAGAUACGACUGUUAACCACUGUCCUAUUCAAGAAAUAACCCUAAGUACGACUUUAGACCUAUGUUUUCAGAAUCGGACCGGAUAUCGACUCGGUCGAGCUUAGGGGUCAGGGAUCAAUGGGUUCAACCAGGUUCGAUCGGGGUUGAAUCGGAUGAUGUCAUAAAUAAAAAUUAUUUAAAAAUUAAAAUAUUAUAUGUAAAAUACCUAAUAACAUGUUAAUAUUAAUAAAGAUAUAUUCAUAUAUAUAUAUAUAUAUAUUGGAUGUUUCAAAUAUAUUUAACAAGAAAAUACAAAAAAAUUAGAACAAUCAAGUAGCAAUUUAUAUUAUUUAAUGGGCAUUAACAAGUUUAUAAUUAAAAUUAUGAACUUAAUUGAAAUAUGCACCAAACUUUAAGGCAACAUUUAUAAAGUAAGAAAUAUUUGAGGUAUAUUAAUAAUUUUUAACAACCUAGGAGUCAAAACAUAAUAUUAACAAUAUUUUACCUUUCAAAAAAAAGUAAAAAGAAAAAGAGUCUCUUGGUUUAAUCUUGUUGGUGGGAUGGGACCGUGCAGGAAUAAAUUCCCAAAAAGAGGGAGUUUUAAUCUAACUUCCCAGAGGAUGGUGAUUUUUGAGUCUCUUCCUAAAGGGUGAAAAAUACAUCCAAGAAAUGUGUCUUUUCAAAUAAAAACGUAAUUUUCAAAUACGUCAUUUUAAUUUUCAUAAAUUUAUUUAAAUAGGAAAAAUUGGUUAAAUAACGCAUUAGUGGAAUGCAUUUUUUAAUAAGAAAACGCAUUUCGGCAAUGCGCUAUUGUUUAAGAAAUGCAUUAGAUGUAUUGUUUAAGAAAUGCAUUAGAUGAAUGUGUUUUUCGUUUAUCAAUAUGUACCACUUUUUUUCAUUUCUUUGAUCUUGACUUGGGUUAUGUAAGCUUUUUUUAAAAAAUAUUAUCGUAUUAUUUUAUCGAAGUUAUUAUUAAUUUAGCUCACUAACACAAUUCAAGAUCCAAAAAAAUUGUUAUUUCAUAGUUUUUAUUAAUUUAUCUGGUAUAGAUUUCAUUUCAAGUUUGCAAAAGGCUUAAAGGUUUUUGAACUUUGGAUUUUACAUAUGCAUGCACAUAUUUUGUAUCUUAAAUGCUGGUAAUUUGCCUUAAAAAAUCGUAACACUUUUUCUAAAGAAAAUUUUACAAUUCAUAAAAUGUUAAUCCUAAAUGUUUAGUGUAAAAAUAUGAUGGCCCAAAAUGAGUUAGAAUAAUCACAUAUCUUGAAAACUUUAAUCAAAGGGAAAAUUGCGGAACUCCUCUGAGGUUGUUGACACUUGCACUCACCUAUUUGUAAAUAAAAUUAAAAAUGCGUUACAGAAAUAUUUUUACGAAAGGGAAACUAGUAGCUUUUGUAUUUAAUAUAAAUUAAGUAUUUGAAAGUGAAAAAAAAAUUACCCACAACAUACCAGUUAUUUACUAGUUUUUUCCAUUAUAUGAAUAAAGUACUAGCUAUUUAUAAGCAUUUUACUCUGAAUCAUUUAAUUUAUGUUAAAUACAUAAAUAUUUAAAAGUAAAAUUCAAAAAGUGUUACACUUAUAUUAUUACGAAAAGGAAACUAGUUGGUUUUAUAUUUAAUAAAAAUUAAAUACGUGAAAGUAAAAAAAGAAAUUACCCACUUUUUACGAGCUCUUUACAGGCUUCUUUUAUUACAUGAAUAAAGCACUAGCUAUGGGGGUAGGCAUUUUACUAUGAAUCAUAUAAUUUAUGUUAUAUACAUAAAUGUUUGUAAGUAAAAUUUAAAAAGUGCUACACUAAUAUUUUUACGAAAGGAAAACUAGUAAGUUUUGUAGUUAACAUAAAUUAAAUAUGUGAAAGUAAAAAAAAAAAAAUUGCCCAUAACAUACCAGUUCUUUAUGGGUUUCCUCUAUUACAUGAACAAAGUACUAGUUAGUUAUGAGUAUUUUAUUCUGAAUCAUUUAAUUUAUCUUAAAUAUACAAAUGGUUGUAAGUAAAAUUCAAAAAGUGUUACUCUCAUAUUUUUAUGAAAGGGAAACUGGUAAGUUCUGUAUUUAACAUAAAUUAAUUAUAUGAAAGUAACAAUCACAAGUAAUUUAAUUAUUUAAUUAGUUACUUAAUUUGUUGACAAGAAACAAGUUUCUUUUGCAAAAUUCGUUCAUUAAGUUUCUCCAAAUAAUUAGGGUAUAAAGGUAAAUUUUCACAAUUUUUUAUUCGUAAUAGGCCCCAAUUUCCUUCUAGGGGAGGGCAGUGCUAUUUCUUAAAUCAUAAAAGAGGUGAGUGCCAUAAUCUUGGUGAACUUGCGAUUUUGAGAGGUAGAACCAACAUCCCAACACAAUUUCUUUAGAUGCGUGUUACGAAACUUUGUGUUAAAAUUACUCCUAACAUGUCGCAAGCAAAGUCGAUGAACAGCAUAUGGGGGUUGCCAAAGCCUCUGCAAUCUAAUUGCAUUUAAUAUUCCUUUAUGAUGAUCAGAAAUCAGGCAAACUUGUCUUUCUUUAAGAACAUGUUGUCGAAGAAGACGCAAAAACCAAUUCCAGGUUACAUUGGUCUCUUCAUCCACAUGCAAUAUGUAUUGCAUUUCAUUGUAGUAGCAGUAGUAUUUUGCUAGGUAUGAUUUUGGUGGGUACUUAGAAGGCAAGUUGUUGGACUGAUUAAGAAAAUCCCCUACUCCUUUUCUAACUUUUGCAAAUAUUGUCCACCUUAAUAUGGAUAUAUAUAUAUGUAUAAUUUUCCAAAUAUUUUUCAAUUUAAUAUGCAACUAUAUUUGAAAACUUUAGAUUUUGAAUUCGCUUAAAGUGCUUAUGCUAUGUGCCUGAAUACUUCAACAUAUUCUUUUUUUUUUAAAAAAAAAUCCCCAUGUUUUAGAAUAAUUUACCAAGCAAUUAAUUGUAUGAUCAUGGAUUACAUCAUCUCCCAACUUCAUUGCUAGUUACUACAUUCAAUUUGUAUAUAUCCACUGGUUAGGAAAGAAAUAAAUAAUAAUAAUUUUAUAUAUUUGGAUUAAAGUAAAGGGGUCGGGAAAGCAAUGAUAGGGAAAAGGAGUAGCAGGAUUGCUAAUAAAGGAAUAAUUAAUACAUUUUAAUGCAUUUAAAUUAAACAGAAAAGACAAGAAAACCACUGUAUAUAUCCACCGGUUAUUCAAAUGAAUAAUUAAUGCAUUUAAGUUAAACAAAAAAAGCAAAGGAAACGCACUGGAAAAAAGCAGCACGAUUGUGGUAAAUAUGGGCGGAGAAAGCGGCUGCGGCUUCUCUAAUCGUUGCUCGUGCUUUUGUAAGUCCUCUUUCUAGAAUCUCUUGCGUUGUCAAAUACUCUUGCCCUUCGCACGGUAUCUUCCUCUGUCAAUAAGCACCAAAGAAUCAUCUCAAAUUUGCUUUUUUGCUUUUAAAAUAAUUAAAUGCAUCCAUUUCAUAAACCCUAAAUUUGAAAUUGUAAGUAUUACCUGACAAUAUGCCUAAUUAGCUCACCAGUCUCCCAAUCACCACUCUUGCUCUUACGUUGGCUGCGAAUGUGGUAUAAGAUGUACGAAAAAAUUGAAUGGGUGGUGUGCUUUGUUUGGCCCUUGAAGAAGUUAGGGUAGAAAGAAAGGGAUUGAGGGGAAAUAGUUCUUAGUAUCGGGGACUAGAAUAGACUCCUAGAUAUGCUAAAAAUUCAUUUAGCAAAUGAGUUUUUUUUUUAUUAAUAAAUGCAUUUCCGAAGAGACUUUUUAAACUAGCACAUUCCACUAAUGCGUUAUUUAAUCAAUUUUUCCUAUUUAAAUAAAUUUAUGAUAAUUAAAAUAAUGUAUUUGCAAAUUGCGUUUUUAUUUGAAAAAACGCAUUUCUUGGAUGCAUUUUUCAUCAUUUGGGAAGAGACUAAAAAAUCACCACCUUUUGGGAAGUUAGAUUAAAAAUUCCCUCAUUUUGGGAAUUUACUCAACCAUGCGGCGGUGGAUGGUGGGACCUAAGCGUAUUGACUGGAAACGUGGCACAUGGUCAACGGCUUUGGGUUUGGCAGGUCCUUCACACCCGGUUCUGAUUUUUCAGUCAAAUCGGGUCAAACUUGGUUUUUGACCUGGUUUGACCGAAUUUUUAAUUUUUCGGUUUUUAGAGUUAACUCAGACCGGACAAUUGGCCGGUUCCCGAUUUUCCUGGCCGGUUCGGUCCGAGUUUAAAAAUAGAGCUUUGGAGUUCAAUUUUUUAAUUGCUUUUAACAAUUAGAGAAGCUGUGUUCUAACCAAAUAACAUGUUAUGAGAGUUAUCAAUUAUUUUAAAUUAACCAAUAUAUUCCCUUGAUACAAAUCCAAUCAUGUCAGUUAUCAUUAAUUUAAAGAAAUUAAAUAAUUACCGAUUUAACUGCUCUAAUUGGUUUUAGGUUAUUAGAUUAAUUGAAAUACCGAACCCUUGAUAUUCAAAUAAUAUAAUAGACAAGAAAUUAAACCAGGGAACAUACAAAUACCCUAAAUAAAAGAAAUAAAUGUAAUCAUAAUUUUAGUUGAACUAAAUCCUCCGUUAUUUCUUGAUUAGAAUGAAAAGCUUAGUUCAUCUCCACCAAAGAAAUCACACGGGAAAUACUAGAAGUAAUUUCCACGGCCAUUCUUCAAAUAUGUGAUGAAGUCCAGAGGAAAAGAAAAAAAAAAGAACAUUGUUUCUUAUUUCUUCUUACGAGAAAAGCAAAGAGUCUCGCGUUAAGCUGGCUUUUUUACGAAAGAAAAGAAUGACAAUGAUGAUAUUUUGCUGCUUCAUUCCCUGUCUCUGCCACAACUACUACUCCUAAACAAACCCCGUUUGGUAAGUAUCGUUUUUGGGUGUUUGUCUAAAACUUUAGUGUAGUUUACUAUAGAAGUUUUUAAAAAAAUUUUUGAAGUGUGUUUUUUUUUUGAAUAUUUUGAUGUUUAUAGUUUAAAAACUUUGAGAAAUUUUUUAAUGUUACUGUAGUUAAAGUUUUUAAAAAACUUAUAACAAACAAAAUUGACAAAAAACUUAUCUGCCAAACAAGGCCACAUCCUAAUAAAAUUAACCAACCUUUUUCAAAAAGGUGUUAAAAGAUAAAUAAACUAGUAUCCUAAUAAAAGUAAAAGACUAUCCAUUCGAUCAAAAGUUUGAUUAUUGCGACCUCAAUUUAAAAUUGGAGACCAUGUGCCAAAUUCCAAACUUCCCAAACAUGUAGGUUAAACUUCGACGGGGCAACGCUAAUUUGCAUAGUAGUUUUAUUAAAAAUUACAUCUUUAAUUCUUUUUUGCUCUAGAUCCCUACAGUCAUCACCAAUUACUAAAUAUAAGUAGAAUCCACCAAUUAAUGCAAUAUUGGCUAAAAUCAAGGGGAAAACAUUCAUAAAUUUAAUGACAAAAUUUGCAGCCUAUGAGUCGGGUGACUUUAAGAAUUUUUUUAAGUAUAAGUGGAAGGUUUUGAAUUCAAGAUAUUUCAUUUAUAUUCCCUCCUUCAUCCUAGAUUUGACUUCUCUUUAAUGGAAUCUCUUUCCAUUUUUCACAAUAUAUAUUUAGAUGCAUAACAUAUAUUUUCAUUUAUUAGAAUAAGACUGAUCAAUUUAAAUUUGAUUAGGAUCAUUUUAAAUUUGACUAAUUCUAAUCCUUUUUAAUAAAUAAAAAUGCAUGUCGUGCAUUCAAAUGUGCACAAAAAAAUAGAACAAGAAUUUUACUAGAGAUGAGUCAAGUUCCCUUCAACCCGCCCCUCUUCCAAGGUGAUUUUAAGAUUUUUUAUUUGAGUCAUUCUCUAUGCCCCUCUUCCCACCACCCCUACCCCCGCCCUUUAAAGAUUUAAAAUCUACCUUCAACCAAACAAAUAAAAUUGCUUCAUGCCAAGAAUAAACUGAAAAGAUCCCCGGUUAUGCUAAUGCUGAGUAAGGAACUGCAUUAUCCCUUCACUGAUAUCUAGAAUAAUUCUGUAGGGUUAGAAUUUGGCUAUAAGGAUUAAAAAAUUUAAGAAUUAAACAGUAGUAUGCUUUUAGUAAACUAAGUGGGAGAACUAGGUAUAAAAACUCACUAACACAAAGAGGAGCAGAAGAAGCAGUGAGAGUGAAACUGAAAACCAAGGAGGAGCUGAAGCCAUGAGAGCAGCACUCUGCUAUGAAUGAUCAGAAUUCAUUGUUUUGACUACAACGCGCCUUCUUCUCUCCUCAAUCAUUCCCACUCCGGCUUCCUAUCUCCUGCCCCAUCAGUAAGGCCUCUCUUGCCGUCCCUCCUAUGCAGAAAGUUUUUUUUUUUUUAAUUUUCUGUUUUGUUAUUUUCAUACUUCAUUCGCAUUUAUUUAUGGAAUUUGCAUCUGGGUUUUUGAAAAUUUUGAAUUUCAUUAUUUGGGUUAGUAUGGGCAAUAUGGUGAUUGGAAAAAAAAUGCUUUCUUUGUUAUGCGGAGAGGGAAAAGAGUGCAACAAAAGAAGCCACUUCAAUUCUUGAAAGGGUAAUAACUUCUGCUGGUUUUAGUUCUUUCCAGUUUUCAAUAUCAAAAUAAGGAAAUUUUAGACAUAAAGAAAAUUCAUGCUGACUUAAGAAUCAGGACAGUUGAAUUGGUUUAUUGAACUUGGUUUUGUGGGAUUCUUAAUUUCUGGCCAAGUUUGGUAACUUGGGAUAUUUGUAAGUGAACAAGACUGUAGCGGACUUGAAUUGCCUGUAUAAUGUGUUUGCAGCUGUAAAUGCUUUCGUGCAAGAUGAAAAGCAGCAGUGUUAUGGAAUUGGUUUGUAAACAAAGAGAUGUUGAAUUAUUAAGCAUAAGCAAACAGCGAAUGGCACGGCGACUAAUAGAAAAACUUAUGAAGUUUGGAGAAGUGGGUGAGCUAUGCAGCAGGUAGGCACAGACAUAUUGUGUUGUUCAAAUGUGUUAGGUAUUAAGGAGGGGGAAAACAACAAACAAAUUAAAGUUGUUUACUGUUUUAAACGUGAGAAGUUUUUGGAACUGAAGUGUAAUGCUAAUAGCCUUCAUUUGAGAGAAAACUGAGAAAAUAAUGCGGUCAACACAGUUUCCUUCUGUUGAACUUAGUCUAGGAAAAACGUUUAUGAUUUUUGGGUUCUAAACUUGAUUAAGAUUUCAGUUGGCAGACAAACAGAAGGAUAAGAUGUCAAUCAUCCUGCCAAUAGGUUAUUAACAUCUAAGUCUAGUAACUGGCUUCAAAUUUUUUUGCUUAUGAUCUUCCACUUCAUCCAUUUAUUUGUAAUUAGUGCAUUGUUAGGUCACAGAUUAGUAUGGUUUAUUCCUUGUUUACAUGUCUUAUUCACCUUGCAUUGCUCACUCUGUCAUUUGUCACUUGGUUCAAUCAAGUGACUCCAUUUAAGUCUGUUGUGCCUUCUUGACUAACUGACAUGAUUCGUCAUCCAAAAUGCAACACUGGUUAAGUUCUUUAUCACCCAUAUCUUUCCAGUGUAUAUAGAUGAAUUAGUUACCAUUUUCCUCAAAUUUGAAGAGGCUUAUGGAUACACAGUUAGCUUAAGCUUGUACAUAACUCAUUUCGGUGAAGAACAAAUUCACCUUACUAAUACGGAAGCUUUGCAUUGUUUUCUUUGAAAAUAAAACAAAAACAAUAGAUAGAGAAUAUGCUAUAUUUUCUACUGUAAGAAAAAAUUUAUAAACAUAAAAGCAAAUUAAUAAGGGUAUGAUUAUAUUUCUCUAGAGAAUGAUAUGGUCUUAAGUGAUCAUAAUUCUGGGAGGAGAAAACCAUGCGUCCAAUUUUGUAAGUCAUUUGAGACAUCAGAUAUUACGUGCAUGUAUUAUAUACUCCACUGAUUGCCAGUCAUGUAGCAUGAGGUCUUGAGAAGAAGAUAUGUAAGCAUCAUUUUUGCUUUUAACAAUAGAAAGGCAUUCUUCGUUGCAGCAGCUUUGGAUAAUUGUCUUUUGUUCAUACUUAAAGGAACUUGUAUAAGCAUGAGAUGUUGCACUAUUCUAGGGCUAUAAGGAACCAAAUAAUAGGUGGAUGAUUUAGAGUUAGCUUAAAAACUUGUGGCAGACGAUUUAGGAAUUAUUUUUGGAUAUAUUUACACCAGAAGCCAAGCAUUGCUUAAGCUUAUUACCAUGUGAAAGAGAUGAAUGAGUUUCAGUUAUAUUUGAAGUCCUCUGCAAAGCCUGUAUCAUUUUUAUUUUUUGGACCUUUAUGUGUUGCAAAAGCGAGGCAAAGAGUGAACCAACUCAGAGAAUGGGAAGGUGUGCAUCUGGUGCUUCCGACAUUCUAUUCUUUUGACUUAAUGGAGUUUUUAUAAAAGCUGUGUGUGCUGAAUGUUUUCUUAGGACAUUCUAUUCACGACUGAUGUAACCAAUAAAGAGUUUAAGGGAAGAUUAGAUUUACAUAAUCAUGGGAACUUCGCCGAAUAUUGAGUUUACCUACUUCGAACAAUGGGUAACCUUUUUAGGAUCUUGAGGUAUGCAUUAGAAGUUUAAGUUUUACAUAUUUCAGUAGACUUAAAAUUUAUGGUGCUUUGUUAGCUUAUAGGUAUUUACGUGUUAUGAGAGUGUUUGGUAAACUGACAGUGGAGAACACUUCGGUCGUUGUUUGGGACCCUGGGCUUAUAUAUUGACUUUGAUGGAAGGGCUCUUAAUUGAAAUGUUGGGGUUCAUUGCCCCAAGUUCCUGCCAUAAGAUAUUCUUGUCCCUGCUGCUGAAGCCCAGUACAUUCUGCAUCUUCCACCGUACAUGUACCCAGACACCUAGGUUGGUUAGGCCAUCCAUGCAGGAGUUAAAGUUACUCAUUGGUGAAUUUUUUAUGCUUGGCUACUCUAGGUAAAUGGUUUUCUCACGAAAACUGGCGGAAAAAUGGCAUCUGGUCUAGCUGAUGGUGAUCUAUCGUCAUUCUUUACAUUUUUUUUCCAUUAAUUUGUACAAAAUCUGAUUGACUUUUAGCACACUUUUGAUUUUAGAAGAAUGCAUCUUGCAUUAGAACUUUUUUUCAAAUUAGGUUCCAUCUUAAUAGCUGUAUUAAUUUAUGAAAUGAGUGACAAUUAGCACAAGGAUAAAUCAGAAAUUGAUUGUACAACAGAUGGUCUAGUGGCAGAAUACUCGAGUUUGGGAGCAAUUCUGACAUAAUUGUUUGAUGUGAUUGUUAGCAGAGAAAUUGCAGUUAAAUGAAAUCCACUUAUUGAAGACAAUUGCCUUUGGCUUUUAUAUACUUAUGCAACUGAACUUGUGCAGAAUCAGCAUGAAUGAUAUUUUUCACCAUCAUACUUUUUUUUGGGGUUUAGUUGAUCUGAUCGGUUCAUCCAAUUUCAUAUAUAUGAAGUAUCUCAGUGGGAAAGCCUGCUUGCAUCUAGAGGGUGUAAAGUGUAGUAAUCAGCUUAGUGUCUUGUUACCUAACUGCAGUACAUUUUCUUACAUGUGUUGUGUAUGUAAAGCUAAAUAGGUUAAUUCAAGUUAAGUCACAUUUAUGUUCUGUGAGAUGUUGACCAGUUAUAUGGUUAAAUACUCGCUGCAGUAUUUCAGAUCUUUGAGUGGUCUAAAUGCUGUAGGUUUUGAAAGUUUGGAUGCGAAUAUGUCAGCUAAAGGGAUGACAAUAUCAGUAAGUACGGACGAGGAACUUGGCAGCAGUAUGGAGAGGAAAGAUGCGGCCGAUGACUUUGGAGAACCUGAUAAUAGUUUAAGUCUGGUAUUUUAGUUUAUACACAUGCUUCUACAGAUAAUGCAAAUUAUAAUGUAUAUCUACCUGCAAAUCCUUCAAAUAUAUAAGUAUCUGUAAAUCUACAAAGAAAAUGAAGAGGCUAGGGAUUUGUCUGAAGAAUAGGUAAUAUGACUUAUAUGCAUGAAAUAAUAAGAACAAGUUUAGUUAAAAAAAAUAUGUUACUAUAAAGAAAGGGAAUGAGAAGUUAAUAGAAGGGGAAGGGCAAAGAAAAUACCUUAUGAUAGCUCCAUCCCUGUGACAUACUUAUUUAGGCUAGUUUGAGUUUGUGUAAGGCUCUAUUACUGCCCAUACGCAUAAGCUCUCAACCAACCCCCCCCUCUUCUUGAAAAAAAAAAACCUUUAGCAAAAAUUUUCUGUGUACCCACCCAGUUUGCUACAAAUAGUUUAUGUGAGAGGUGUGUAUCUGUGAAAGUUUUGGCUUCUUAAUACAAGAGUAGAGUUCAAGGCAAGAUUUGGUGGAUUGCAGGUUACAAAGAAUUGCUGGAGAAAAAUUGUGCAAUCCAAAAUAUUAGAAGGCAGAGAAGAGAUGAAAUGGGAUUUCCCUCUAAAAAACUAACAGAUAGCUUCAUUUCAUUAGAAAUUUAAUUGUGAGUGCAUGAACAAAAAGUACUCUAAAAAAGUCGUACAAGUUUUAAGAACUCGUGUUGUUUUACUGCCUAUUGUUUCUUUCAACAGCCCUAUAUUGUUGUACGGUGUGAGAACUGGAGAAGAACAACAAACAAGUCUUUUCUUUAUCACAAAAGUGAUGAAAGAAAAAGAAAGAUAUUGCAAUUCGGUACUUACAACAAAAACAUGUAGAUAUUAUGGUGUCUUAACUUCCCCAUUAAGGUAGAUAGUGGAGCAAAAUAUCUUUGAUCACACAGUACAUUCAACUAGCUAGGGCUUGAUUAUUUAGUUAUCUAUGAGUAUCAAAAUUACUGAAAUCAUGUUUAGAAAAAAAAGUAUCAAAAUGCACUAAGAAUAGAGGACAUGUUCAUUAAUUAACUUGAAAAGCAAACAAAAUAUGAUUGUGCUUCCUCUAUUCACAUAGGAUUAAAACAUGAAUUUGACCCAAAAAACGAAGAACUUAAACUAUGUACCAAUUUUGGCGUGUAGUUGGUUUGGCAGAGAAUUUGAGUUGGUUUGGUAUGUAGUCAACUUAUCACAGACUGCUGGUGGUGGUGGUGGUGGUAAACUCCGCGCUCGGAAAAUCUAGAAUUAAAUGCCAGCUUUAGGCUUAGAGGUAACUUUUGGUUCCUGUGGAUCCCUAAUUUAUGGUUUCGGAGGCUUCCAUUAUUUUCCUCCUCAAUAUCAUGGUCAUAGUCCAAUGCCCCUACAGCAAAUUGGCCCAAAUAAGUUUGCUACCUUUUGGCUCGCAACUGUGGGGCAAAAACCACCACAUUGUGCUAGGUUGAGCGUGUUCACCACUUCACCACUUGAGGAGGAGGAGCAUUCUGCUACCCCGGGAAGAAGGAAGAUGAUUCUUCUUAUAGGAAGGGGAUGAAGAAGGAAUCUUGUUUUGUUCCCAACAUUGUAUUAGACAAUAGUCUUCAACUCGACGUAGAGGAGCAUGUUCAUUUCUAUAUUGACGCUAUAGACGCAAAGACAGGAUACAAAUCAAGGACAGAUUUUAUUUCUAUCGUCAUGACAAUCCUCAUCUGGAAGAAGAACAAAAUCUAGUAGUACACAAGAAACUGCUGCAAAAAUCUGGUAGAGCUAAUCUGAAAGCAUCUAAGCUAAUUUGAUACAAACUGGAUGAGGUACUCAUCAAGUGUGGUGUAUUUAACAUCAGGAUAGAGCUCCGUUGCCUCCAUGCCAAAAGAAGCCUCGAUCUCAAAGUUGGCAAUUUCUCCCUUCACGAAAAAUGUGUAUGCCAAAGACAGGAGCAAUUUUAAUGGCAUUGAAGCCUCUGCGAAAGAUACAAGAAAAGAAAGCAAUUUGAUUAGAACGUGGAACAGUAGAUGCUAUUGUAUUAAAAAUUAGCAACUUGUGCACUUUUUUCUUAUUGUUAGAUGACCUUGAAUUUUCUUAAGAACUUCGUCCCCUGGAACGUAGAUCUUUUGGAGGGUCUUGCCAAUUUUCUUUUCCCACAAUGAUACUAUUUCGUUGUAGGACAAGGUGUUGGCAGGGGGUGUAAUGUACACACUCUUGUUCAGAGUCCUUGGGUCAUCUGCUGCUUUGAUGGUGUACGCGGUAAUGUCUUCUUCCUUGGUGAAAACAACUGCAACGCAACAUAAAAUUGAAGAAAAAAUUGAGAACGAUGAACUCUAAAACAUGAUACUAAACCAAUCAAGAUAUGCAGCAGACAAGCCCCUUUCGGAUACCUUUUGGAUUUCCAUCACCAAGAAUGACAAUUUUGUCUCUGGGAGGACUGGCAGAGAAAGAGUCUCCAAAGUUGUUGAGGAUAUAAUUCAAGUAACCAGCAAAUCCGUUAGAUACUAAAUAAGUGUAAGGUAUCCCUUCUGCCUCAAUAGCUCUGCGGAUCUCAACCUUGGUCCUGUUUAAGCUAGCAGCAGGCUCAACAGCGUUCGCACGAUCCACAUCAACCCCAAAUUCAGAAGGUAAAAAUCUCUGAAACCAAAUACAGCUCCUUCUUUAGGAAUAUGGAAGUCACAACUCACAAAGGGACAAACGCAAAAAAUAAAAAUCAAGAAAGAAUUUGUAACACUGUAUUGUGCUUACUUUGAUGUUUCCAGCUUCUUUAAUUGCUUCAAUAAUCUUAACUUGAUGAGCUACCAAAUCUCCCCCGACUGCAGAGAUCACUAUGUCAACUUGUUUGAUUGCAUUUACCAACUGCUGAUGAUUGUGUAGAUCUCCCUGUUCAGUCCAUACGUACAUGUCAGUUUCUAUAAUUUCUUGAAAAAAAAUUGAAACACUAUUUAGACAACGAAGAAAGAAAUAACAGCACACAUGAAGAAAUAUGACUCCCAAACUCUUGAAACUCUCGAUGAUGGCUGCCCUCUUAGGAUCUGAAAUUGUGCUUUCUCGGACCAGUGCAAACGUUGGGUGCCCUGCUUUUGCGCUCGCUUCCACUAAAUAUUUCCCGAUGUUUCCAGUGCCGCCAAUGAUCAAAAUCUUGCUUUUCACAUCCAUUUCCAAGUCUAGGAUAGUAGACUACUGCUGCAAAAUUGGAUGGAAACCGUAAAUUGAUGAGCUGAAUAGAUGCAGAAAUGUGCCUAUAGGCUGCAGCUUCGUGCUCGGUUAAUUUAUAGAGGAAAAAGUAUUGAAACUGGCAAGCAACGCUGUCGCUGCAGUUUCCUUUUGAUGCUCUAUUGGCUUCUGAAAUUUCUGAAGUGCUCCAAGAACCAAUCAACGGAAGUUAGACAGUUGAACAUUAUCACGAGGUUUCCCAAAAAAUCAUAGCACUAACGGAUUCUUAUCGGCCAAGAUGCGCAAUGUCUUGGGGUGCUUGGCAAUUGCGAAAGAGAAAGGUGCUCAAAGUCAAUUGAAUGUCCUUGUGAAGUGAAACUACUCAUGUGGGACAUUCAGCGGUAGGAUUUCGUCCCCGAAUCAGUGAUGACCAAACCUGAAUUAAGCGCUGAUGUUGAACAAAAUGUUGAAGUGAACAAGAAGAGCAUAAUGUUGGCCACCACAUUAGUUGGGGGAUGGGAAGUUAAGGGUUCAGACCUUGCCUCCCAUUAAUGUGCCUCAAUAUGAGAUUUGUUCUAAAUCCAUAUGGGUGUGUGGUGCACCCGUCUGAUCUGAUGGUGGUUCAGUCCCCGUCAGGUUCCUCCGACUCAGUUGGACCUUCCCAAAAAGUAGAUUCCCCUCUCUCCCGCUCCAUAGGAGUAGGAGUAGGUUAGACAUGUGCCGUUAAGACAAAUAAGAAAAAAAAAAAAAAGAGCAUAAACUUAGUACUACUAGGGGGAAAGCCACACUAAGCACGGGAGUUUUGACCUAUGUGAUAAUUGAUUUAAUUAGAACUGCAUGGUAAUUAGUUUAAUUGAAUCAGUUGAAGUGCAUGAAAUUAUAAGUAAAUUGGCCAAAUCAACAAACUUAUAAAGGAAAAAAAUUUAUAAGUAAAAUAAAUAGUAUUGUAGUAGAUAAUCACACCAUACCAUAAUAACAAUAACAAAAAUAUUAUCAUCCUUGUCCCUAUACCAUUAUAACACAAUCAUAGCCAUAUUUAAUCAACAAUUAACAUACUUAAACUAUAAGGCUAAAUUUAGAUCCUACCUUGGUCAUGAAAUUGUAGUCAAUAGAUAAUCUUUAGUCACAGUUUAACCACCUAUAGCCACGAACAUCGGAUUUUGGAAAUAUAGUUAAAAGAUAUAAAAAGUUUCCUAUGGAUAUUGAUAUGUAUGUAUCAAGUAUUCCAUAAUGAAAUUUCCAUAUUCACACAAUAGCUAUUGAGAAAAUAUUGCAGUAGAAAACUCAUAGUUUUUAUUAUAUUAGCUAAACAUCCAAAACUCCAGAAAAAGAGAAAGUAAAUGAGCAUACCUGUCUAAACACCCACAACAAAAAAUUGAGCACAUGCACUUGAAGCAACAUUCUUCAGUAUUAAAUGCCUCAAUUGUUAUCAAGUUGAAGAGCACUACAAUUAUACUUGUAAUGGAUUGAAAAUAUGAACCAAAAUCAAUCUUGUUCAUUAUUAAGUGCUUCCUGAACCAACCAUCUUUAGCAUUAAGACCCUCUAUUAUUGUAGUUAUAAAAGUUACCCAACAAUUAUAAAAGAAGAUGGAGAGUGUUGCAAUUACAUUUGUAAGUGGUUUAAACACCACUUAAAUGCUUGAUAAUCAUGUGGAAUAUAAGUCAAUUGUAAAUGGGAGAACACAAUAGUCAAACCCAACUCAACUAUACAUUAUAAUGUUGCAUGUUUGGCUUAAUCACUUGUAUUUGAUUUUUUUCCUACCUAAAUUAUCUCUAAAGAUAACAGAUGAAAAUUUUUCAACAAUCACUUACAAACUCCUUUUUAUAUAUAUAGGAAACAUUACAAUGUGCUAGGAAAAAAAUGAAAAGAACAACAUUAUUUUUCUUUUUAUAUAUUCAUCGUAUACUGGUAGAAGCCUGUACUCAUAGGCAUUUGGGUACAACGAAUCCGGAAAAUGCAAUUAAUAUAAUUGAUAGGGAAAAUCGUUCAAAUUGUUACUCAUAUUUUUGUAAAAUGAUUUUUUCCGUCUCUCAUUCUAAAAAAGUAAUUUUACGUCUUUUAUAAAUUUAUAUCAGUUAAAUUUUGUCCCUACCUAAGUUUUCAACUAAAUUUUUUUCGUAAUUCACCACAUGCCCUGCACGUGAUCAUGUUUGAGGGAAAAAAUUGUCAAAUCAUAUUUCACAUAAUCUGAUUGAUAGUCCUUCACAUUUAAUAAAAUGAAUUUUUUCAACCCUCACAUUUCACAAAAUCACUAAGAAAAAUCAUCGAUGACAAUUAAAAUGUAGCAAUAAUUGUUAGGAGGAUUAAAAACUAGAAGCCAUGAGGACACCUUACUCAAUCAAACCGUGGCUCGGGCAAUGUCAUUCCAUCAAUUUUGGUCUAUCAUCUUUUAAUUCCAUGAAAUUUGCUUUUUUUUUUUAAUUGUAAUGUUAUUAUUUAUUCAUUAUACUUUGAUUUCAUAAAAUCAAAAUAGCUAAUCUUAGUUGAUCAUAAUUCAGACAAGUUUGGAGCACGUGCACUUUCUAAAUAAGAAUAAAUAUCCAUUUAUGCUUUGCAUGACAUAGAUGAAAUUUUGGUUUACUAAGUUGGGAAAAAAAAGGUAUCUCUCACAGACAAUCCAACAAUACAUUCUUGGGUAAUUUAGAAUUCCAUUUUGUGUUGUUCCAAUUAAUUGUCUCUAAAAAUUAUAUCUAUGAGGCUAAAUAAAACCAGCGGCAGAGGAGAAAUUUGGCAUGGAAUGACAAUCUUGAGAUUGUCAUGAGAAUGACAAUCAAAUUCUUACAAUCUUGAAGUGUACGAAUUUGGCAUAUGAUAACAAGCACAUCAUACUACAUUUAAAUUGCCAACGAAAAAUGGAUAAAUCAUGGCAAAAUUUGAUACAAGAACAUGAUCGUCUACAUGAACCCUUCACUUUCUUCCUUCUUUUUUCGCUUUGGGUUUUGUUUUGUUUUCUAUAUUUCUCUUUUCAAGUGGUGGUCUUAUUAUUAUUUUUUAUUAUGUUUCUUGAUCGCAACUUUUUGUGUGAUAGAGAAAAGUGUUAUAAUUUCCUUUGAGUAAGGUGACUGUAAUUUCACUUCAUUAGAAAGCAAUAAGUUGUAAAUAAGUUUAAACAGUUUUAUGAUUAUUUUGCAUGUUUUCUAUUGACAUAUCCCUUUUUUUUUUUUGAAAAAUUGUUUCAUUUGCAAAUCCACAAUUGAGAAACUAGCUGAAGAAUAAAAUCAUAUAUAUUUUACAGUCAAGCAUUUGCGAAAAAUAUGCAUACAAACAGAGAAUUUAGAAGGAAAAAAAAAAAUGCAACUGAACCUUCAAGUUUGGACUUUGAAAAGGUGUUAUCGAAGCUUCACUGAUUUCAUUAACUUCAUGUUUUAUGCUUCGUGCACUUCAGUAUUAACUUAAUGAAGAAUGCCUUCUUAAUAAAAACCUGCUCUAUUUCGUUUAUUUCAAGUCCUAUAUUAAGGUAUUUCGAACGACACGUAGCAUCCACCUAACCUACCAUAUAUAUAUAUACACACACACACACAUACAUAUACUAACAAAUAACAAUUAUUAUUCUCCUUUAUAUUUAUAUAAUUUUUCUAUUUAAUCUUGCCUACCACCCCUUAUAUUUAUUUAUUUUUUCAAAUUAAUAUUAUAUUAUUAAAAAUAUAACACCUGAAAUAUAUCUUAUCAUAUCUUAACAAAUGCAUUAUGAGCAUCCGUUAGACAGAUCAAUAUUUAAAUAUUUAAAUAUCGUAGUUGUCUCUUAGCUUCUCUUCUCUUAGAGGAACUUGCCUUCCCACCGACCGUUAAUCCAGUGACCAAUAGCAACUUGAGGGAUAUGAGAAAUAGUCUGAUAAUCUUCACUCCGUUUAUUCAAAUUCUGUACUUUGUCCACUAGCUCAUCAGACAUAUCAAGGAACCCAAGAGAUUCAAGUCUGGUCAAGUUUUGGAUGCCCGAAGGCAACUCCUGCAUCAGUUUGCAACCAAUUAAAUGCAGAUUUCUGAGACUAGGCAUUGAUUCCUCUUUCACUGUCACCCAUUUCAGUCUUUUCAAUUGCAUUAGCUCUAAGUGCUGGAGUUUUUGAAAUCCUCCAAUCUUGAAACAUAAUGUCUCCCCUUCAUAAGCACCAUAGAGACUAAGUGUUACCAGAUUGGGCAAAUGUCCGAGGGAGCCUAUUACAUUCUCAUCUUCUCUCAACCUACUAUUGGCCAACCAUAAGGUCCUCAAGGAUUGAAGUGAUGUCACCCAUUGCGGCACUCUCUCUAAACGCCCAUUCAAUCUCAGACGUGUGAGGAAUUCAAGCAUUGGAGAGACGGAAUGUUGGAGAUCAAGGAUCUCAUCUUCUUUAAUACAGGAGAUGGACAACCAUCGAAGGUUGGUCAGCCUCAAGAGGGAGGAGAGCAACUCCUUUCCAUCUUCUCUUCUCAGCCCCGUGAUAAAUAAUAGUCGCAAUUGCGUUAGCUUUCCAAUCUCUCUUACUAUUUUAUCACUGUCUGCUUCCAUACCAUACAGCUCCUCCAAACAAAUAAGCUUUCCAAUUCCAAGUGGACAUUUACAGCCCCAAACUGCAUAGUCAUUUGAAUAAUCUCCCAAUCCGCCUAACCAAAGAGAACGGAGUUUUCUUAGCUUUAGAAUUUCCACGGGCAACUCUGUUACAUUGGUUCCUUCCAGAUUUAUAGCUUCAAGGUUUUGAAGCUUCCCAAUAGAUUUUGGAAUAAUUUUAACUCUAGUUCUUGUGAGAUUAAGAUACUUGAGAUGAAAUAGUUUGAAGACAUGCUUUGGGAUGUUGUCCAAUUCAGCUCCAUCCAAUUUCAACACCUUUAGCAACUUGGGAUCACCACUAAAGAACUUGGAUAAAAAUGUAGCUGUGAGAGGAUCUUCAUACCCAAAUAUUACCACAGACCGAAGACACUUUAAACUACUAAAUUCUUGUGGAUUAUCAGUGAAGUUGUGGAUUGCUAGGUGUCGAACUUUUGCAGGCCAUUUUGUGGCUACAGUCGUGAAACUCUGCUCUUCAGAUUUUGAAACAAGGAUUUCACGCACAAAAUCGUGGAGACCACAUGUCUCCAAUCUGCCAUCGUCGAAUGUGGAUUUAACUUGGAUUAAGCUUCUAUUGACGAGUUCUUUCAUAUAUCUCAUAGCAAUAUCGGUGGAUGUUAUUCCUCGUUUCUCUUCUACAAAACCUAGUGCAAUCCAUUUCAGAAGUAUAUCAUUCACAUCAAUUGGAUAAUCUUCAGGGUAGAUGCUUAGAUACAAUAGGCAGCUUUUAAGAUAGUGAGGCAAAUCAUUGUAGCUAAGUAAUAGUACACUUUUGAUCCUGUCAAGCUUACCACUGCCAUCUACCUCGCCACCAAAACCAUGAAGAAUCAUCUCCCAUUCAUCUGUGUUUUCCUUGUCCUUCAGAGCCAAAACACCACCUACUGCAACAAUUGCAAGUGGUAGGCCUUCACAUUUUUUCAGUAUUUUGUUAGCAACUUCUUCUAGAUUUGGAGGACAAUCAUUGCACUGAAAUGUUCUAUUGCAAAACAGAGUCCAAGACUCUUUAUCAGAAAGAGGCUCCAUCUUAUAGACGAAGUCAAGAGAUCCUAAACAGGACGCAGAAGCUACAUCGGCUAUUCGUGUUGUCAAUACAACACGACUAGCAGUAUUGCAGUCAGGCAAUACGCAUUUGAUAGCUUCCCAGGCAUCUAUACUCCACACAUCAUCAAGGACAAGAAUGUACCUUCUUUCUCGGAGGAAGUCUCUGACAAAUUCAAUCAGCAUAUUAUCAUCCAUAGAUUCCACUCGGCCAGGGACCGGCAGUCUGAUUUCGUUGUACAACUGUUGGAUCAGGUUCUUGAUGAUGUCACUGAACUGAAAAGUUUGAGAAACAGUUAUCCAGGCAUGGCUCUGAAAUUGUUUCUUCACUGCAACGUCAUCAUAGACUUUUUUCACCAGGGUAGUCUUGCCGAGUCCCCCCAUUCCCACAACCGAAACUACUUUCAAUUGGGAAUGGUCAUCAAGGAUUUUUGAGAUGAGCUCUGCUUUUGGCUUAUCAAUCCCAACAAGUCGAUCUUCUUCAAUGAAGAGUGAUUGAGCACGAAUGUCAAAAUCAGCAUUUGCCUGUCGGGAAGAGCUGAAGCCUCUUUCUUGAGUACCAUAUUGGGACUGGUACCUCCGAUGCCUUUCUGAAAUCUCUCCAACUCUGGCCUUGAUGGCUUUUAUCUCCAAAGAAAUUUGAUGGCGAGCUUUCAGAUUCUUUAUUGAGUUAUAGAUCUUUCCAACCUUGCCAUAGAAUCCAUCCAUGUAACCACGAGCAAAGCGGAAGGUAAAAUCAUCGAGAACAUCCUCUGUAUCAUAAGCAACUUCUCGAACCUGCUUUAGCCAUUCUUGGAGUUGAGAUUCAUUGUCCUUCUUUGCUUCAGCUUCUCUGAGGAAAGCCUUCAUGCUCCCGAGUUCAGCUUUGAUGAAUUGAACGUCUGAUUUAAGCCCCCCCAAAAGUAUGUUCUCCUGGGAAAGCAAGGUUGAGAGCUGGUUAAUCAAAAAACCUACAGCACUCUCAGCCAUGAUGCUCAAUCAAAUCUCUCAAGAGUCGGUUUUCUUAUCAAGAAAAUUUUGAGAGUUGUACCAAAUUUCGGAAAAUAGGCUGUUUUUCUUUUUUUUUCUUUUCUUUCUUUUGUAGUAUAGAGGAUGUGGUUUAUAUGAGCAAUCAAAUUCUAGAAUUUUAUGAAUUUGAAAGAAUAGCUAUUCAAGAAUGAUAUGAAUUUGGGAACAUGUGCAUUUUUUUUUCGGUAGUAUAGGCGAUGGGUUUUAUUUGGCACUUUGAUAGUACAAUUAUUGUCGAUCACCUAUUAAUGCGCUUUACAAGCAGAAAAGGGCAGUUUUUUGUUUUCUUUGUAUAUUUUUUUCAAUAUUGGUCGUUGAUCAAUUAUGUAAUGAGUUAUAAAACUGUCCCCUUCAUAUCUUUCCAAAUAAGAAUAAUCUUUGUACUAACCAUUUCCUAAUAUAACAAGAGAAAUAAAUAUUUCACGGAUUUCUUUUAACCAACCAUUGGAGGCCUUGGAUUCUUAUGCUAGGCCGACAGGCCAAGACUUCACAGUGGCAAAUGGUCAGUGGAAAAAGGAAUGGUUGUGAUGCUGUAUCUUCCAAUAAUGCAAGGGACAAUGAAAUAGUCUCCAUGCUCCCAUUAAUUUUUGCAAGUGGCUUUCCGUGUACAAGCAUAUUGGUCUUCAAUUGGACGACUCAGUCAUUGGAUGCCUGCGGUCCCAAAUAGAUGCUCAAUCAAACUCAUGAAGCUAUCAUAUUCUAUUUCCUUAUAAAUUCAUAUACUGUUUGUUUUUUUUUUUUAAAAAUUCAGAGUGUCAACUACAAUUGUCAGUGUUCUUGCCCAAAGUCGUUCUAUUAUAAUUGCUUCAGGUUCCAAAAACUAGAGUAAUAUUCAUGUUUUGUAAUAAAAAUUGUAAGUGGCAAAUGUAAACCAAAGGAAUGGUUGCAUGGCCACAUUGAACAAGAGACAUUAUUAUUUCACACACACGUUUCCUCGUCAACAUCACACUGAAGUGGCUAAUUUCUUAGAAGAUAUACUGAAAAUGUCCAGCUAAUUUCUGACCUUACAAGAUAUUAUCUUGUAAGGUCAGAAAUUAGUAUUAUCUUGUAAGGUCAGAAAUUAGCUGGACAUGACAUGGUUGCCCAAUGGAAAAGAAAAAAGAAAUCAACUGAAGUUACCAAAUGCUAUGAACCUUUGGAUCAACGAUCAUGAUAAUAUCAAAUCAAUUUACUCUUUUUAACAAUUUCUCAUAAUUGUUUGUGAAAUUUUUUUUUUUAAAUGUUGGCAUUGAAAAGGGACAAUAUAUCACUGGAAAAGUUAUUAAAAUUAAAUCUGCCCAUAUUUCUUUAAAUGACUGAAAAAUGAGAUAUAUAUAGAAGUGGUAGAUAACAAUUGGAAGAGACUCAUGCUACGAGUGUAGUGAAUCAUUAGUUUUAGUGUCAAAGGUGGGCAAAUUACGCUUUAUUUCCCUGUGGUUUAGUAUUUUUUUUUUACAUAACUCCCCUAUGAUUUUAAAAGCUAUACAUAGCCCCCUCAUAGUUUGGAUUAAAGUGUCAAAAUAACGGAAUUUACAAUCCAUAACGGAGUCAACUGAAAUAUCAAAAAUAUCUCUAUGUAAAGUUGAAAAUUAUUUAUUAACCACAGGGGGUUAUGUAUAUAUACUGAAAAUCAUAAGAGGGUUAUAUAGUAAAACACUAAACCAUAAAGGGGUUAUAUGCUAAAAUAUAAAAAUCAUACGAGAUUAGAGUGUCAUGCAUAUUAUGUUUAUAUAUUUUGGUCACUCCAACUAUUUUAGUUUUUAAACAAAAGUAAUUUCGACAUUUUUAUAGGUUUCGUUACGGAUGAUCAUUUCCAUCACUUUGACACUUUAAUCCAAAUUAUAAGAAAUUAUAUAUAGUUUUUAAAACUAUAGGGGGUUAUGUAAGAAUUAGCUAUACCACGGGAGGGUAAAGUUUAAUUUGCCCGUCAAAGAUCAAUAUUUUCUACUAAUAGUUGCUCUAAGAGCUUAUGUAUAUGUUUGCUAUGGCCAAGUUGAUUCAUAUGCUCAUUUGACAAUUAACUUCUACUUAGUCCACGCUAUAACUUCAAGCUGGCUGCUUUUUCAACUACUAUUUUGGCAUCUCUUUCCUAUUUUUAACACCUUAGUGGUUAAUAUGUCGGAUGAUUCAUAGAGCUUAUGAAACCGGCCAGAACCAGUAAAAUCCAAACUCUGGAACUGAUUUACUAAUUUUCUUUUUUCUUUUACAAUUAAAUGUUUGAACUGGGGUUGAAGAGUAAACAAAAAACUUAUCAUUUGCUUCAUGAGGAAUUUUAUGUCUGUUCGAAACAACUAUUAGACAUGAUCCAAGAACAAUAGAAAAGUUCCAGGUGGAUAUAUGAGGAUCUCACUUACUAAUUUGCAUGUUAAGUGAAAUCCACUUGGCAUGUUAUAUAAAUUCAGGUGGAACUCUUGUAUGUUCUCAUGGAACCUUUUCAUUGGUUCGGAAACAAUUAUUAGGCAUGAUCAACAUAAAAUUUUCCUCCAUUUCACUUAGCAAUUCAAAUUUUUUUGAAAAAAAAUUUGAUUAAAUCAAGUUGCUCUUCCCCCAUUAUAGCACUAUCUCCUGUCUUUCAAUUCCUCUUCAAUUGAUACAUGAAUAUACCAUCAGAAAUAGUGACUGAACCCUUCCAUCCUUCCUUGGCACUCCCUUGCGCUAGCCAUGUUUUGAUCCAAAGACCAGGUCAGUAUAAUCACAAAAAAUGUGGAUGUAUGAAAAGCUUCUCCAUGUUCAAAUGCCCUAUAUUCACAAUUUAUUAGUGGAAUGGUACUCCCAAUUCUAUGAAGAUAAUACUAUUAUUCAUAAAUUUUAAUAAAUGUUAGUUUUUGAAAAAAGAAAAACAGAAAAGAGGAGAUUCUCAAAAGUUUUUGACACCCGUAGUUGACUCAAGUCUCGCCAUAUUCGUUCUAUUCAUCUGCUAAUACCAAAUAAACAUACCUUUGUUUUUUUUUUCAAAUUUCAGCUACUAGAAAUAAUUUUAUAAAGCAAGGGGCAAAUAUUAACUUAAGGAAAAGUCAUGCACGAACCAAUGGCUCUCUGUGUACAAGCUUAUUCCUCCAAUAAUUAAGUAGGAUGUUAACGCUUAUACGACAAAUUGUCAAUGUUAACAACAGUUGUUUGACAUAUUAUAGAACUCUAGAGGUGGCAAAAUGGGCGGGAUGGGUGGGAUUUGCUUGGGUUUGAGAUGAAACCGAGCCAUAUGGGUUUGGGCUUAACCUUACCCAUAUGUGUUUUGGGACUAAUUUGGACGGGAUUACUUUGGGAUGGGUUUAGAUUGAUCCCGCCCAAUACCCAAAUCUAUUUUCUACAUAUUUUUUUCCUUUAAUUCAUUUUUAAUUUUUUAUAUAACUUUAAUAUUUUUUUAUUUAUUAAAUUUCUUUUAGUUUUAUUAAAUAAACAUACAAGUGCUUUAUACUCAGGAUUCCCACCAAAAAUUGGAUUAACAAAUAAAGGAAAAGAUAGAUAUACAGCCAUAUUCCAACAUAUAUCAAGAUGGCCAAGGCACUUAGGGUGUUAAAUAUUUAUGCUCAUCAUUGUCCAAGGAUGACAGGUAUAAACUGACUGAAAUGCUGGAAAUUCUUGUGGAUAAUGACUAGGAAGACUGCUAGAUUAUAUUCGCUGGUAUGACUAUAAAAAUUGUUAAAGAUAAUUUUUGAAUCUAAGACUCCGUUUGGAUUGGCUAUUUUUUAAAAAAAUAAUUUUUUCAAAUACAAUGUUACAGUAAUAUAUAAUAACUCAAAAAACAUCCCAUCCAUAUUAGUAUAUCAAAUAUUUCAAAAAAAAUUUAUAGUAAAAAUUUUUCAUAAACACUGCUACAAUAAAAUAUUUCAAAAAUACCACCAAAAACAACUAAUCCAAACGGAGCCCUUGCCAUUUGAACCCAUGGGUACCCAAAUAUUUUCCAAAAUUUUCCAUCAAUUAAUGAGUACAAUUGGGAUUUGUUCCAUUUUAAAUCCAAUAUCAAAUUCCAAUACCCAUACCGCCCAAAGUCCCCAUGGGCAUGGGUAAUCCAUUGGGAGUUGGGACAAAUUGCCACCUCUAUAGAACUCCAACAAUUGACAAAUGUACACAUCUUUAGCCUUACAUAGAACUUUCAAUUAUUUAUUAUAUGUAUACACACAGAGAGACAUGUACAUAUAUACAAAGUGGCUAAGGAACUUUUCCAGUGAUUUUCGUCGUCCUCCAUUUGGUUAUGGUUUGCACGUGAGUCUUUGUUUUGCCAUUUUGGUUGAGUGAAGAAAGCUAGAAGUGUUAGGCUUGUUUGCAUAUUUUUUUGGAUUAAUCUCUUUUACACUGAUAAUGUAUAUACUGUCAAUUUUGAAUAAAUAAUAGCUGUGUAAAAUUUGAAUUUGAAAUUCAACUUUUAUACACGUAUCAUAAAUCUAAUAGUGAUAAUAUAUAUAAUAAAUCUAAUAGUGAUAAUAUAUAUAAUGUCUAUGUAUAUAAGAUUUAGUCUUUUUUAAUUGACAGUGAUAAUUAUAUCAUGUCCUGUUGGAGAUUAAAGUAUCGCACUUUUAGUGGUUGCGGGUUUAUUUUGUUUGUGUGUGAUUCAUUUUGUGUAGAGAAUCCUAUGCAAGCCAAGUAGGUUGAAAACUCAGGUUCUUCAGUUGUAGCACAGGUUGGAAAGUAAAAAGAAAGCGGCACGUCUUUUUAAUAUAGCUACUGCAUUAGAUAGCCUGUCCUUUCGAUUUGCUUCAACAUCUAAGGAUAAUGCAGAAUCUCAGCAUAAGAGUUCUUCUUCUCUUGCACCAGUGUACCAACCCUCUGAUCAAAUGGAAGGUAUAACUAUUGUUUGGUUUCCUCUUUUGAUUCCAUCUAAAUAGCAUAAAAAGCUAUUUGAUUCUUUCUAUAGAAAUUCUUUCUGUUAAUGCAGUUGAGCUUCCACUACUCUCCCAUUUAGUCUGCCUAUGAUCCAUGCCGAGAAUUCUUAUAUACAGCUUGGGCAUGUCCUAACCUAUGAACAAUGUGAUUUUUGAAGCUAGACCCUCAACCGAAGAUAUAUAGUUAAUUUUUAAUGAUAUAUAUUCCAACCCCGUAGAGGAUUCAUUGGGAAUGAACUUCUCACAGCUUCCAGGCGUGUCUUUCUAAUUUAUUGUUCUACAGAAAUUUUUUAUCAAACAUGUCAAUGAGUCAGAUAUUAUUCAGAUCCAAUCCAGAUCCAUCAUAUUUAUUUUGGGUUUGGAUUUAAGUUUUUAAAUUCAUACCCUACUCAGAGCCAUACCCUAUAAAAGAAUUAUACAUUUGAGUAGGGUCUGAUUUUAUAUGAUCCAUACUUAAACCCAAACCCAAACUUAAAUCCUAUAUAUAUAUAUAUAUAUAUAUAUAUAUAUAAAAGAGAUUUUGUACGAUCGAUUCAAAAGUUUUAUAUUGCAUCAGGCUAUGUUAUAUAUAGAUUGUUUUUCCAGGAUUUUUCAAUUUAGAAACUUGUUCUUUCAGUGAUAAGAGAUUUUCUAGGAUCAGUUCACAAAUUUCAUAUUGAAUCAGGCUAUGUUAUUAACUAAUUGUUUUUCCAAGAUUCUUGAGCUUGGAGACUCGUUUUUUCUGUGAGUACUCAAGCUUGAUAAGGCUCGAUUUGGCUUGAUAAGUACUCCAGCCUUAUCGAAUCAAGUUCGAGCUUAACAAUUUCCUCACAAGUCGAGCUCAAGCCAUAUAUUAGUUGCUCAAACGAGUUUGAACUCGAGUUCAAGUACCAGUAUCACCUAUCGAGUUCGAGAUUCAGUCGAGUUUGAGUAUAGCACUAAACCUCGACUCGACUCGUUUUCAUCUCUAAUACCAACUAGACUUAUUUUAUCGUUCAUUUAAGUCCCAGCACAUUUUACUUACAGCACUAAGAGCAUAGUUGAUAAAAUACAGGACAGAUAUAAUACGAGAUGCUAUCUGUAUACAUAUUAGACAAGUUUUUUUUCUCAAAAGUAUGAUUAGAAUUCAGCAUAAAAAUACGUGUUCGGGAAAAUUACUCAUAUAAAUUCGUGCAUAAAUAGUAUGAACAUAUUUGAAAGUUACAAAACUAAAAAUAUGGAUAGAUUUACUGUGGUUUUCAAAGAAUAUGCUGCUCUAUUAUACCAAUCUUAAACUUAUUUUCGUGUAUGAGAUGUUACAUUUAUUAAUUUUGUUACCAUAUUGCUUAAAUAUGUAUAAUCUACAGUUAUUAUGUUAUAUGUGACUCUUAUUUGUAUAUAACUCAUAAACAUGUCAUUAUCAUUACUCAAAUUUUAAAAUUUUUUAAAUUGAAGUAUAAUUUGCGAAGGUGAUACAUUAUAAAAGUUUAUUAAGUGUUUUGUAUGGUUAAUUGAAAAGUAAAAGUAUUUUUCAAAAUAUUUUUGAAAUGCGGGAAAUACGAAUGUUUUUUGGAAUGAUACGUAAGAACGUAUAUUCUAUGAGUAUAAUAUGAGUAUACACGAACUAGGAUAAGAGAAAACAACAGGAACGAACUAAUACUUCAAAUAAUUUACCCAUUUUACAUCCCUACUUUCUUGAAGCAUUCUCCACUGGAAGAAUCAAUUCAGACAAAUAUCCUACCCCUAUUUUUUUUCUAUUUUUUCCACUAGUUGCUCAAAUGAAUUGUUUUGGAUAUAACUAAAAUGGUUAAUAAUUGUAGAAUACGAUAAGAUAUCUACACCACUUGUAAAACCAACCAAAGAAAUCCAUAUUCUAAAUUUCAAAUUUUUGUCUACUAAGCAUUUCGUCAUGCUAAAAGAAAAAUUACUAGGCAUUUCAUCAUACAGAGGGGAAUAAAUUUGUAUCAUAAUCACUCUACAAUCAAGAUUAACAAUAAUUUUGUCUAACGAACAAGAACUUUGUACAAAAUGCUAUGUAUUAGUUAUUAAGAAUUCAUCUUGUAUAAAUAAAAUUCCGACUGAAUUUUACUUCGUCACACUGAAUGCUCCUCAUUUGCCUAAAAAAAAAUUCUCUUAAGUAAAAACACAUGGAUUAAAGAUGCUAAAAGUACAGGAAAAAAGAGGAGGUAAAGAGUUAGUGUUGCACCACGGAAGUUGACGUACACUGAACAUAUAAUUCAAAAAUGCGUUUAUUCAGGAAAAAUUUUGUAGAAAUAAAAUUAUUUGUUAUAAAAACUCAAAAGAUUGGGUCUCAUCACUCAUGGGACUCUGCAGUACCCAAGUAUUCUCAAUUCUUAUUGGGUAUUGCUGGUUCUAGUCUCAUAUAUAUUAAAUAUUCCCAACUAAUCAAAAUCUAGUAGAGUUUUAACUAUAGGUUCAAUACUUACAAUGCAAACAAUAAGAAGAAUCUAAAAACAACCCUUCAUAUUGUGUAACAAAGCGGUGCCUGUUGGAGUUCUCUCAAUAUUAACAAAUGAGAGAAGGAAAGUUGAUACCAUUCUUUCCCAAAAUUGGAGUUUUCAAAAGGCAAAUAAUAUUAGCAUUCCAAAAAAAAAAAGUCUCACGCACUCUUUCUCUUCUUUUUACUGCGUAAAAAGGCAAUAUUGCCCAUUUAUCAGUUGUGUCUAUUCGUCAACUACUGCAAUUACCCUAAGGCUUUACGGGUUGCUAUAAAAGAGUUCCUUUGCCUUUUUCUUCACUACCAAAACCAUUCUUUCCCUACCAUUGUACGUUUUCUAGCAGUGGCAAAAGAUUAAAAUUGCAAAGGCCUGCGAGAUCACGUGAAACUAGAGGAAAUCAAUAAUAUUUGAAAACCACAAGUCUGGAAGAAUUCCUGAAUUUUAUCAAUUGCUUCUAUCUUCCAUAGGUAAUAUUUUUAAAGAUUGAUCUUUUUCAUUAUUUUUUUGUUUUAUUAGAAGCAUAUAUGUUACAAGUUUGAACAUAACAAUUCAAUAUUUUGAUUAGAGAUCUUUUUUUUGGAUAGUUUAAGUUAUAAAAAAUAAUAUAUUUGUAGAAAAGAGGUCAAUUUGCAGUAGUAUGCAAAUAUAGUGGCGUUUUUUGGAUUGCCAUUCUCAGGACAAAAAUCUCAUGUUUUUCAGAAAUAUUUCCCUAACACAUUUUCAAUGAUCUUUUUACUUCAUAUACAUCACAUCUAAAAAAGUGUUACAAUAUACCCUUCCAAAAAAUGCAAUCCAAACAAUAUACUUCCAUGAUCAAUCAUAGUAGUAUUGCGAUUAGGAACCUUUUUUACAGUUAGAAUAAAAAAACUAAAAAAGAAAAAUAGAACCUAGACAACAAAAUUGAUUAUGUGACUUGACUUUCAUGAUUGCUUGAAAUAAUUCUAAUCAAGGUGAAGAUAACUUGUAGUAUUUCGGGUAAUGUUUUUCAAAGGUCAAAAGGCUGUUUGGGUACAAAAGAAUAUGAGUACUAAACUAUAGGUUUAAAUUUUAUUUCAUUUAAAUCAAAAGAAGGGAAGGAUUUAGGCCUGUCAGUUGGGCCAUUUGAAGCGAGGUUUAACAAACUCGGGUUCCGCUUUUAUAGUUAGUACCACUUUCGGGUUUCGAAUUAUGAGUAUUGGAUUGAUAAAUGCGAAACUCAUACUUGACUCACAAAAUAUUCAAAUUGUGAGUUUAAUUCAGAUUGAAAAUUCAAUUACUGUAUAGUGGCUCCUACAACCUGUCUGCCUAUAAUUCAUAAUUAUAAUAAAAAGGUUUUUUCUAUUUUGAGGAUAAGAAGUGGUCCGAUGUCAUUUUGUUGGUAGAUUUUCUUGAAAUGAAAUUCUAAAAUUUCCAAAGUGGAUCCAUAAAAUUUUUUUAAUGUGCUUUCUCAUGCCCUUAGGGAACAUUACAGAAAAAAACUUUAUGAGGAAAAAUAUAAUCUGAAAUUGUUUUAAAUUCCGAAUCUCAAUAUUGCUGUAAAAUAUGGGUAGAAAAGUACAGAAAAUAGACUGAAAAAUAAGCUUUAAUCUAUAAACCGAUAAGAACAAUUGAAGAUGUCCAAAAAGAAUAGUAUGCCAAAUUAAUUUUAGUUGAAAUACGUGAAGAAAUGAAGAAAAGUAUGUAUUGUAUAUACACUGAUAAUUCAUCUCUCCCAAGUCAUUAUUGCGCGUAAAGUCUGCAAUUUGGUCUUCCUAAAAUUGCGUAUGUUAAUAAACAGAAAUGUGUAAACGAAUUGCUGCUAAAUUUCAUAUAAAAUUGCUAUAUUGAAGUAUCUGAUUAUUGUCACCUUUUCAGAUUUGACUUGACCUCUUAAAAGGAAACUAUACAUUAGGAGAUUAAAAAGAGACUUUCUUAUUCGUUAAUAUCUUGUUUGUGUGUUUGAUAAAACUGAAAUCUAAAACCUGACAUAUAAAAUCUAAAGAUCUGAAAUUUGAAUCUAUUAAAUUGUUAAGUACUGAAAUUUUAACAUUUGAGCAUAUUUUGCAUUGAAUGAUAAAUGAACAGUCUCUCACUUAUUGUUUUGAAUAGGUUUUGCCUAAGUAAUUCAAAGCCAUUUAAUUAAUUAAGACGUUUUAUUUUUUAUUAUCAAGCAUAUCUGAAUAUAUUAAGAUUUAAAUCAAUUAAAUUUAAGUACUGAAUUGGGUUAUUGCAGAGGCCCUGUCCUGGGCCUGGACACGUGGCAGCCCAGGUAUGACCGAGCUGGGCCGCGGCCCCAGGCCCCUGGCAGCCACCCUGGGCCGCUCUGCUGCUAGGGCUCAUGACGGGGCAGGGGACCAUCCCGCAGAGGUCGGAGGGAUUCCCCCUCAUCGCGGGAUAAGGGCUAUACCGGGCAAGUCCCGAAACGUACGGAGGUCGGACUCCCUCGCAGGUAUAAAUGAUAGCACACAUCGACUGUACAAGGUACGCUCACUAUUGGCAAAUUACUCCCGACUGUUUUUUCUUCCCGUGAACCUCACUCACCGGAAAACUAACUUGAUCGUCGGAGUGCCUCCGGGGACCACCUCGGAGCCCCUUUGUGAGAUCACUCUUUCGUUUGCUUUGCAGGUUUGGAACCAGCUCUUCCAUCAGCACGCCGAGCUCUUCAGUUCAGCUCGGUCCGGGGAAGUUCCGUGCUUCUUCAGUGGUACCAGGACUUCAACCCCAAGACCCUUAUACACAAGGACCAGGGUUCGAAUCUUGGGGAGGCCCCCCUCCAAGCACCCGAUAUUGGGGUGGACAAAAUACACAAUUGGCCUCCACGGGGGAAGCUCUGCGCUUCUUCAGUUAUCAAACAAUAAAUUACACUUUUGUUGUCUGAAUAAUCGAGUAAUAGCCAUUUCUUUUGUCAAUAUAAAAGUUUGCUGAGAAGGUUUUGAUACGGUAAUGAGAUCGAGGUUCUAAAAUUUAGAUGUCUUGAGUUCUAAUUUCUUUUAUCUCUCCCCACUUCUUAAAUCCCACCCUACCUCUUAAAUCUCAAGUUCUUUUUGUCUUUUUUUUUUUUUUUUUCAAAAGUUUGCUUCUUACUAGUCUUGUAUCCCUCUCUAUCUUCAUCUUAAACACCAAAAAUGGAAAGAGCACUCCUUGAGAAAAAAAAAAUCAGGAAAUAUAGCAUUCGUAGAAUUAAAAAGACAAACUAUCAUUAUUCCCGAAAUCAGCUGGUAGGAGGAAAGGAGACAGAAAGGAUCAUGAAAUGAAAUAAAUGAACCAGCUAUAUUAAUUUUUUUUUCUCUUAUUUGUUGUCUUUGUUCAUUGAGAAAUUUGAAAUUAAGUUUUUAAAAAACUUAUGUAACUACUCUUAGGCUUUGUUCGCUCUAAUUUCCUUCCCAUUCUCUCUAAAACUUCAAUCUUGACACAAAAUUUGCAAUACUUCAAAUGCUGACUUGCAUAGUGUGCCACAAAAUAAUAGUAUAAGGUACUGAAGUGCUAAAAUUAAUAGUUUUGGGAGCAAAGUCAAAAUUAAUGACAACUUAUGAAGAAGUUCAAAUUAACAUUAGUUUAGGGUGUAUAUUGCAAUAACCCUUUUUUUUUUAUUUCCAUCAUGCAAUGCAUAUUGGAUUCUUUGUGAACACUAUGGAAGCAAACCUACUCUCAUUUGACAAAAGAAUUACUUUGUAUUUUUUUUUAUCGCGUCACUAUUUUUUGGUUUUCUAUAUCUUAAAAAGAAUCCACCUAUCAAAAAUCAUUGAAAUCAAUGAAAUCAUGUGUCUAAAUGAUAGAUAUAAAACCCGAUAGAUAUAAAAGCAAUAGAUAUAGAGUCUACAUAUAGAACGAAAUUGGAAAUUCAAAAAAUUUUAGCUGUUUUGGAUUAGGCUGUUUUUUGGGGUAUUUUUUGAAAAUUUUGCUAUAGUAGAGUUUUUAGAGUAUAUUUUGAAUAUUUUUAAAAAAUAUUUUGGGAUAUUUAAGAGAAGACGAGUUUCUAGAAUAUAUUUGAAAUAUUUUUUUAAAAUUUAAAAAAUUUUAACUAAUUUUUAUAUUAUCUUUUAUAGUACCUUUUAAAAAUUUUAUUGUAUUUAAAAACACUCCAAAACAGGGAUCCAAACAAGCCAUUAAAUAUGUUUAAACGAUAGAUACAAACAUUUGAAAAUUUUAAAAUUAUAAAGUGAGUGACCAUUUAAUUUGCCAUCCGCGUUGUAUAAGUCGUGUGUCGUUUCCUUUCAAAAAUAACUUUUGUUUUGAUAUUAAACAUUUUCAUAUAAACCGUACAUCAUGACUUUUAUGUCGACAAGAAAGUCUCACGAAACUACUAAAUUUCAUAUAUGGCGAAGUAAGUACAUGCACGCACGAGUGAAAUUGGGUGACAAUUUGUUAGUUAAUUGUACACGUGGAUUGACUUUCAGCGCUUCUUUUUUUCUACUUCUAUAAGUUCCUUUACCCCAGUAACUGUUGCAUAGGUGCCGACGUGAAUAUGCGCCUUGAGGACAACCGGAUGACUAUUAUGUAAGUUGCACGAUUUUAUACUCAUGAAUACAUUAAAAGAAAUGAUAAUAAUAAUAAUAACAAACAAUGGAUUUUUUUUUGGAUGGUGAAUUAUUUACUCUUUUUUUAUUUGCUUACAUUAUCAACAUAUUUUUCAGUUAUCUUUUUUAUUUCAGAUAUAUAUCACAUUAAAAAGUACUGCAUAAAUUUUUUUAAAAAUAUCCCAAUAAUCUAUUAUCCAAAUAGUUGAGCCCAAAUAAUCUAGGAAAUCGAAUUGUGGCAUAAUUUGAUGCCCAUGGCCUAUUAUUUUCAUGUGUAGAAGCAAUAUGGGAUGAAAUAUUUUUCUACAUUGGCUUAGCUAGAGUGUUGAUAAUUUUCCACAUCUUGAUUAUGCUAACAUACUAAUGUAGUUUUUGUUAAUGAAUUUGUCGAACAAGAAUCCAUUUUUUUUAAGACAUUUAGAAAAAAUGUCAUGUGUUAGUUUUUUUUGUUGGUGAAAAUUUGAAAUUAAAUACGGAGAGUGUUCAUGUGCAAGGGCAGAAAAUGUAAUUUUAAUGUAAAUAAAGUGUAUUAAUAAGUGCCUAACGAACACCUGAUAGGAAAAUCUUUACUCCCUCCGUCCCACUUUGAUAGUCCUGUAUUCCUUAUUCAUCUGUUCCAAAUUGUAGUCCACUUUCCAAUUGAAGAAUGUAGUUGUAUUUUAAUUUUUCUAAAAUACCCUUAUUCAAUGUAAGUAAUUUGUUACUAUAAACCUACCACAUUUAAUGAGAGUUGAUUCUUUUUUUACCAUCAAUUCAAGUUCUUAUAGCGUUUACCAUAUUUAAGUGAGAGUAUUUUAGAAAAUAGCAAUCUAAAUUUACUUUUUCCAACAAAAUUAUUUUUCACAUGUUAAGCCUACAACUCUAUUUUAUAAUUGAGAUUUAUUAAUUAUGCUGCUUCUGAACCAGAAAAAAGGGAGUUCAAAAAUAUAUGACUAAGGAAAAGAAAUUAAAAUUGGUUCCCGAUGAGUGUAACAUCAUUUUCAAAGUGUAAUUUAAUGCUAUGGGCCAAAAAAGAAAAGUGCAAAAUAAAGCUUCUGUAUCUUUCAAUAAAAUUAUUGUGUGGCCUGAAUUCAAAGACUAAUGGAUAGAUUAUUAUAGAUAUUCACAUACAUGUCAUCAUUCUAGUUCUAGGAAUGAACAAUCAUUGAUUAAAAUGGGUCCACAAUUUUGACUCUUCGAGCUCGAGGUUAAGAAUUAGGUGAGAUGUGUGAUUGAAAGGUACCACUGUCUAUGAACAUUGCAUGGAAUUAGAUUGAUUACUUAUUGUUUAACUUUUGGGGUAUUAAUUGUGGGUCAUAUGCAUCUCUGGGAUUUCGUCAACUUUGACAUGCAAAUGUUAAUUUGCUAUUCACAUAAAUAUAUAAAAGGAUGGUGCAAAUUAAUCCACUUAUAUCACGGCCUAAUGACGUUUGAUUAGCAAAUUUAGAAAUUUAAUCAUCCAUAAUUUUUUUUAUUGAUCACUGAGGCUGCUGGAAAUCUGGAUUGGCAUUUAUUUGUGAACAACUAAGUAUGGAUAUGCAUCACUAAACAGUCACUUGGGUGGUCAGUAAUCAGGGAAUAAUGACUUUUAUGCUUGUUUGAUACGUAGGAAUGGCAUGAAAAGGAAGAUUUUUUCAACUUAUCCAUAUUCAUUCCAACGUUUGAUAUGGUUCAUUUAAGUGAAAAAAUCCUUUUUCCUUAAAAUAAUCAUUCUAACUUUUUUUUUUUUUGGAUUCCAAUCUAAAGAUUUAGGAAAACCUUCGUCCUAGAAUCCUAAAAAGUAGGAUCAAAUUUAUCCUUAUAAAUCUUUAAUUGCAUCGUAAUAUCUUAGGGCUAUUUGUAAGCUCAAUUAGUAUUUUAAAUGCAAAUUUUCAUAAUAAUUAUAACAUUUUCUUUGUAUUAAGAAACAAAUGGUUUAAAUACUUUAUUUUUUUGACUUUUGAAAAAUUGUGUAAGAAUUUUUUUGAAUCUCAUCAAAAUUGGAAAAUAGUAAAAAAUAUAAUUAUUUGACUUCAUUUAUUUUUGCUAAUCAUAUUGCUAAUAAAAAAAUUAAAAUUCUUAUAUUAGAAUAAUAUCACAAUGAAGAAUUUGAUAUCAAUCCUCAUUCAUUUGAAGUUAAAAUAUCAAAAUUUCACGUAAAUAGACAAAUACUGUUAUAGAACAAAUAAAACAAAAGGCAAUAAGAUAUAUUACGUCUAUAAACUAAUAUAGGGUAAUUAAGUCAAAUUUGUAUUUAGUAUAUUCCAUUCCGAAAUCUAACUAUUAAUUAUACAAAACAUUGAAAACUGAAAAUACAUUCCAUUGUGGCUUGUCUAUCAAAUCCUGGAAUAAUAAAUUUUUUUUCCUACCAUUCUGGAUGGAAAUGUACUUUAGGUGGAAAGGCCUUUCAAUUUUGGGUAUUCCUUGUUUGCCUGAUAGUUAGGGAUUGGGAAGGGUUAAUGUAUCACUAAACGGGAACUAUUUAUGUGAAUUUUCAACUGACAUUGGAACUGUCAAUUUUAUUUUUUUUUAUAGUUAUCCACAUGUUAUUUUACACCAUUUGCUCGUACUGGGAAACUUGUCGUCGUCUUUUUGAAUUUAAAAGAAAAGAAGCACAAAAAUUGGCAAGAUACAAAUUGUGAAACAGUCGUGUUGAAAAAACAUAAUUUCUUUAAUCAGUUAAAUGAGUAAAUAUCAUUUUAUUACUGCACCGAAAAAGCAAAAUUGCCUCAUUGAUAAAGGUUAAUUUCCAUAAGCUAGGUAAAAACAUCGGCCAGUUUUCUGCUGACAACAAUAUUUCUUCCAUAUGCUGACCUCCGGGUUUUACGUGUGAUUGCAUGUACUAUAAUGCCAUAAAUCACAACAGUUUCUUCUAGGCACCAAAGGUAAAAAAAUUUAGGAUUAAUCUUAUAUAUAUAUACUGUUCGUGAAUAUACUGUCAUCAUUAGUGAUGAUAUAUGUGCAAAAUUUAAAUUUGAUGUGUUAUCCAUUCAAUCGUAAUAAUAUAUACAAUGACAGUAUAUGUAAAAUUUAUUCAAAAAUUUAUGCCCUAUCUGCGUCAUACAAAACAUGUCCAUGUAGGCAAUUCAAACAAGAAAGUCUGUAUGAAUGAUCUCAGGCUGCCUUCAACAAGUUUGCGAUUGACAUUUAAUCUUUGAAUUUUUUUUAAUAUUAUUGGAAAUUUUCUUGAUUAUUUCUUAAUCAUGUUUUCUAACCAUUGAUUCAUCCUUCUGCUCUAUUAUUGACCCGUUUAGUUCACAUAUAUCACAUUAAAAAACUAAUACACGACAUCCCACUUAAUAUUGCAUGUGGUGUGUGAGAAAAAUUUGUCAAAGUUCAAUUAAGAUAGAUGUGGCGCUGUCGCCACCCAGUCAAUAAUUUUUCUUUGGUCAAGGAAUUAGUAUCAUAUUUAUCUUUUCAGAAAAAGGCUUAAACACAUCUUUGUCUCCCUCUAAUCGAAAGUUAAUUACAAUUUACCCCCUGUAUUCAUGAUAACAGACAAACUACCCUCGAAGUGUAAUUCUUGUUUGUGUAAAUCGAAUGUGUCUCUUUCAAUUGUGAAAAGACAAUUACACCAUAUAAAUUUUUGGUUCCAAUAGAUAAAUUGCAGGAAUUUUUCAUGUGCAUAUCAUCUAAUAUUUGGAGGUGCUACGUGGGUAUUUUAUUUCUUAAUAGCAGAAAUAUUACUUAUUUGAUUCUCCUGCUCUAUCUUGGGUGCAAUGUUGGAAUUGUGCAGGGAAGAACAACAUGAAAGUCUUUCCCAAUCAGAAUCCAUUUUUAUCUAAUCGAGUGACAUGGAGAAUGAGGAAACUUGUGGGUUUGUUCCAAAGACUAUUGAAAAAAAAAAAUCACAAAGACUAUGAAAAAAUUGUCCACAAAAGUUAAUUGUAUUUGUUGAAUGGAGCCCAUGAAAACAGAUAAAGAUUGCUUAGUUUGAUUAUGGUCUCAAAAAUUUGCUACGUGAUAUACACUUCAGAUUUAAUUAAUUAUCAGAAAGGCAGCAACCAUUUAUUUAAAAUUUACAAUCUUAUAAUGCUAAUACCAUUACCAUUCCUUUAAUCCGGUUUAUUUUGAAAGCAUACCCUCAAAGAUAUUAUCUAUUAUUUUUGGAAGAUAAAAAACCAAUCUUAUUCAGCCCAGAUGCUAAAAGAAUCUCAAAGUUGGAAACAAAAGGAAAGAGGCAUUUGUGAACUCUGAUGGUGAAGAACAUGAUUAUGAAAUAUUAGGGAAAAAAAAGUGGGAAUUUGCUAAUACUCAUUAAAAAACAAUUUUAGGAAUGUCUGAUUUUUUUUUUUUUUUUUUAGGAAUAUCCGAUUUUUUAAACUGAAAAGGGGUCUUUCUUGAUUCUCAUUGGAGUUUCGUUUCUCAAAUGGUUAAGGCUAAAAGUUGGCCUUUGCGGCACAAUUCCCUUCAAUUUAGCCUUCAAAAAUUGACGAAGAUGGAAGGCAUUCUUUGCCAUUCUCCUGUGUACAUUGAGGAAACAUCUCCAGUCUGGAAUUUUAAACUCCAUUUUAGGAGACAGAUUAUUUUAGGUAGAAUUUAGUUGUACAUUUGAAAGUUGUGAAGAGGGAAAAUAGUUCUUAAACAAAUUAAUUGUGUCACACGACUUUUCUUUAUCUGCCCUAGGUUUUUAGAUAUCAUAGUAGGAGGCCCUAUAUAAAUACAUAAUUUUUUUUCAACACUUUCUUGACAUUCUUCAUCAAGAAAUGGAUUCUAACAUGUUUGAUCGACAAGUUUCAUCCUCAAACAGGUUAAUUAAAUACAGUUGAUCUUCCUAGUAAUAUUUCUUAGUCAUUAAUUAAUUGCCCUGCCUUUUUUUUUUUUUCUUUUGGAUGGUCUAGGCUUGAGGGAAAAGUUGCAAUCAUAACCGGUGGUGCAAGAGGAAUUGGAGGUGCCACAGCAGAGUUAUUUGCCAAGAAUGGAGCUUAUGUUGUCAUUGCUGAUGUACUAGAUGAACUAGGAUCACACUUAGCUACUUCAAUUGGAGGGCGCUACAUACAUUGUGAUGUUUCAAAGGAAAAAGAUGUCGAAGCAGCCGUAGAAUUCGCCUUAGCAUGGAAAGGCGAACUAGACAUCAUGUUCAACAAUGCUGGAAUUGGCGGCCCUGGAGGAAGCAUCUCUGAUCUCGACAUGGAAGAUGUUAAAGCCGUCCUCUCCAUCAAUCUGUAUGGCAUCAUCCAUGGAAUCAAGCAUGCUUCGAGGGCGAUGAUCUCGGGGAAAAAUGGAGGCAGCCUUAUCUGUUCAUCAAGCUCAGCAGCCAUCCUGGGAGGUCUAGCUUCACAUCCCUAUACAGCAUCAAAAAAUGCAAUUCUUGGACCGGCAAAAACCACUGCUUGUGAGCUGGGAAUGCAUCCGAUUCGCGUAAAACUGCAUUUCGCCUCAUGGGAUCCCUUCUGAAAUGCUGUUGGAUGCCUAUAGGGUAUGGCUUGGGAAGGAUGAUAUUAAACCUGAAGAUGUUACUCAUGAGAUCGUAGGUGAAAGGGCAAGUCUUCUGAAAGGAAGAGGUGGUAAAUUUGAAGAUGUUGCAGAAGCUGUGUUGUUUUUGGCUAGUGAUGAAUCUGGAUUCAUAGCAGGCCACAAUCUUGUGGUUGAUGGAGGCUUUACUUCAGCUGUUAGUCACUUGAGUUUCAUUUACACUCCCAUUUACUAGGCUAAAGCUACACUAGAUACAAGAUAUAAUUAAUAUGUUGUCUCUUGCUUAUUUGUUGUCAAUCUAUAGAUCCAAAGAAUGUUGUGAUAAUGUAUUUUUUUUUUCUGUUUAAUAAAUCAUCUUUGUGCAUUUUUUGUACCAUCCAAAUUGAUUUAAUUACAAACCAGUUCUAAAUGGACUAAAUUUUUCAGUACAUAUAAGGUCAGUUAUAUUUCAAUGUUGAAAAGAAGCACAAAAUAUGAGUAGGUGAGAAUUGUGAAGCAAUUAGUCUUAACUUUGAGGCUGAGAAAAGUGAGAUGUCAUUUUUUUUAAAUGUGUAAUAGGCAAAUACAUCAUAAAUGUUAGAAUUUCUUAUGAACGUAAUAUUAUAGCAGUGAGAGUUUAUUGUAUGAAGGAAGAUGAAAAACACUAUCCCAUUAAUAAUAUUACAGUAUUACUCUCAUCUAGAGGUAAAAAUAUGUAAACAAUAAUGUCUCCUUAAAUUAUUCUGCAUAUUAUCAACCCAAGCACAAAAAAAAAAAGAUUAUUUUUCAUAAAAAAAUAGAAUAUGUUGAAGAAAUUUGUUUUAAAAGUGUGCUGUUGAUUUAAAGAUGGCAAUAAUUGGAUAACCUGAUGGCUUAAUUUAACUAAGUUGCUUUCACUAGCUAAUUGGUUAUGGCAAUUGCUACUCCUCCCCACAUUGAGAAGUCUUUUAAGAUGGGCAGUCCCUAAAUUCAUGACUAUGCUAACUAUGUGAUCUUUUCAUGCAUUUGUCAUUGGAAUUGUCAAUUAUUGGAUUUAACUCGAACACAUUAACAAAGUUACGGUGCAAACCAUGUCAAAGUAAAAAUUCAACAUUUGCAACCGAAGUAAAGAAUAGUAAUUAAAUAUUCCUCUUCAUUUGCCUUACUGUGGACUUUUGAGGUAAUUAAGUUCCAUGAUCAAAAUAAUGAUCUAUCUGAUUAUUAAAAUUAGUUUAUUGAGUUUUUUUUUACUAUAAUAAGACAAGUAAUCUAGAACACCACACUAUAUAUCAGUAGUAAAUCAAUCAAUUCGCUUCCUUCUUCUUCUUCUUCCUCUUUUUCGGAAAUACGAAUUUGCAUCCUUGACCUUUUGUGGUUCUUACUUUGCACUAAGCAUAUUUCUUAACCUAGAUUUUUGUGUCUCUAUUUUCUAGAUGAAUUGAAAACAAAAACUUAAGUGACAAGGAAUGCUAACUAAAUAACUUGUGAGGUCUAUACCUCCCAAUUUACUUCCAAUUAAAUGAGGAACUUGAGGCUGUAAUAAACUUGAUCAACGUCAUUCCCCCACAUCUUAAGAAGAGUUUGUGUCAUUAGUUGAUACAUUAUGAACUUUCCAAUUUAAUCAAGGGUUUUUCUUGGGUACAAUAGGCGCUCAUUAAUACACCUAAUACAACUAACCUAUCAUACAAAUUAACAUUAUUUUUUCAAAAUAUGAACACCUGAAUUUCAUCUUUGGGCAAUAGUAGAUUUGGACACUCGUUAGUCAAGACCUUUAAUCAAUUAUGUAACAGAUUUUGCUCUAUCAAUUGUAUGGAAUAACAGUAGGAGGAAAAUGUCCUACAGAAAAGUUGGAGCAAGCAAAAACUGAAAAAGGAAAACAUUAAAGUGCAAUAGUCAACAUAACACUUUUAGUUUUGGGCGCUUUAUUAGAAUUUGACCCAUUUAUUAAUAAUUAUCUUAUGAAGUUGUCUGAUGACAUUUACACAUCAAAAGCUACACCGUCGCAUUAUCACACAAUUACAGGGCUAGUUGCUAUACGUGCAAAGGUGUGUGAAGUAGCCUUAGACAGAUUCCCAAGUAUAGCUAACUUUGAUGCCUGAAAGUGGAAGUACCUAUCAUUUUCACCUCUGCUAUUUAGGCACAUUUAUAGGGAACUCACUUAGACACACUAAUAGGAACUCAACUGAUCAUCAGUAGCUAUUAAAAUGCACACAAACAGUUAAAAAGUUAAGAACAUAGCAUUUAUAGGUAGGCUAAAUGGGGCAAAAAAGAAUCAAGUGCUGUUUAAUUAACAAAAGGACAGAUUUAAUUAUUGAUCGUGUAGAGUAUUUAUGAGACAUUAGAGUGGCAGAUUUAAAAUUAUGCAUUACCCUUUUUUUCUUUUGAAAACAAUAACACCUCAUGCAUAGUUGAUAGAUACGUGUUAGGUAGAGCUAAGCGAAUUUUCUAUUUUUGGGGAAAAAUAAGACAUUCAAUGCCUUUUUUUCAUUUUUUAAAUUUUUUCUUUGUUAAAAAAAAAUUCUUUCCCUACUAAUAAAAAAGUAAAGGAAUAAAGAAACCAAAAUCCUUUUUUUUUCAAUUUUUUUUUUUGCAAUUUUUCGUUCCUUAUAACUUGCAAUAAAAAAGUAAAAAGGCACCAUAAUCAUUUUUCAAUUUUUUCUUUUUUAAAAAAAAUACUUUUUCUACUAAAAAAAGUAAAAAAAAAAAAAGAAACCAAAAUAUUUUUGUGCUUUUUUGGAUUUUUUUAUUUUUUUGGUCUUUUUUGUUUUUGUCAAUGUUUUUUGUUCUUUGCUUGCAAAUAAAAAAGGAAAAAAGAAACGAAAAUCUUUUUUCACUUUUUUUGAUUUUUCAAGUUUUUUUAAAAUUCUUUUCCUACCAAAGAAAAGUAAAUGAAAAAAAAGAAGCCAAAAUAUUUUUGUGCCUUUUUGGAUUUUUGGAUUUUUUUUGGUCUUUUUUUUCAAUGUUUUUUGUUCUUUGCUUGCAAAUAAAAAAGAAAAAAAAGAGACGAAAAUCUUUUUCACUUUUUUGAUUUUUCAAUUUUUUUGAAAAUUCUUUUCCUACCAAAGAAAAGUAAACAAAAAAAAAGAAGCCAAAAUAUUUUUGUGCUUUUUUGGAUUUUUGGAUUUUUUUUUGUCUUUUUUUUCAAUGUUUUUUGUUCUUUGCUUGCAAAUAAAAAAGAAAAAAAAGAGACGAAAAUCUUUUUUUCACUUUUUGAUUUUUCAAUUUUUUUUGAAAAUUCUUUUCUUACCAAAGAAAAGUAAACGAAAAAGAUGAAGCCAAAUCUUUUUUGCUUUUUUGGAUUUUUUGAUUUUUUCAAUGUUUUUUAAGCAAAUAAAAAAGAAAAAAAGGAGGAAACCAAAAUCUUUUUUUCUUAAUUUUUAAAAUUUUUUUGUCUUUUUGGUUUUUUCAUUGUUUUUUGAAAUUUAUGAUUCUCUUCAUAGCUACUACUAGGCUAAUUACUUAGCUAAUAAUCAAAUAAACCAGUGAAAGAAAUUGAGAUUUUCAAACCUGUUGUUGCGCUUUGCCCGCCAAAUCCUCAGCAACUCUGGACAGGGUCCGCAAAUUCAGUUUCACGAUCGUAUCCACAAAGGCACACAUCUCUUCUUUCGUGUUGGCCUCGGCCGCAUCAAUCACGUAAGUCUCCACAACCACCGUCUCAUUGCCGCCAUUGGGGUGUAGGCUCAUGAUCGAGCGAUAGUUCGACAACCGGUGGUCGCCGCCGACAAUGCUGAAGCGCCGAAGAUCGCUGAGUCAUGAUGACAAUACGAAUCAUGCGAGCGCUCGAUGGGCUAAUAGAGGCUGGAAGUCCUGAACGCGACCAUCCACACGCGUGUCAUCCAACUAUGGCUUCGCCCUGGCCAUCUAUGAUGUCUGCCGGAUCUACGAUGGCUUGUGUUUUUGAUGAAUAGGAUGUUAAUUGUUAGUAAUUUUAUUGUUAAUUUUCCUUUUUAUCCUUGCCAAAUAUUGCUUUAAUUUGUUUUAAUUGUCAAUAUAUAUUUAUAUUUGGUAUUUGGAUAUAAUUUCAGAAAUGGGAGCAGAAACCUCUUGAGAAGAUUAUUGUGGAACUUUGCACAAUUUUGGUGCAAACCAACGUAGAAGAAUGGAAUUGCAUUUGGGAAUUCAAUUUGGCUAGACAACAUGUCAAAGUUAGUGGGGACCGCAAAUAAGUUGUAUUGUCUUAAGUGUGCUUUCUUUGCACAUUUUUGGUUUGCUCUCUUAUUUGUGAACGUGUGCACUUGGUCAAAGGGAACCGACAAACCAUAGUUGGCUUUGCUUUUGUUUUCGGUGGAGUUGAUUAGGUAAGGAAGGAAUGUUUUUCUUUUGUGAGCGUGGAGUGAAGUUUGGAAUUGGCUUGUUUUUAUGCGGGGGAGAGCCGCACAUUUCGGGGGUGAGUUUUUCUUCCUCUCUUCCGUCUGGGAAGAGGAGUUUUAGUUUUUCUCUCCGAGGGAUGUUCCAGAGGAGAGAAUAGGGAGUUGUUUUGGUUUGUUGAAUUCUAGUGUGCAAUUUUCUUAUUCUCUUCUGAGAGCUUUGUUAUUCACUCUCUCAAUUAUCGAAGAAAGAUGAUGUCUUUAAAUUCAAUUGAAUUGUGUGAAGAUUUUCUUAUGAGGCGUGGCUAAUUUUCUCCUCUAGUCAAGGAUCAACGCGAAGACGCAGUCCCAAAUAUCUGUGAGAUCUAAUUAAUUUUACAUGUUCCUUAAUUUGUUAAUAUUUGCAUGUUUUCUAUUUUAAUUUCCAUGGGAUUAUUUUGUUAAUUGGAUAUCAAGGGCCCGAUGUGCAAUUUGACUUUUUAAUCUCUUGUCAAAUUAAUCAAUUAAAUCCGUAAUUGUUUAGUUGGUUAAUAUUAGUGGCAACUAGUAUUUUCACAUACUAGGAGAACAUGCAAUCUGAUUUAAAUAACCCUCGUAGCGUGUUAUUAAUUUGGGUUAGACUUUUCUAGUUUUUAAUGCAAUUAGGAAAUUAAUUCCUACGGUCGUACCUAGGAGUAUUUCCUAGUUAGAGGUAAUCAACGGUCGUACCUUGGUUAUCAAUAAAUUAAGGAAAAACUGGUCGUUAGAGUUUAUCGGCGACUAUAACUAGCCUAUUAAUUAAAUUAAGUGAACCUUCUUUGCAUCAAUGAUCGGAUGAAUGGACUGUGUCUGCGUAGUUGUAUCCUUGGCUAGAAUUUAUUUAUUAUUUAUUUAAUUGCUAUUUACAAUUGUAUUAAUUAAUUAUUUAUCUUUGGUUAAAUUGUUUAAUUAUUUUUAGUUAAAUUGUUUAAUUAUUUAUUUUUUGUUUUAUCUGAUAAAAAUCCCCCGUGUCCCGAACUUGAAAAGAAUCGAAUUUUUUUCCAAUCCCUGUGGAUUCGACCCUACUCACUACUAUACACAGAAAAUUCAUUUUUCUCGAGUAGGUAUUUAUUAUUGCACAGGCUCGACACCUGUCAAUUUUUGGCGCCGUUGCCGGGGACUGGCGUUAAUUAUUUGUUUCUUUUUAAGUUCAUUUUUGUUCUAAUUUUCUGGUAUUUUUCUAGUUUAUGUCUCGUUCUUCUCGUACAGGCGAAUUAAUUUUCGAUCCUGAAGUAGAGAAGACCGCGCGUAGAACGAGAAAAGAAACCAGGCGGCUCAGAGAAGAGCAAUACGGUAUUGCACCUCAGGGACUUGAUCCAGAGGUUGAGCCGACAAAUUUGUCUGGUGACAAUUCGAGUGAUUCAGACCAAGAGGAAGUCACUAUGGCAAAUGCACGAACAUUAAGGGAGUUGGCUGCUCCUGAUUUAAAUCAGCAGCCCUUGUGCAUUACUUUUCCAAAUUUAAAUGAUGACACUCCCUUUGAACUAAAAUCUGGUCUAAUUCAUCUCUUGCCAUCUUUUCAUGGUCUACCAGGUGAGGAGCCCUACAAGCACUUGCAAGAAUUCGACGUCGUUUGCAAUAGUAUGAAGCCUCCGGGAAUUACAGAAGAGCAAAUAAAGAUGAGGGCUUUCCCCUUCUCUUUGAAGGACUCCGCAAAAGACGGGCUCUACUACCUACCUCCUGGUAGUAUCACCACGUGGGAUCAAUUGAAGAAAAAAUUUCUGGACAAGUACUUUCCGGCGUCUCGAGCUGCGAGCCUAAGGAAAGAGAUAUGUGGCAUCAAACAACACCCAGGCGAGUCACUCUAUGAGUACUGGGAGAGAUUUAAGAAACUGUGCACCAAAUGCCCUCAACAUCAGAUAAGUGAGCAACUGCUCAUCCAAUAUUUCUAUGAGGGAUUACUUUUCAGGGACAGAAGCAUAAUCGAUGCUGCAAGUGGAGGGGCGUUGGUGAACAAAACCCCUCGAGGAGCAUGGGAGUUGAUUGAAGGGAUGGCUGAGAACUCACAACAGUUUGGUUCAAGAGAGGACAUCCCGACGCGCAGGGUGAAUGAGGUGGAAACGUCCUCUAUCCAACAGCAGAUCUCCGAAUUAACAUCUUUUGUAAGACAAUUAGCUGUGGGGAAUGCUUCACAAGCCAAAGUGUGUGGGGUGUGCACUGCCGUGGGUCAUCCUACGGAAAUGUGUCCACUGGUUCAAGAAGAAACUGCAGAACAGGUGAACAUGGCUGGCCACGCGCCCGCGCCAAGAAAGCCAUAUGAUCCAUACUCAAACACCUACAAUCCUGGUUGGAGGGAUCACCCCAACCUUAGCUAUGGAGGAAAUAGGCAGUCUAACUUUGUGCCAAAUAGACAGCAAGGACACCAACAGCAGUAUCAUCCUCGCCCACCACCACCACCACCCCCUUCAAACUCAAGUCCGUCCAUGGAAGAAAUGAUGAAGCAAUUACUUGCCAAUCAACAAAAGACGGAUUCAGACCUGCAAAGCAUGAGAAAUCAACUGGGACAGGUGCAAUCAUUGCAAAAUCAAAUGAAUCAAAUGGCUAUAACAAUCAACCGUUUGGAGUCCCAAGUUCAAGGAAAAUUGCCAUCUCAACCUGAGGCAAAUCCAAAGAAUGUAAGUGCAAUGACCUUAAGGAGUGGCAAGGAAGUUCAAGGACCCGAACCGGUGAUUCCUAAAGACAAGGACGAGGAACAGAUUGAAAAAGAAUUGGAAGAGAAGGGCACAGACAACAAAAAUGCAAAGGUACCCUCGAACCCAAUUCCUACAACUAAAACUAAUCCACCUCCCUUUCCUAGCAGGUUAGAGAAACCAAAGAAGCAAGACAAGGAAAAAGAGGUCCUGGAGAUCUUUCGCAAGGUGGAGAUCAACAUACCCCUACUGGAUGCGAUUAAACAAGUACCCAGGUACGCAAAAUUUUUGAGGGACCUGUGUGCCAAUCGCAAGCGGUUGAAAGGGGAUGAACGAGUUAUAGUUGGGGAGAAUGUUUCGGCAAUUCUACAAAGGAAACUUCCACCAAAAUGCGGAGAUCCAGGUAUGUUUACUAUUCCUUGUAGGAUAGGUAAUACUUUGAUUGGAAAGGCCAUGUUAGAUCUAGGAGCAUCGAUUAAUGUCAUGCCGAAAUCUAUUUAUGCUUCUUUGAACUUAGGCCCUUUGAAAGAAACUGGAAUAAUAAUCCAACUAGCUGACAGGACCAAUGCAUACCCUGACGGGUUGAUUGAAGAUGUUUUGGUAAAAAUUAAUGAAUUGGUUUUUCCAGCUGAUUUUUAUGUGCUCGACAUGGAGGAUGAACACUCCCGUGAUCCGUCACCUUUGUUGUUAGGUAGACCCUUUUUUAGCACAGCCCGAACCAAAAUUGAUGUUAAUAAGGGUACUUUGUCUAUGGAAUUUGAUGGUGAGAUUGUCCACUUUAACAUCUUUGAGACCAUGAAAUAUCCAUCCGAUUCAAAUGUUGGCUCUGUUUUCUUGGUAAAUGUUAUUGACCCUGCUAUACAGGAGGUUUUUGAAAUUGAAGGCAGGGAUGAGCUAGAGGUCGUUCUGACCAGGCACUUCGAGUCCGAAACAACCUCUGGAGUAGAGUUGAGUGAAGAGCUUAAAUGCGUGAUUGGAUCGUUGCAAACGUUACCAACCACGAAGACAAGGUAUGACCUCGCACCCAUUUUUAUACCUGAACCUCACAAAAGGUUACUUCCAUCUGUGGUGCAGGCACCUGUCUUGGAACUGAAACCGCUGCCGAAACACCUGAAAUAUGCAUACUUGGGUGAAGGGGAGACACUUCCAGUGAUCAUCUCCGCGGGUUUAUUAAAGGUUCAAGAAGAGAAACUACUUCGAGUUCUUAGGGAACAUAAGCAGGCGAUAGGAUGGACCAUCGCCGACAUCAAGGGAAUUAGUCCCGCGGUGUGUAUGCACCGAAUUCGACUCGAGGAGAAUUCUAAACCCGUACGGCAAGCUCAACGGAGAUUAAAUCCUCUCAUGAUGGAGGUCGUAAAGAAAGAGAUUUUAAAACUGCUGGACGUUGGAAUUAUAUUUGCAAUAUCAGAUAGCCCGUGGGUAAGUCCAGUACAGGUGGUCCCGAAGAAGACAGGGGUGACGGUAGAAUCAAACCAAGAGGGUGAGCUCGUACCAAUUCGAAAGCCCACCGGAUGGCGACAGUGUAUCGAUUACCGAAAGCUAAAUGCCGUCACGAAAAAGGACCAUUUCCCCCUCCCUUUCAUUGACCAAAUGGUGGAGCGACUAGCAUGUCAAGCUUACUAUUGUUUCUUGGAUGGAUUUUCAGGUUAUUUUCAAAUUGCCAUCGCACCCGAGGACCAAGAGAAAACUACUUUCACCUGUCCAUUUGGAACAUUUGCAUACCGAAGGAUGCCAUUUGGAUUGUGUAAUGCACCUGCUACCUUCCAAAGAUGCAUGGUAAGUAUCUUUUCAGAAUAUGUUGAGAAGAUUAUUGAGGUUUUCAUGGACGAUUUCAGUGUAUAUGGUGAAAGUUUUGAAAACUGUCUAGAUAACCUGAAAUUGAUCUUAGUAAGGUGUAUAGAAACUAAUCUCGUGCUUAAUUGGGAAAAAUGUCAUUUUAUGGUUGAACACGGGAUAGUUUUGGGUCAUGUUGUAUCAUCUACAGGUAUUGAGGUUGAUAAGGCAAAAAUAGAUGUUAUAUCUACUUUACCUUACCCCGCGAGUGUGCGGGAAGUUCGUUCUUUCUUGGGUCACGCAGGUUUCUAUAGAAGGUUCAUCAAGGACUUCUCAAAAAUUAGAGCACCCUUGUUCCAACUUUUGCAAAAAGAUGUAUCCUUCGAAUUUGAUGAAACAUGUAAGGGGGCAUUCAAUAAGUUAAAGGAGUUAUUGACCACCUCACCUAUUAUCCAACCCCCUGACUGGAACCUCCCAUUCGAAAUCAUGUGUGACGCCAGCGACUAUGCAGUGGGUGCGGUAUUGGGUCAAAGAGUAGGAAAGGCAGCUCAUGCUAUCUACUACGCAUCUCGAGCCUUGAACGGAGCUCAAUUGAACUAUUCAACCACCGAAAAGGAGCUUUUAGCAGUUGUUUUUGCCUUAGAGAAAUUUCGGUCUUAUUUACUUGGUGCUAAAGUUAUUAUUUUUUCAGAUCAUGCAGCUUUACGGUAUUUAUUGACCAAGAAAGAGGCAAAACCGCGAUUGAUACGGUGGAUAUUAUUGUUACAAGAGUUCAACCUGGAGAUCCGAGAUAAGAAAGGGGCAGAGAACCUGGUAGCAGAUCACUUGAGUCGAGUACAAGUCGUCGAAGAGGACCUCCCAUUGAGAGAAGCAUUUCCCGAGGAGCAUUUAUUUUCUAUUAAUUCAUCCUUGCCUUGGUAUGCAGAUAUUGUUAAUUUUCUAGUCACUGACAAAUUUCCUACAGGAUGGCCUAAGGCAAAGAGAGACAAGUUGAGGAGCGAUGCAAAGUUCUACAUUUGGGAUGAUCCUUACCUCUGGAAGCGGGGUGCCGAUCAAAUCAUCCGUAGAUGUGUAAGUGAAGUUGAAUUUCAAUCUAUUCUAGCAUAUUGUCACUCUUUUGCAUGUGGAGGUCACUUUGGACCGAAGAGAACGGCUCGUAAGGUGCUAGAGAGUGGAUUCUAUUGGCCAACUCUAUUCAAGGAUGCCUACUCAUUUUGUAAGUUAUGUGAUAAGUGUCAAAGAGUGGGUAAUAUCUCUCGUAGGGGUCAAAUGACUCAAACCCCAAUGAUUUUUGUUGAAAUUUUUGACGUUUGGGGCAUUGAUUUUAUGGGUCCUUUUCCUUCGUCCUGUGGUUUUUUGUAUAUAUUGCUUGCUGUAGAUUAUGUUUCGAAGUGGGUAGAAGCAAAGGCCACCCGCACUAAUGAUUCCAAAGUGGUUGCAGAAUUCGUUAAGUCUAAUAUUUUUGUCCGCUUUGGGAUGCCACGAGCAAUUGUAAGUGAUCGGGGUACUCAUUUCUGCAACAAAAUGAUCGCUGCAAUGUUUAGGAGAUACGGUGUCUUGCACAAAGUCUCUACAUCCUACCAUCCUCAGACAAAUGGUCAGGCGGAAGUAUCGAACCGAGAGAUCAAAUCAAUUCUAGAAAAGAUGGUCCGACCCGAUAGGAAGGAUUGGAGUGUGAGACUAGAGGAUGCACUAUGGGCAUAUAGGACGGCAUACAAGACACCCAUUGGCAUGUCCCCUUACCGAUUGGUAUUUGGAAAACCAUGUCAUCUCCCGGUAGAGUUUGAGCAUAGAGCGUUUUGGGCGGUCAAGCAAUGCAAUAUGGAUAUCGAGGAGGGCGGAAUUCAAAGGAAGUUGCAAUUACAAGAGUUGGAAGAAAUCCGAAAUGAAGCGUACGAGAAUGCAAUGAUCUAUAAAGAGAAGAAUCGGAUCUUUCAUGACCAACAGAUCUCUAGGAAGACAUUCGUCUGCGGGCAAAAAGUUUUACUAUACCACUCCAAAUUGAAGUUAUUUCCAGGUAAGCUACGUUCUCGUUGGAUUGGUUCCUUUGUUGUAACUAAUGUCUUUGAUUAUGGUGCAGUGGAGAUCCAGAGUCUGAAGACGGAGAAGAAAUUUGUGGUGAAUGGUCAUCGUCUCAAGCCUUAUUAUGAUGAGGCUCCAGUUGAGCGAGUAGAGAUGACGCAUUUGGAGGACCCAAUUUGCUUGGUUUAAGCAAAUUAUGGGUUAUGUCUAGUCAAAGACAUUAAAGAAAGGCGCUAGUUUGGGAGGCAACCCAAAUAUUAGUUUUGUUAUUUCUAGUUGUUUUGUUCUUUCUAGUUGGUUCUUUUGCAUUGGGUCAUUUACUCGUUGGGUAGUAUCAGUACUCAUAUUUCCUUUACUGAAAUCAGGAAGUGAAAUCUUGGCGCGCCCACGCGGCGUUGGUGUCUCCUGAGGUCAGGGGACGAAGGCCAAUCUUGGCGCGCCCAUGCGGCGUUGGUAUCUCCUGAGGUUAGGGACGUUUCGUAAUCUUGGCGUACCCACGCGGUGUUUGACGACCUGAAAAAAAAAAUCCUUCUUUUUCUUCUUUUCUUUUUCUUUCUUCUUUCUUUCUUUCUUUCUUUCUUCUUUUCCUGUUUUUCCCUUUUCUCUGGUUCCUUCAACCAGAGCCGCCGCCGCCCCAGGUCUCCUUCCUUCCUCCUGCUCCACCGACGCCAUCGCCGCUCCUCACGCGCGCCACCUGGAGCCCGCCGCUCCCUCGCGCGCGCUACCCCAGCCCGUCGCCCACCACCCGCAGUCGCUGAGCACCACCAGAUCCAGCUGCCGCAAACUCUUCUCUCUCACAGCCACCACCUUCAUCGCACCACUGGCUUCGUAUGCACGCGCCUGCUUCAAUCUCUUUCUAUUAUUUUUUUUUAUUUUCUUAUUUUAUUAUUGCAGUAUGUUUUUAUUAUUUUUAUUACAGUACGUUUUUGAAAAUUUUGCGUGUUUGAACUACCUGACAUUUCUAUUCAUCCUUAGUUGGAUACUUCUGUGUUACUUUGCUUGUUUCUUUUUACUUUGCUUGAUUUUUAUUUAUUUAGUACAAUUUGGAAAGAAUGGUGAAACCACGAUCCCGACCCUUUGACCUCCGCUCCGCCUCCUCCAACUACAGGUGCUAAUAGCUGGCACCAGCUUCAGGGGAGUUUCGUUGUCCUUCUUCUUAUUUUUACUGUUUCAUUAUCACAUUGAAGGCAAUGUGUGAUUUAAGUGUGGGGGGGAUUUGGGUUUAGUUUUGAUUGGUGUUUCUUUAAUUUACUGCCUUUCUUACUAGUGUUUUGAUGAAUAAAUAUGGCAAUUCAUUCGUUUAUUGCUGGUUGUGAUUUAUCCUAUGAAUUUUGUUUAGAUGGCAAGUAAACGCAUGUUAUCUUGGUGAAUAUCAUGAGUUUAAUGACUUGGUGCAAAUUGUGAUUAACUUGUUUAGGCAAUUUAAAUAUUUUAUUAGCAAUUGUUAUGUGGAUUGAGCAAUUGUUGAUCUUAGUUCUCCAUAUUAGGAGAUGACGUGGGCCAUGAUCUUUAAUUAUCUGGUAUUCUGAUACUUUAAUUGUGAUUAAUAAAUGACUCUACUCCGCUAGUGCCGUCACCCAGUAAUCGGGAGUUUUCACCACAAGUGUCGACUUUCGCGUCAAAAAGUGGCGAUAUCUAUGAGUAGUUAGUCCUGAAGCUGUGAAAAGUUGAGUAACUGGGCUCUUUCAUCUAAAAAUGUCAGAGUUCACGUCAAAAGACUUGAAUAGCUUGGGACUGAGCAUUUUUGAAAAAAAAAAAUUAAUUGUUAAAAAAAAAAAAAAGAGAGAGAGAAUAAAAUAAUGUGUAAACUUAUGAUCAUAUUGGCCUGCCGAUCCUUGUUCUUCAAUGUUGAGAUUUUGAUUUUCAGUUGACCCAAUUGCUAACUUUUGCUAGUUUAAUAUUUUAAUUUCUUAGACGAGUUAGCCAUGAAUUGGACGAGUCUAUGAUUUCAGGAGCUAAUCGGGAGAAAUAUGUCUUGACACUUAGCCACUAAAACUUGAUUUUGGGAUAAGCAUAGCUUGGCAGUAAAUGAAAUGAGAGUUAGCCAUUGUUGAAUUUAGUUGUUCCCAUGCUUGAGGACAAGCAUGAUUUAAGUGUGGGGGGAAUUGAUAGGAUGUUAAUUGUUAGUAAUUUUAUUGUUAAUUUUCCUUUUUAUCCUUGCCAAAUAUUGCUUUAAUUUGUUUUAAUUGUCAAUAUAUAUUUAUAUUUGGUAUUUGGAUAUAAUUUCAGAAAUGGGAGCAGAAACCUCUUGAGAAGAUUAUUGUGGAACUUUGCACAAUUUUGGUGCAAACCAACGUAGAAGAAUGGAAUUGCAUUUGGGAAUUCAAUUUGGCUAGACAACAUGUCAAAGUUAGUGGGGACCGCAAAUAAGUUGUAUUGUCUAAAGUGUGCUUUCUUUGCACAUUUUUGGUUUGCUCUCUUAUUUGUGAACGUGUGCACUUGGUCAAAAGGGAACCGACAAAUCAUAGUUGGCUUUGCUUUUGUUUUCGGUGGAGUUGAUUAGGUAGGGAAGGAAUGUUUUUCUUUUGUGAGCGUGGAGUGAAGUUUGGAAUUGGCUUGUUUUUAUGGAGGGGAGAGCCACACAUUUCGGGGGUGAGUUUUUCUUCCUCUCUUCCGUCUGGGAAGAGGAGUUUUAGUUUUUCUCUCCGAGGGAUGUUCCAGAGGAGAGAAUAGGGAGUUGUUUUGGUUUGUUGAAUUCUAGUGUGCAAUUUUCUUAUUCUCUUCCGAGAGUUUUGUUAUUCACUCUCUCAAUUAUCGAAGAAAGAUGAUGUCUUUAAAUUCAAUUGAAUUGUGUGAAGAUUUUCUUAUGAGGCGUGGCUAAUUUUCUCCUCUAGUCAAGGAUCAACGCGAAGACGCAGUCCCAAAUAUCUGUGAGAUCUAAUUAAUUUUACAUGUUCCUUAAUUUGUUAAUAUUUGCAUGUUUUCUAUUUUAAUUUCCAUGGGAUUAUUUUGUUAAUUGGAUAUCAAGGGCCUGAUGUGCAAUUUGACUUUUUAAUCUCUUGUCAAAUUAAUCAAUUAAAUCCGUAAUUGUUUAGUUGGUUAAUAUUAGUGGCAACUAGUAUUUUCACAUACUAGGAGAACAUGCAAUCUGAUUUAAAUAACCCUCGUAGCGUGUUAUUAAUUUGGGUUAGGCUUUUCUAGUUUUUAAUGCAAUUAGGAAAUUAAUUCCUACGGUCGUACCUAGGAGUAUUUCCUAGUUAGAGGUAAUCAACGGUCGUACCUUGGUUAUCAAUAAAUUAAGGAAAAACUGGUCGUUAGAGCUUAUCGGCGACUAUAACUAGCCUAUUAAUUAAAUUAAGUGAACCUUCUUUGCAUCAAUGAUCGGAUGAAUGGACUGUGUCUGCGUAGUUGUAUCCUUGGCUAGAAUUUAUUUGUUAUUUAUUUAAUUGCUAUUUACAAUUGUAUUAAUUAAUUAUUUAUCUUUGGUUAAAUUGUUUAAUUAUUUUUAGUUAAAUUGUUUAAUUAUUUAUUUUUUGUUUUAUCUGAUAAAAAUCCCCCGUGUCCCGAACUUGAAAAGAAUCGAAUUUUUUUCCAGUCCCUGUGGAUUCGACCCUACUCACUACUAUACACAGAAAAUUCAUUUUUCUCGAGUAGGUAUUUAUUAUUGCACAGGCUCGACACCUGUCAGUUGAGGAUUUUCAAAGUCAGAAACCAGAGCCCAAACGACUGAGGCAGGAGCUCCGAUUGUUUGGAACAAAGUAGAUGAACAUUCGUUCGGCUGCAAAACAGGGUUGUGGUGGCUGGAAACGGUUGUGGGAAGCUGAAAAACCAUGGUUGUGGGAAGGGGCGUUGGAGGGUUGUUUAUCAGUGAAAAAGAUGGAAGGAGUUUCUGUGAGGGAGUUGGAAGAAUCGUAACGUGUAUUUAUAUAUAUAGGCGUAGGAGAAAUUGCUCCAAUUCCUAAGAGCAGAAAGGACUAUUACAAAACUAAGGAAGGAUUAGGAUUAUGAUUUCCUAUGUGGAAAAGAAUUGGAUAUCUGGUGGAAGUGGCAGGCUGGCUGGCAAACCAUCCGUUCUGCUAAAUUUGGGUUGAUCGAAUUACGCCAUUAACAAUUGGAUAAAAUAUAGAAAAGCCCCUUAAGGUUAAGUGAACAUACAAAAAAACCCCCUGUAAUUUCUAAGCAUACACUCCGGUAACUUAUGGUUUGAACUAAUUUAAAAAAGUGAUGGAAAUCGUUUGAAUUAACGGGUUUGAAAUACACGCUCUUCUUUUACGAGUAUUUAUACUGGAAAUAAAUAAAUUUUCAAUUGAUAUACAUAUUAUACUCCUAGAGUUAUAAUAUAGAAAAGCCCCCCCCUUCCCCCACCAUGAUUAAUCAAACCUACAAAAAAAACCCUUAUAGUUUCAAAUCAUACAAUCCAAAUCUCAUAGUUUGAAUUAAUGUGAAAAUCGGCAAAAAUCAUUUGAAUUAAUGAGUCUGAGGUUGCUUGACAUGAAAAAUAAUUUUUUAAAUUCAAAUUUUUAGUUGAUAUACCUAUUAAACACCUUAGAACUCAUAAAAUUUUCAAAAAAACUCCCAAUAUAACUCAUCUUUAUUUCUAUAUCUAAAAUAAAUAAAUGAAAAUUCUCAAAUAAAACUCAUCUUAUUUCUAUACAUAAAUAAAUAACUAGAAACUUCCAAAUACAGCUUAUCUUAUUCCUAUGCACAAAAUAAAUAAAUCAAAAUUACAUGUAAGCAUGGGGGGUUUUUUCCACAGAUUGGUUUAAUCACAGGGAGCUUUUCCGUGAGUUUGCUUAAUAGGAUGGUUGUUAGAAGGUCUUUUAUUGCUUAUAUACAUUAGGGUAAUUGUGUCAUUUCGUCUACCUCCGCUAGUUUUGACGAUUUCCAUUACUAUCUCAAAUUAGUUCAAACCAUGAGAGGUCAAAAUUUAUGAUUUGAAAUCAUAAGAGACUUUUCUGUAGGUUAGCUUAACGACUGGGGAGUUUUUUAUAUUUUGCCCUACUUUUAAAGACUGAACUUUUUCAUUUUUUUUCUUGUUUUAUUAGAAGCAUAUAUGUUACAAGUUUGAACAUAACAAUUCAAUAUUUUGAUUAGAGAUCUAUUUUUGGGAUAGUUUAAGUUAUAAAAAUAAUAUAUUUGUAGAAAAGAAGUCAAUUUGUAGUAGUAUGCCAAUAUACUGGCUUUUUUGGAUUGCCAUUCUCUGGACUAAAAUCUCAUAUAUUUUGGGAAUAUUCCCUUGAUACAUUUUUUCAAUGAUCUUUUUACUUCAUAUAAAUCACAUCUAAAAAGGUGUUACAAUAUACCCUUCCAAAAAAUGCAAUCCAAACAAUAUACUUCCAUGAUCAAUCAUAGUAGUAUUGCGAUUAGGAACCUUUUUUGCAGUUAAAAUAAAAAAUUAAAAAAGAAAAAUAGAACCUAGACAACAAAAUCGAUUAUGUGACUUGACUCUCAUGAUUACUUGACAUAAUUCUAAUCAAGGUGAAGGUAACUUGUAGUAUUUUCGGUAAUUUAUUUCAAAGGUCAAAAGGCAGUUUGGGUACAAAAGAAUACGAGUACUAAACUAUAGGUUUAAAUUUAAUUUCAUUUAAAUAAAAAACGGAAGGAUUUAGGCCUGUCAAUUGAGCCAUCUGAAGUGAGGUUUAACAAACUCAGAUUCGGCUCAUAUAGUUAGUACCACUUUUGGAUUUCGAAUUCUGAGAUUUGAAGUGAUAAAUAUGAAACUCAUGCUUGACUCACAAAAUAUUCAGAUUAUAAGUUUAAUUCUGACUAACUCAAGCUCACUUAAAACUCCUUAAUUUCCUUAAUAUAAUUACUAUAAUUGUUAAGUUUUAAACUAAUUUAAUAUCCACAGAACCACAGAAUUAAAACUAUAUAGGAACCGGUAACAGUUCAUUAAAAAGUAUAUAAAACAAGAUUUUUUCAACAAUCAUAUAUCCAAUUAAUUCAAUAUACAUGAAAAAUAGUAAUAAAACAUUAUCAACAGUCAAUACAUCUUCAAAGGUCCUCAAUUUGCUCAUACUAAGAUUUGUCCUUCUAAUUCUUUUGAAAUUAUUUUAUAUAUUUAAUAUUCCUUAUAUAUAUAUUUUGACCAAUAACUCAUAAGUAUUAGUAUUAUAUAUUUAGAUAUAUAAUUAUAUAUAUAUAUCAAAAUAUGAAUAUAUUAUAUAUGAUUAUAUAGAUAGACGCAUAUUAAAGGGUCUAGCCUAUGUCGUGUUUGGCCCUAAUAAAAUCCAAACUCUACUUACAUUUAAUUCGGGACUAAUGUUUAGACCCAAUUUUAAUCCAACUCAAUCAAAGGUCAGGCUCAUUAGACUUUUUCUCGAAACCGAGUUGAAACUGACUCGGCCCUACUAAUAGUCCUAGAAGGAUUGCCUCAUAUUUUUGUGCUAAUUCAUUCCCCUCUCAAAAUGAGUAAGAAAGGGAAUUUGGGGAUUAGAUGAUUAGAGUGGGGGCUUGCUUACUUGGAUAGGUUAAUUUGGUAAUUUUGAUUAUGUGUGUUUUAUUAGAUAUUAGCAAUAUGUGAAUUUGCCAAAACUUAUGUCUUUAAGAAUUUUAAAUCUUUCUAUUAUUACUUCUCAAAAUUUUCCAAAGGGAGAAACACAACUGGUCUCUAAUGUAUCAGCAAAACAAAUAUGGUCUCUAAAUUUUCCGAUUUUAACUUUACAUUUUUAGUCCCUAAUGUUUGAAGUUUCAAUCAAUAUGGUCUCUUAAGUUUCUUGUUAUAGUUAGGGGUUUUAAAAUAAAAAAAAAGGUGUGAAUUGAACUAAAGAUAUGACAAAUGUCAUCCUAAAUUCCUAUAAAAUUUCAUAAAAAUGCUUUAUAUCAACAUAAUAACGUUGCUGAACUAAAGGGCUUUUUUUCUUAAUAAGUUACAAUCAAAUGACAAUAUAUACAUAAUAUAUAAAAUAAAAAAAGGAAAAUUCUAGUAUUAAUAUAAAAUUUAUUAUCAUUCAUGCUAAUGACCUGUGCAUAUAGGCCUUGAAUUGUUAUGGUUAGGAAUUGUAAUUAUAAAAACUAGCAAACAUAAAUACUAAUAUGAAGUGCUUUUAGUCAUUAUGGGUUAAUCAUCAGUUAAUUGCUAAUAGUAUAAAACAAUAAUCACAUAUAUAAAACCAAAUUUGAGACCAAUUAUACCAAAGGGAAGAAGUAUAUGAGACAUUAGUGGCAUGAAUAAAUGAAGUAAAAAAUAAAAAAGUUUAAUUAGAAAUGCAAGUACCCAUUUAAGACAAUUGCCUUGUAAUUCGCAUCUUAUUUAUCCUAACACCCUCAAUAUCACUAUUGAAAACUUAAGCGACUGAAAUGAUUAUAAUUUCAAACAUUAUGGUCCAAAAGUACAAAAUCAAAAUUGUUAAAUAACAGUAAUUAGAUUUUGACCUUAGUCAUUGUUGAGUUGUCGUCAUUGUUGAAUGUACCUACUACCAAAAGCUUUGAGAACCAAAUUUAUUUAUUUUUGGAACAUUAGAAACUAAUUUAGCACAUAUGCUAAAAAUGGAGACUAAAACUACAAUUCUCCGUUUUUCCAAAAGAAAAAUCUACACCUUUUUUUUGUUUUAUUUUUGUGCACACAUGUGGGUUUUUUUUUUCACCUUUGAUAUCACUCAACGGUCUAAACCGACUGACAUUAGUUAAUAGAUUCAAUUAUUAAAAUGACUUUGUGAAUUGUGAGGGUGGUAAUACGUAGAAAAAUUUUGUUUGGUAGAAUUUGGGUAAAAGAGAGGUGCGUUUGAUAAAAUUAAAAUUUGAAAACUGAAGUUUGAAGUUUGAAUUCCAUUAAGUUAAGUUGUUGAAUUGUUAAACAUUAGACCUUAUUUGGUAACCCAAUUCAGCACUUAAAAUUAAUGGAUUCAGAUAAUAACAUGUUUAGACGCAUUGGUAACAAAAAAUUGCACAUUUGAAUUGAUUAAAUGACACUAAAUUUUCUAAACAAAACUUGCUCCAAAAAAUUUUGGUAAAGCUAGUAACAUAUAGUUCAAAGUUUUGUUGUUUUUUUUUUAAUUUCAAAUUUUUGCAAAAUUUCCUAGUGUUUAAAUGGGUAAAUCAUAAGCUUUCCAUUGAGUUGUUCUAUGCUAUACCUUACUAUUUUGAAUUAGGACCAUGCAUAUGGUUUUACAUAUUAAAAGUGAUCAAGGACAUGAGACAGGAUUUGCGGAAAUGGAGUUUAGUCAUGACAUAUGUCGAGCCUGUAUAAUAAUAAAUACUUACUCGAGUAAAAUAUCAAUUUUUGUAUAUAGCAGUGAGUAGGGUCGAAUCCACAGGGACUAGAAAAACUUCAUUUCUUCUAGAGCCCAGAGUACAGGGAAUUUUUAUAAAAUUGGGAAUAUUAAACAACUCAAAUAAAAGGACUAAAUUAUAAUCAAUUGAAAUUGAAUCAAUAAUAAACAAACUCUAGCCAAGAAAUGACUUCAGAGAUGGUUCACUCAAUUUAUCACUGAUGCAAUAAUAAUUUCAUUUACUCACUGAUAAACAAGUUAUAACUGUCAAAUAAGUGAUGGCAAUCAACUUCUCCUUACUGUAUUGGUGAUUAAAGUACGACCAUUAACCACUGCUCUAAUCAAGAAAUAACCCUAAGUACAACCUUAGAGUUCUAUUUUUCAAUUGCUUUAACAAUUAGAGAAAUCAUGUUCUAACCAAAUAACAUGCUACGAGAGUUAUGAGUUAUUUUAAAUAACUCAUAUGUUCCCCUAACAUAAAUCCAAUCAUGUCAAUUAUCACUAGUUUAAAACAAUUAAACAAUUACAGAUUUAACUGUACUAAUUAGUUUUAGGUUAUUAGAUUAAUUCAAAUACCGGACCCUUGAUAUUCAAAUAAUAUAAUAGGCACAAGAAAUUAAACCAGGGAACAUAUAAAUACCACUAAAUAAAAGAAAUAAAUGUAAUCAAUUUGUUCUCAUAAUUUUAGUUGAAUCAAAUCCUCCGUUAUUUCUUGAUUAGAAUGAAAAGCUAAGUUCAUCUCCACCGAAGAAAUCGCACGGGAAAUAGUAGAAGUAAUUUCCACGGCCAUUCUUCAAAUAUGUGAUGAAAUCCACAGGAAAAGAAAAGUAAAACAUUGUUUCUUAUUUCUUCUGACAAGAAAAGCAAAAGUCUAGCAUUAAUUUGGCUUUUUCACGGAAGAAAAGAGUGACAACGAUGAUGUUUUGUUGCAUCGUUCCCUGUCUCUGCUACAACUACUACUCCGAAACAAAGGGCCUGUUUGGAACCUGAGUUUUUUGGGAGUUUAUUUAAAAUAUUACUGUAGUGCACUGUAGAAGUUUUUGAAAAAAUUUUGUAGAAGUUUUUGUAAGUAGAAAAAUUUUGUAAAAGUUUUUGUAAGGUGAAAUUUUUUUCCUUUUCUCUUUCUCUUUCUUUUUCUUUCUUUCCUUUUUCUUUUCUUUCUUCUUCUUCUUCUUCUUCUUCCCCUUCCCCGCCACCUCUUCCACCUCCCGCCACCCCUUUCCUCCCUUUCCCCUCAUCUCCUCCCCCGCCACUCCCUCAGCCCCGCCACCCCCUCCCCUUCCCCCUCUGCCUGCCAUUCCCCUCACCCGCCACCCCUCUCCCCCCCCCUCAGCCCCGCAAUCUGCAGCAGAUUUUUUUUUUUUUUUUUUUUUGCAUUCCUCUCCCCAUCUCCUACCCCACCCCUCUCCUCCCUCUGCCCUCCCUCUCCCCUAGCAGUCAAUGCCAGCAGUCAAGACGCAAUCAAUGCCCAGCAAAAAAUUUUUUUUUCACAUUUUCUCUCCCCCAUCUCCUACCCGCCACCCCCCUCUCCUCCCCUCUGCCCUUCCCCCUCCCUCUUCCCUCACCCGGCAGUCAAGGCGCAGUCAAUGCCCAGCAGAAACUUUUUUUUUUUUUUUUGCAAUUUUCAGCCUUCCCAUCUCCUCCCCCUCCCCGCAAUCUGGUGCAAAUGGGUGGUGGGGGAGGAGUGGGGGAAAGGCGUUCUGCAUAUUCCAUGGUUAUCGCAACAAGGCGUUUCUUUCCAGAAAUGCCUUGGGCCAGAAUAACACUUAAGAGUUUCAUCUGUGGGUUUUCACAGACGCCGGAGUUUCAUUUGUGGGUUUUACAAAAUAACACUUAAGAGUUUCAUUUGUGGGUGGUGGGGGACGAGUGGGGGAAAGGGAGAGGAGGAAAAAAAGGGCUCAUACAAACUGGGUAAAGGGAAAGGAUGGCGGGGGAGGAUGAGGGGGAGAGGGAGAAAGGCAAAAAAAAAAAAAGACCCCGGCGUCAGAGGUGGUGGUUGGCUACGGAAGUGGUGGUGGGUUGGGAUGGGGGAGGAAGAAAAAGAAAAAGAUAAGGGUUGUGAUUUUUUUUUUUGUCAAUUUUGGGUAUUUUGAAGUGUGUAGGUUAAAAACUUUGAUAAGCUUUUGGGAUUUCUGUAGCAAAAGUUGAUAAAAAACUAGUAGCAUACAAACUUGUGAAAAAAUUGAGCUUCCAAACAUCUUUAAAAAUUACAUCUUUAAUUUCUUUUUGUUCUAGAUCCUUACAAUUAUCACCGAUUACUAAAUAUAAGUAGAAUCCAUCAAUUAAUGCAAUAUUGACUAAAAUCAAGGAGAAAAUAUUCAUAAAUUUAAUGACAAAAAUUGCAGCUUAUCAGUCGGGUGACUUUAAGAAUUUUUUUAAAAGUGUAAGUAGAAGGUUUCGAAUUCAAGAUAUCUCAUUUGUACUCCUCUCUAAUGAAAUCUCUCUCCAUUUUUCACAAUACAUAUGUAGAUGGAUAACAUAUGUUUUCAUCUAUUAGAAUGAGACGUGAUCAUUUUAAAUUUGACUAAUCAUAACUCUUGUAAAUAAAUAAAAACACGUGUGGUGCAUUCAGAUGUGCACUACGAAAAAUAGAGAAAGAAUUUACUAGAGUUGAGUCAAGUUAUUUGACUCAUUCGCCAUCCCUUCCCCCUCCCCCCCUGCCCUUUAAAGAUUUAAAAUCUACCUUCAACCAAACAAAUAAAAUUGCUUCAUGCCAAGAAUAAACUGUGAAGAUUCCCGGUUAUGCUAAUGCUAAGUAAGGAACUGCAUUAUCCCUUCACUAAUAUCUAGAAUAAUUCUAUAGGGUUAGAAUUUGGUUAUAAGGACUGAAAAUUUUAAGAAUUAAACAGUAGUAUGCUUUUAGUAACUUGUUUAGCAAAUGAGUUUUUUGGGUAUUUAUCUAAAAUUUUACUGUAAUUAUUGUAGAAGUUUUUAAAAAAUUUUUAAGGUGCGUAAAUUUUUGAAUAUUUUGAAAUAUAUAGUUUAAAAAUUUUAAAAUUUUUUUUGAAAUUAAUAUAGUUAAAAUUUUUAAAAAACUCGCAACAAUCAGGGUUUAAGUAGGGAUGGCAAUGGGGGCGGGUGCCCGCCCCGCGGGGGGCUCUCGGGGCGGGGGUUGGGGCGGGGGCGGGGGGGAAUUUUUUCCCCCCGCUUAGAAACGGGGCGGGGGGCGGGGGAUAUCCCCCGCCCCGCCACCCGCAAAAAAAAAAUAUAUAUAUAUAUAAUUAUAUAUAAUAUGUAAGUUAAUUAGUUAUAAACUUAUGAUAAUGAUAUUAUUAGUUAGAUGUAUUAUAUAAUGUAUAUUAGUUUAUGUAAUAUAAUUGAUAUUAUCAAUUAUAUGAAUAAUUAUACAUGUCUACUAAUAGAAUUUAUUAAUUAGUUAUACUAAAUUUACUAAUACAUUUAUACUAAAUUUCUAAUUACACUUAAUAGAAUAACACUUUUUUCUCAAAAAAAAAGCACAAACACAAUAAUGAAUUAGUGAUUGCAUUUGUACUAAAAGUGAAAACUUGACUAUUUUAGUUAUAUUUAUUUCAUCAUAUUGGAUUGUAUUCAAAUAACUUCUGUUUGAUUGUUUUUAUGAGUUUUAAUUGUAAAAUUACAAUGAAUAAUAAUUUGGUGAUGUGUUGAUAUUUUAGUAUUUGAUUAUUUAUUAAAAUUUAAUUAUAAUAAAAUUAUAUAAUAAAAUUUUAUUAACCCCGCGGAGAAAGCGGGGCAAAGCGAGGCAGGAGCGGGACGGGACGGGACGGGACGGGACGGGGGACGGGGGACGGGGGGAACUAAUAGGCAGCGGGGCGGGGGGCGCCCCAAACCCGCCUCGUUGCCAUCCCUAGGCUUAAGUGGGAGAGAACUGGGUAGUAUAAAAACUCGUUUAUACCCAAAUUUGAAGGGGUGCCCCCGCCACCGGAUGGGAAGAAAGGCCCCCGGGGGGGGGGGCGGGGAAGGAGGGGAGAUAAAUACUGUAACUUAAAUGGCUGAAAUGCUUCGGACAACACAAAGAGGAGCAGAAGAAGUAGUCAGAGUGAAACUGAAAACCAAGGAGGAGCUGAAGCCCUGAGAGCAGCACUCUGCUGUGAAUGAUCAGAAUUCAUCGUUUUGACAACAACGCCCCUGCUUCUCUCCUCAAUCAUUCCCACUCCGGCUUCCUAUCUCCUGCCCCAUCAGUAAGGCCUCCCUUCCCCUCCUAUGCAGAAAGUUAUUUUUUUUAAUUUUCUGUUUUGUUAUUUCGUACUUCAUUCGCAUUUAUUUAUGGAAUAUGCAUCCGGGUUUUUGAAAAAUUUGAAUUUCAUUAUUUGGGUUAGUAUGGGCAAUAUGGUGAUUGGAAAAAAAAAAUGCUUUCUUUGUUAUGCGGAGAGGGAAAAGAGUGCAACAAAAGAAGCCACGUCAAUUCUUGAAAGGGUAAUAACUUCUGCUGGUUUUAGUUCUUUCCAGUUUUCAAUGUCAAAAUAAGGAAAUUUUAGACAUAAAGAAAAUUCAUGCUGACUUAAGAAUCAGGACUGUUGAAUUGGUUUAUUGAAGUUGGUUUUGUGGGAUUCUUAAUUUCUGGCCAAGUUUGGUAACUUGGGAUAUUUGUAAGUGAACAAGGCUGUAGUGGACUUGAAUUGCCUAUAUAAUGUGUUUGCAGCUGUAAAUGUUUUGGUGUAAGAUGAAAAGCAGCAGUGUUAUGGAAUUGGUUUCUAAACAAAGAGAUAUUGAAUUAUCAAGCAUAAGUAAACAGCGAAUGGGAUGGCGACUAAUAGAUAAAACUUAUGAAGUUUGGAGAAGUGGGGAGCUAUGCAGCAGGUAGGUACAGAAAUAUUGUGUUGUUCAAAUGUGUUAGGUAUUAAGGAGGGGGGAAAAACAAACAAACUAAAGUUGCUUACUGUUUUAAACUUGAGAAGUGUUUGGAACUGAAGUGUAAUGCUAAUAGCCUUCAUUUGAGAGAAAACUGAGAGAAUAAUGCAGUCGACACAGUUUCCAUCUGUUGAACUUAGUCUAGGAAAAACGUUUAUGAUUUUUGGGUUCUAAACUUGAUUAAGAUUUCAGUUGGCAGACAAACAGAAGGAUAAGAUGUCAAUAAUCCUGCCAAUAGGCUAUUAACAUCUGAGUCUAGUAACUGGAAUCAUUUUUGCUUUUGAUCUUCCGCUUCAUCCAUUUAUCUGUAAUUAGUGCAUUGUUAGGUCACAGAUUAGUAUGGUUUAUUCCUUGUUUACAUGUCUUAUUCACCUUGUGUUGCUCACUCUGUCAUUUGUCACUUGAUUCAAUCAAGUGACUCCAUUUAAGUCUGCAGUGCCUUCUUGAGUAACUGACAUGAUUCUUCAUCCAAAAUGCAACACUGGUUAAGUUCUUUGUCGCCCAUAUCUUUCCAGUGUAUAUAUAUGAAAGAGUUACCAUUUCCCUCAAAUUUGAAGAGGCUUAUGGAUACGUAGUUAGCUUAAGCUUGUACAUAAGUUAACUCAUUUCGGCUAAGAACAAAUUCACCUUACUAAUACAGAAGCUUUGCAUUGUUUGCUUUGAAAAUAGAACAAAAACAAUAGAUAGAAGAUAUGCAAUAUUUUCUACUGUAAGAAAAAAAUUUAUAAAUAUAAAAGCAAAUAAAUAAGGGUAUGAUUAUAUUUCUCUAGAGAAUGACAUGGUCUUAAGUGAUCAUAAUUCUUGGAGGACAAAAUCAUGAGUCCAAUUUUGUAAGGCAGUUGAGACAUCAGAUAUUCUGUGCAUGUAUUAUAUGGCUGAUUGUGAGUCAUGUAGCACGAGGUCUUGAGUAGUAGAUAUGUAGGCAUCAUUUUUGCUUUCAACAAUAGAAAGGCAUUCUUCAUUGCAGCAGCUUUGGAUAAUUGUCUUUUGUUCAUACUUAAAGGAACUUGUAUAAGCAUGAGAUUUUGCACUAUUCUAGGGCUAUAAGGAACCAAAUAAUAGGUGGAUGAUUUAGAGAUAGCUUAAAAACUUGUGGCAGAUGCCUUUUUGGAAUUGUUUUUGGAUAUAUUUACACCAGAAGCCAAGCAUUGCUGAGGCUUCUUACCAUGUGAAUGAAAUGAAUGAGUUUCAGUUAUAUUUGAAGUCCUCUGCAAAGCCUGUAUCGUUUUUAUUUUUUGGACCUUUAUGUGUUGCAAAAGGGAGGCAAAGAGUGAACUAACUUGGAGAAUGCGAAGGUGUGCAUCUAGUGCUUGCGACAUUCUAUUCUUUUGACUUAAUGGAGUUUUUAUAAAAGCUGUGUGUGCUGAAUGUUUUCUUAGGACAUUCUAUUCACGACUGAUGUAACCAAUAAAGAGUUUAAGGGAAGAUUAGAUUUACAUAAUCAUGGGAACUUGGCUGAAUAUUGAGUUUACCAACUUUGAAGAAUGGGUAACCUUUUUAGGAUCUUGAGGUAUUUGUUAAAAGUUAAGUUCUACAUAUUUCAGUAGAAUUAAAAUUUAUGGUGCUUUAGUAGCUUGUAGGUAUUUACGUAUUAUGAGUAUUUGGUAAACUGACAGUGGAGGACACUUUGGUCGUUGUUUGAGACCCUGGGCUUAUAUAUUGACUUUGAUGGAAGGGCUUUUAAUUGAAAUGUUGGGGUUCAUUGCCUCAAGUUCCUGCCAUAAGAUGUUCUGGUGCCUGGGGGCUGAAGCCCAGUACAUUCUUCAUCUUCCACCGGACACGUACCCAGACACCUAGGUUUGUUAGGCCAUCCAUGAAGGAGUUAAAGUUAUUCAUUGGUGAAUUUUUUAUGCAUGGCUAUUCUAGGUAAACAGUUUUCUCAUGAAAACUGGUGCAGAAAUGGCAUCUGGUCUAGCUGGUGGUGAUCUGUCGUUAUUCUUUAUGGUUUUUUUUUUCCAUUGAUUUGCACAAAAUCUGAUUGACUUUUAGCACUUUUGAUUUUAGAAAAAUGCAUCUUGCAUUAGAAAUUUUUUUCUAAUUAGGUUCCAUCUUAAUAGCUGUAUUAAUUUAUGAAAUCUUGUUCAAAAGAGUGACAAUUAGCACAAGGAUAAAUCAGAAAUUGAUUGUACAAUGGUCUAGGGGCAGAAUACUCGAGUUUGGGAGCAAUUCUGACGUAAUUGUCUGAUGUGAUUUUUAGCAGAGAAAUUGCAGUUAAAUGAAAUGCAUUUCUUGAAGACAAUUGCCUUUGGCUUUUAUAUACUUAUGCAACCGAACUUGUGCAGAAUCAGCAUGAAUGAUAAUUUUCACCAUCAUAUUUUUUUUCGGGGUUUGGUUGAUCUGAUCGGUUCGUACAAUUUUAUAUAUAUGAACUAUCUCAAUGGGAAAGCCUGCUUGCAUCUAGAGGGUGUAAAGUGUAAAAAUCAGCUUAGUAUCUUGUCACCGGUAACUGCAGUACAUUUUCUUACAUGUCUUGUUCUGUAUGUAAAGCUAAAUAGGUUAAUUCAAGUUAAGUCACAUUUAUGUUCUGUGAGAUGUCGACCAGUUAUAUGGUUAAAUACUCUUUGCAGUAUUUCAGAUCUUUGAGUGUUUGGAUGUGAAUAUGUCAGCUAAAGGGAUGAGAAUAUCAGUAAGUACAGAGGAGGAACUUGGCAGCAGUAUGGAGAGGAAAGAUGCCGCCGAUGACUUUGGAGAACCUGGUAAUAGUUUAAGUCUGGUAUUUUAGUUUAUACGCAUGCUUCUACCGAUAAUGCAAAUUAUAAUGUAUAACUACCUGCAAAUCCCUCAAAAAAUAUACAGAUAUAACUACCUGUAAAUCUACAAAGAAAAUGAAGAGGGUGGGGAUUUGUCUGCAAGAAUAGGUAAUAUGACUUAUAUGCAUGAAAUAAUAAGAACAAGUUUAGUUAAAAUAAAAAUAUGUUACUAUAAAGAAAGGGAAUGGGUAAAGAAAAUACCUUAUGAUAGCUCCAUCCCUGUGACAUACAGUGGUCCGUGGUGAGGAAGGUUUUUUGAGUUCAGUUCUGAAAUUGCACAUAUUCAUGGUUGGCAUUUGGGAAAUUGAUGAACUCAGAUGUUUGAUCAUUUGUUGUUUAGUGUACCAAAGGACUUCCGAAUCAACCAUACUGUAUAUACUAAACAUCUUAACUAUUUUUUGUUGUCUAGUGUACCAAAGGAGCAUGGUUUUUUGCUGUAGUAUUUACUCCAACAGAGGUAGAUGACAAGAAUAAGCGUGAGGAUGUGUAUCUACAAACAGUGUAUCUUAAAAAGUGCUUAACCACAGGGAAUGUAUGGGGAUCACCUUUUGCAAUUUUGUUUUGAUCGGGGUUCAAAACUCAUUUUUAGUUGUUUUAAUCAGCACAAAACGAAUACACAUGCUCUCAAAUUAUUUUUUAUAUAUCAUUUUCUAGGUGAUGGCAAGCUUAAUCAUGGCUUUAAUAGCUUAGUAAUGACAUAUUCUUUUUUAUUUUGGUGAUGAAAUCUUAAUUCCUAAACAAAUAGGUUACAACCUCCAAACAUGUUUCAUGUUGAUUUUUUUAUAUGACAUACAAUCUUAAAAAUUAUAUAAAUCCAAAUCAAAUCGCGACUGUGGAGAAACAUCACUCUCAUGAAAGCUGUUGAACAAGGGUGGAGAAACAUCAAGAUCAAAUCUACAAGCACAAGACUUUUGACUCAAAUUCGGAAGUUCAUCAAAAUAGCUACAGAUUUGUUUUCUAUGAGCUUCUUGUAUAGAAGUCUUAGUAAUUUGGCCUUAGGCAACUGUUUAGAUAAGAAAUGGUCCACUUCCUGAAAACUCAGGUCUCAAAAGAGCACAAUCAGAUGAGCAGAACUAUGCCUGUGUAUCUCAAUAUUUUCUGAAAUUGCGGACCCUAGGCCAGGACCAAGGAGACGAGGAGUAUAUGAUUUGUCUUACAUUGUCCGGAAUUUAGCACCGUUAUCCAACUUUCUCGACUAUGUAGUUGUAAGUAUGAAGAAAGGAUGCUCAGAGGCAACCAGAUGAUGAUUUCAAGUUGGAAGAAUUCAACCCAAGUACACAAAAGACAGGAUACAAAUUAAGGGCAUAUUUUAUUUCAAUCACAUUCAUGACAAUCCUCAUCUGGAAGAAGAACAAAAUCUAGUAGUACACAAGAAACUGCUGCAAAAAUCUGGUAGAGCUAAUCUGAAAGUAUCUAAGCUAAUUUGAUACAAACUGGCUGAGGUACUCAUCAAGUGUGGUGUAUUUAACAUCAGGAUAGAGCUCCGUUGCCUCCAUGCCAAAAGAAGCCUUGAUCUCAAAGUUGGCUAUUUCUCCCUUCACGAAAAAUGUGUAUGCCAAAGACAGGAGCAAUUUUAAUGGCAUUGAAGCCUCUGCGAAAGAUACAAGAAAAGAAAGUAAUUUGAUUAGAACGUGGAAUAGGUCUUAAUAAUAGUAGAUGCUAUUGUAUUGAAAUUAGCAACUUGUGCACUUUCUUCUUUUUGUUAGAUGACCUUGAAUUUUCUUAAGAACUUCAUCCCCUGGAACGUAGGUCUUUUCGAGGGUCUUGCCAAUUUUCUUUUCCCACAAUGAUACUAUUUCGUUGUAGGACAAAGUGUUGGCAGGGGGUGUAAUGUACAGACUCUUGUUCAGAGUCCUUAGGUCAUCUGCUGCUUUGAUGGUGUAUGCAGCAAUGUCUUCUUCCUUGGUGAAAACAACCAAGAUAUUGAGAACGAUGAGCUCUAAAGCAGGAUACUAAACCAACCAAGAUAUGCAGCAGACAAGCCCCUUUCGGAUACCUUUUGGAUUCCCAUCACCAAGAAUGACAAUUUUGUCUCUGGGAGGACUUGCAGAGAAAGAGUCUCCAAAGUUGUUGAGGAUAUAAUUCAAGUAACCAGCAAAUCCGUUAGAUACUAAGUAAGUGUAAGGUAUCCCUUCUGCCUCAAUAGCUCUGCGGAUCUCAACCUUGGUCCUGCAUAAGCUAGCAACAGGCUCAACAGCAUGCACACGAUCCACAUCAACCCUAAAUUCAGAAGGUAAAAAUCUCUGAAACCAAAUACUGCUCCUUCUUUAGGAAUAUGGAAGUCACAACGCACAAAGGGAUAAACGCAAAAGAUAAAAGUCAAGAAAGAAUUCGUAACACUGUAUUGUGCUUACUUUGAUGCUUCCAGCUUAUUUAAUUGCUGCAAUAAUCUUAACUUGCUGAGCUACCAAAUCUCCCCCGACUGCAGAGAUCACUGUGUCAACUUGUUUGAUUGCAUUUACCAAUUGCUGAAGAUUGUGUAGAUCUCCCUGUUCAGUCCACACAUACAUGUCAGUUUCUAGAAUUUCUUGAAAAAAAUUGAAACAAUAUUUAGACAACGAAGAAAGAAAUAACAGCACACACGGAGAAAUAUGACUCCCAAACUGUUGAAACUCUCUAUGAUGGCUGCCCUUUUAGGAUCUGAAAUUGUGCUCUCUCGGACCAGUGCAAACGUUGGGUGCCCUGCUUUUGCGCUCGCUUCCACUAAAUAUUUCCCGAUGUUUCCAGUGCCCCCAAUGAUCAAAAUCUUGCUUUUCACAUCCAUUUCCAAGUCUAGGAUGGUAGACUACUGCUGCGAAAUUGGAUGGAAACCAUAAAUUGAUGAGCUGAACAGAUACAGAAAUGUGCCUAUAGGCUGCAGCUUCGUGCACGGUUAAUUUAUAGAGGAAAAAGUAUUGAAACUGGCAAGCAACCCUGUCGCUGCAGUUUCCUUUUGAUGCUCUAUUGGCUUCUGAAAUUUCUAAAGUGCUUCAAGAACCAAUCAACGGAAGAUUAGACAGUUGAACAUUCUCACGAGGUUUCCCAAAAAAUCAUAGCACUAACGGAUUCUUAUUGGCCAAGAUGCGCAAUGUGUUGGGGUGCUUGGCAAUUGCGAAAGAGAAAGGUGCUCAAAGUCAAUUGAAUGUCCUUGUGAAGUGAAACUACUCAUGUGGGACAUUCAGCGGUAGGAUUUCGUCCCCGAAUCAGUGAUGACCAAACCUGAAGUAAGCGCUGAUGUUGAACAAAAUGUUGAAAUGAACAAGAAGAGCACAAUAUUGGCCACCACAUUAAUUGUGGGAUGGGAGGUUAAGAGUUCAAACCUUGUCUCCCAUCAAUGUGCCUCAAUAUGAGAUUUGUUCUAAAUCCAUAUGGGUGUGUGGUGUACCUGUCUGAUCUGAUGGUGGUUCAGCCCCCGUCAAUUUCCUCCGACUCAGUUGGGUCUUCCCAUAGAGUAGAUUCCCCUCUCUCCUGCUCCAUUGGAGUAGGAGUAGAUUAGACAUGUGUCGUUAAGACAAAAAAAAAAAAAAGAGCAUAAACUUAGUACUACUAGGGGGAAAGCCGCGCUAAGCACGGGAGUUUUGACCUAUGUGAUAAUUGAUUUAAUUAGAAUUGCAUGGUAAUUAGUUUAAUUGAAUCAGUUGAAGUGCAUGAAAUUAUAAGUAAAUUGGCCAAAUCAACAAACUUAUAAAGGAAAAAAAUUUAUAAGUAAAAGAAAUAGGAUUGUAGUGGAUAAGCACACCAUACCAUAAUAACAAUAACAAAAAUAUCAUUAUCCUUGUCCCUAUACCAUUAUAACAUAAUCAUAGCCAUAUUCAAUCAACAAUUAACAUACUUAAACUAUAAGGUUAAAUUUAGAUCCUACCUUGGACAUGAAAUUGUAGUCAAUAGAUAAUCUUUAGUCACAGUUUAACCACCUAUAGCCAUGAACAUCGGAUUUUGGAAAUAUAGUUAAAAGACAUAAAAAGUUUCCUAUGGAUAUUCAUAUGUAUGUAUCAAGUAUUCCAUAAUGAAAUUUCCAUAUUCACACAAUAGCUAUUGAGAAAAUAUUGCAGUAGAAAACUCACCGUUUUUAUUAUAUUAGCUAAACAUCCAAAACUCCAGAAAAAGAGAAAGUAAAUGAGCAUAUUUCUCUAAACACCCACAACAAAAAAUUGAGCACAUGCACUUGAAGCAACAUUCUUCAGUAUUAAAAGCCUCAAUUAUUAUCAAGUUGAAGAGCACUACAAUUAUACUUGUAAUGGAUUGAAAAUAUGAACCAAAAUCAAUCUUGUUCAUUAUUAAGUGCUUCCUGAACCAACCAUCUUUAGCAUUAAGACCCUCUAUUAUUGUAGUUAUAAAAGUUACCAAACAAUUAUAAAAGAAGAUGGAGAGUAUUGCAAUUACAUUUGUAAGUGGUUUAAACACCACUUAAAAGCUUGAUAAUCACGUGGAAUAUAAGUCAAUUGUAAAUGGGAGGACACAAUAGUCAAACCCAACUCAACUAUACAUUAUAAUGUUGCAUGUUUGGCUUAAUCACUUGUAUUUGAUUUUUUUCCUACCUAAAUUAUCUCUAAAGAUAACAGAUGAAAUUUUUCAACAAUCACUUACAAACUCCUUUUUAUAUAUAUAGGAAACAUUACAAUGUGCUAGGAAAAAAAAUAAAAAGAACAACAUUACAAUGCCUGUACUCAUAGGCAUUUGGGGACAACGAAUCCGGACAAUGCAAUUAAUAUAAUUGAUAGGGAAAAUCGUUGAAAUCGUUACUCACAUUUUUGUAAAAUGAUUUUUUCCGUCUCUCAUUCUAAAAAAGUAAUUUUACGUCUUUUAUAAAUUUAUAUCAGUUAAAUUUUGUCCCUACCUAAGUUUCCAACUGAUUUUUUUUCGUAAUUCACCACGUGCCCUGCACGUGAUCAUGUUUGAGGGAAAAAAUUGUCAAAUCAUAUUUCACAUAAUCUGAUUGAUAGUCCUUCACAUUUAAUAAAAUGAAUUUUUUUCAACCCUCACAUUUCACAAAAUCACUAAGAAAAAUCAUCGAUGACAAUUAAAAUGUAGCAAUAACUGUUGGGGGGAUUAAAAAGUAGAAGCCAUGAGGACACCUUACUCAAUCAAACCAUAGCUCGGGCAAUGUCAUUCCAUCAAUUUUGGUUUAUCAUCUUUUAAUUCCAUGAAAUUUGCUUUUUUUUAAUUGUAAUGUUAUUAUUUAUUCAUUAUACUUUGAUUUCAUAAAAUCAAAAUAGCUAAUCUUAGUUGAUCAUAAUUCAGACAAGUUUGGAGCACGUGCACUUUCUAAAUAAGAAUAAAUAUCCAUUUAUGCUUUGCAUGACAUAGAUGGAAUUUUGGUUUACUAAGUUGGGAAAAAAAAGGUAUCUCUCACAGACAAUCCAACAAUACAUUCUUGGGUAAUUUAGAAUUCCAUUUUGUGUUGUUCCAAUUAAUUGUCUCUAAAAAUUAUAUCUAUGAGGCUAAAUGAUAGGGUAUAAUUUGUUAGUAAAUUUAUUAUUGAUUUCCCCUUCUAUCCCUGACAAAUAUUGUGUUAAUUGCUGAUAUUCACUCAUAUUUGGUAUUUGGAACCAAUUUCAGGAGUGAAGCAGAGAAUCACCAAAAAGGAGGGACUUGUAUGGAAAAAUGCAGAUUUCUAAGGGCUUCAACCUUUGGGUCCUUGAAUUGGCGGGGACCACAAGCUAGUGCAAGGCAUUUAGUCAUGUGGGCUUUUCAAAGAAAGCUACGUAAGAGACUUGGAGCAAGAAGUACUUUGGAGGUUUUGUCCACAUGUGCGGGGACCACGGAUAAGAAGCAUGAGUCAUUUGGACUCUAGGAAAAGAAACGUACAAGACUUUGAAUUUGGUGUGGGGACCACUAGAGAUAGCAUUAGACUUCCUUUUGGCUUUAAAAAGGGAGACAAACGUACAGAGAACUCUUAUCAAUCAAUAGUUUUUAGGAUAGUUUUAGUUUUCUUUUCUUUCUUGGCUCUUUUGAUGGGCUGGAUCUCAAUGAAGUUACUUGAAGAUUUUCUCAUGAGACGUGGUUAAGUUUGUCUAGUCAAGAACAACGGAGGACUUGGUUCUACUAAAUUUGUGAGAUCGAAUUAGUUUUUAUUUAUUUCAUUUAUUCACUGGUAUUUGUCUAUCUUCUGCUUUAUGUUCAUAUGGUUGUUUUAUUAUUCGAUUAUCCAGGGCCCGGAUUCUGGAUUAAUUCAAUAACCUGAAGCCAAUUAGGGUAGUUAAAUCCGUAAUUGUUUAAUUAUUCUAAACUGGUGGCAACUGGCAUGAUUGGGUUUGUGUCAGGGAGAUAGGCAGGCUAACUUAAAGAGACCCUCGUAGCGUGUUGAUUGGUUAGAAUUAGGCUCUUCUAAUUAUUCAUGCGAUUAGAGAAUUGAACUUCUAUGGUCGUACCUAGGGUUAUUUCCUGAUUAGAGAAAUAGUCAACGGUCGUACCUUGGCUAUCGACAAAUUGAGGAAGAGUUGGUUGUUUAUCGCGUGUAUGACAACUAUAACUAAUUUAUCAGAUAGUAACUGGAAUAAUCCUUGCAUCUGUGAUCGAAUUAAGUGAACCAUCUCCGAAGUUGUCUCUUGGCUAGAGUUCGUCCAUUAUUAUUUUUAUUGUGAUAAUUAGUUAUUUGAGUUGUAGUUAUUUUAUUUUAAUUAAUUUAUUCCAAGUAAUUUAGUUACUAUCGUUUUCAAAACCCCCCUUAUCUGGAACUUGAGAGGAAAUUAAAUUAUCCCCAAUCCCUGUGGAUUCGACCCUGCUUACCGCUAUAUACAGAAUUUGUAUUUUAUUUAAGCAUGUAUUUAUUAUUGCACAGGUUUGACGCCUGUCACUAAAUAAAACCAGCGGCAGAGGAGAAAUUUGGCAUGGAAUGACAAUCUUGAGAUUGUCAUGAGAAUGACAAUCAAAUUCUUACAAUCUUGAAGUGUACGAAUUUGGCAUAUGAUGAUAACAAGCACAUCAUACUACAUUUAAAUUGCCAACGAAAAAUGGAUAAAUCAUGGCAAAAUUUGAUACAAGAACAUGAUCGUCUACAUGAAACCCUUCACUUUCUUCCUUCUUUUUUCGCUUUGGGUUUUGUUUUGUUUUCUAUAUUUCUCUUUUCAAGUCGGUGGUCUUAUUAUUAUUUUUUAUUAUGUUUCUUGAUCGCAACUUUUUGUGUGAUAGAGAAAAGUGUUAUAAUUUCCUUUGAGUAAGGUGACUGUAAUUUCACUUCAUUAGAAAGCAAUAAGUUGUAAAUAAGUUCAAACAGUUUUAUGAUUAUUUUGCAUGUUUUUCUAUUGACAUAUCCCUUAUUUUUUUUUUGAAAAAUUAUUUCAUUUGCAAAUCCACAAUUGAGAAACUAGCUGAAGAAUAGAAUCAUAUAUAUUCUAUAGUCAAGCAUUUGAGAAAAAUAUGCAUACAAACCGAGAAUUUAGAAGGAAAAAAAAUGCAACUGAACCUUCAAGUUUGGACUUUGAAAAGGUGUUAUCGAAGCUUCACUAAUUUCAUUAACUUCAUCUUUUAUGCUUCGUACACUUCAGUAUUAACUUAAUGAAGACUGCCUUCUUAAUAAAGACCUGCUCUAUUUCGUUCAUUCCAAGUCCUAUAUUAGGGUUUUUCGAACGACACGUAACAUCCACCUAACCUACCAUAUAUAUAUAUAUAUAUAUAUAUAUAUACUAACAAUUAUUAUUCUCUUUUAUAUUUAUAUAAUUUUUCUAUUUAAUCUUACGUAUUACCCCUUAUAUUAAUAUCUUAUCAUAUCUUAACGAGUGCACUAUGAGCAUCCGUUAAACAGAUCAAUAUUUAAAUAUUUGCUUGGCACUCGUAGGUCAUCUAUGUCACUACUUGUAGAUCAUCGUAGAUAAUCUAUAUCACUACUUGUAGAUCAUUUGUAUUACCGUAUGAGUUAUAAGACUUCUAUCGGUUAUCUUUGGCCAAUAUAAAGAGGCUAAGCCUAUCCCAUCCCUGCAAGCCUCCCUUUUACUCACCCCAGUUCUUUAACCCAAAUUUAAUGGUUAAAGUUACUCAAUUAUAUGAUUUUUCAUGAUCUUUAAACUAGUUACAUGAUUUUCAUUAUUGGCUAAUAUAGUACAAAAGAAUAACUAGUAGUACAAGAAUUAGUACUACUUGACUCGCCCUACUUGGACCACACUUGCAAAAGAAAGAAGAAACAAAAAUGUGGAUUGACCCAAAAACAAAGAAGUAAUUUAUAAGACAUGCGAGAUGUAUGUGUAUCAAUCCCAAUCAUAUAUUGAACUUAAAAAUAGAGGUUUAAUUUUUUGUGCUUAAAUAGUUUGAUGUACGAGAUGAAUAUAGUGUUUCGAUUUAUUAUUUAUUUACUGCUCUCUUUUUGACUUAUCAAAACAUGAGAGACCAUCCCACAUUUAGGACAAGAACACCUUACUAGUAGUAGUGACUAAUUGUUUCUUUCUGGCAAAAAAGUUUGGGUUUCAAAUCUUGGAGAGGAAAAUUUCUAAAAUGAAAAUGAAGAAAAUUAACAGCCGAAGCCGAUAAAAUGACUAGAUCCAAAACCUGCAUUAAAUUCUGGAAAAAACUCUAAAAACUCUUCUCUGGCUCUUCCCUAACUAUUAUAAGUAAACUGUUCCAACAGCGCAUUAUAUAGGACUUGGAAUAAAGACCUGCUCUAUGUUUGAUGGAAGUAACUUUGAAAAGAAAUUCUAAAUCUAUUUUUUUUUUUUUGGUAAAUAUCUAAAUCUAUAUACGUACACAUACAUGUUUUUGAGGAAUUGAUAUUUCACGAUAUGAUUUGAUACAAAUAUGACAAGCAGUAGAAGGGGAAAAGCAAACGAGAACUCAACGAAACACAAGGAAAAGCGACGUCGUACUUUGAAGAGAUGAGUUACCUGGAUACCAGUUAGCAUUGAGAACGGCUUAUGAGUACUUUGAAGAGUUGUCUUUCAGCUUCUCUUCUCUUAGAGGAACUUGGGUUCCCACCGACCGUUAAUCCAGUGACCAGUGAAAACUUGAGGGAUAUGAGAAAUUGUCUGAUAAUCUUCGCUUUGUGUAUUCAAAUUCCGUACUUUGUGCAUCAGCUCAUCAGACAUAUCAAGGAACCCAAGAAAUUGAAGUCCGGUCAAGUUUUGGGUGCCUGAAGGCAACUCCUGCAUCAGUUUACAACCAACUAAUUGUAGACUUCUGAGACUAGGCAUUGAUUCCUCUUCCACUCUCACCCAUUUCAGUCUUUUCAAUUGUGCAAGCUCUAAGCACUGGAGUUUUUGAAAUCCUCCAACCUUGAAACAUAAUGUCUCCCCUUCAUAAGCACCAUAGAGACUAAGUGAUACCAGAUUGGGCAAAUGUUCGAGGGAGCCUAUUACAUUCUCAUCUUCUCUCAACCUACUGUUAAACAACCGUAAGGUUCUCAAGGAUUGAAGUGAUGUCACCCAUUGCGGCACUCUCUCUAAACGCCCAUUCAAUAACAGAGAUGUGAGGAAUUCAAGUUUUGGAGAGACGGAAUGUUGGAGAUCAAGGGUCUCAUCUUCUUCAAUACAGGAGAUGAUCAAAUCUCGAAGGCUGGUCAGCCUCAAGAGGGAGGAGAGCAACUCCUUUCCAUCUUCUCUUCUGAGCCCUGUGAUGUCUAAUCGCCGCAAUUGCGUUAGGUUUCCAAUCUCUCUUACUAUUUUAUCUCUAUCUGCUUCUAUACCAUACAGCUCCUCCAAACAAAUAAGCUUUCCAAUUCCAAGUGGACAUUUACAGCCCCAAACUGCAUAGUCAUUUGAAUAAUCUCCCCAUCCGCCAAACCAAAGAGAACGGAGUUUUCUUAGCUUUAGAAUUUCCACAGGCAACUCUGUUACAUUGGUUCUCAUCAGAUUUAUAGCUUCAAGGUUUUGAAGCUUCCCAAUAGAUUUUGGAAUAAUUUUAACUCCAGUUCUUGCAAAACUAAGAUACCUGAGAUGAAAUAGUUUGAAGACUUGCUUUGGGAUGUUGUCCAAUUUAGCUCCAUCCAAAUCCAACGCCUUCAGCAACUUGGGAUCACCACUUAAGAACUUGGAUAAAAAUGUAGUUGUGAGAGGAUCUUUAUACCCAAAUAUUACCACAGAUCGAAGACACUUCAAGCUACUAAAUUCUUGUGGAUUAUCAGUGAAGUUGUGGAUUGCUAGGUGUCGAACUUUUUCAGGCCAUCUUGUGUAAUACCUGGUGGCUACAGUCGUGAAGUCCUGCUCUUUGGAUUUUGAAACUAGGAUUUCACGCAGAAAAUCGUGGAGACCACAUUUAUUCAAUCUGCCAUCGUUCAAUGUGGAUUUAACUUGGAUUAAGCUUCUGUUGAUGAGUUCUUUCAUAUAACUCAUAGCAAUAUCGGUGGAUGUUAUUCUUUCUCUCUCUUCUACAAAUCCUAGUGCAAUCCACUUCAGAAGUAUAGAUACCACAUCAAUUGGAUAAUCUUCAGGGUAGAUGCUUAGAUACAAUAGGCAGCUUUUAAGAUAGUGAGGCAAAUCAUUGUAGCUAAGUAAGAGUACCCUUUUGAUUCUGUCAAGCUUACCACUGCCAUCUGCCUCGCCACCAAAACCAUGAAGAAUCAUCUCCCAUUCAUCUGUCUUUUCCUUGUGCUUCAGAGCCAAAACACCACCUAUUGCAACAAUCGCAAGUGGUAGGCCCUCACAUUUUUUCAGUAUUUUUUUAGCAACUUCUUCUAGAUUUGGAGGACAGUCAUUGCUCUGAAAUGUUCUAUUGCAGAACAGAGUCCAAGACUCUUUAUCAGAAAGAGGUUCCAUCUUAUAGACGAAGUCAGGUGACCCUAAACAGGACGCAGAAGCUACAUCGGCUAUUCGUGUUGUCAAUACAACACGACUAGCAAUAGUGCUGUCAGGUAAUACGCAUUUGAUAGCUUCCCAGGCAUCUAUACUCCACACAUCAUCAAGGACAAGAAUGUACCUUCUUUCUUGGAGGAAGUCUCUGACAAAUUCACUCAGCAUAAGAACAUCCAUGGAUUCCACUUCGGGAGGGACCGGCUGUCUGAUUUCGUUGUACAAAUAUUGGAUCAGGUUCUUGAUGAUGUCCCUGAACUGAAAAUUUCGAGAAACAGUUAUCCAGGCAUGGCUCUGAAAUUGUUUCUUCACUGCAGCGUCAUCGUAGACUUUUUUCACCAGGGUAGUCUUGCCGAGUCCCCCAUUCCCACAACCGAAACUACUUUCAAUUGGGAAUGGUCAUCAAGGAUUUUUGAGAUGAGCUCUGCUUUUGGCUUAUCAAUCCCAACAAGUUGAGCUUCUUCAAUGAAGAGUGAUUGAGCACGAAUGUCAAAAUCUGCAUUUGCCUGUCGGGAAGAGCUGAAGCCUCUUUCUUGAGUACCAUAUAGGGCUUGGUACCUCUGAUGCCUUGCUGAAAUCUCUCCAACUCUUGCCUUGAUGUCUUUUAUCUCCAAAGAAAUUUGAUGGUGAGCUUUCAGAUUCUUUAGUGAGUUAUAGAUCUUUCCAGCCUUGCCACAGAAUCCGUCCUUGUAGCGACGAGCAAAGCGGAAUGUAAAAUCAUCGAGAACAUCCUCUGUAUCAUAAGCAACUUCUCGAACCUGCUUUAGCCAUGCUCGGAGUUGAGAAUCAUUGUCUUCCUUUGCUUCAGCUUCUCUGAGGAAAGCCUUCAUGCUCUCGAGUUCAUCUUUGAUGAAUUGAACAUCUGAUUUAAGCCCCCCCAAAAGUGUGAUCUCUUGGGAAAGCAAGGUUGAGAGCUGGAUAAUCAAAAGACCUGCAACACUCUCUGCCAUGAUGCUCAAUCAAAUUUCUCAAGAGUCGGUUUUCUUAUCAAAAAAAUUUUGAGAGUUGUUCCAAAUUUCAGAGCUGUUUGAGAGCUGUUUUUCUUUUUCUUUCUUUCUUUUGUAGUAUAGAGGAUGCGAUUUAUAUAAGCUAACAAAUUCUAAAAUUAUAUGAAUUUGAAAGAACAACUAUUCAAGAAUGACUUGAAUUUGGGAUCAUAUGCUUUUUUUUUGCCCUUUGUGGUAUAGACGAUGAGUUUUGUUUGGCACUUUGGUGGUACAUAUCAAAAGUUAUUAUAGUCAAAAAGUGAAAUGUCGGUCUACUCGAAAGAAAAAGUAUACAGAGCAUAACCUAAAAAAAUAGGUAAAGAAUAACUAUUCUCUUGGGCUAAGAAAGGCAUAGAGAAAAUUUUGGAUUUCUUUUGAUUGUUUAAAUUGGAAAGGAAGGUAUUUGUCAUGUGGAAUCUAGCAAUCUUCAGAUAAUGUUCAGUUCCCUUGUAAUAUUUUCUUAAUUUGCUCCAAAAAGAAACGGCUAGUUAUGAUUCUAAGUAAAACUAAUAGAUAGAGAAAAGAAUAUGUUGUCCCCAAUAUCCAACUUAUUUGGUAGGGAUGCUAAUCAGGUAAAGGUAAAGUCCUUGAUUUGCCUCUUAUGCCUUCCGUUUAUCUCUUCUCACUUCAAAGCUUUGGGAAAAAAAUAUGCCAUUUUUUUGGGCUAUAAGGGAUGCGUUUUACAUGAUCUAGCUAAUCCAAUAAUGAUACUAAUUUUAAAGAAGAUCGUUCUUGAAAUUGGCACUUUGGUAAUACUUGCAAACUAACAUAAAUUCAUUGUAAUGAAUCAAAGAAAGGUUUGCCUACCUGCAACGAAAAGCAUAUUGAGCAUAACCUAAGAAAUGGGCCAAGCAUAUUAGAAUACACAUAUUCUCAUGCUAAGAAAGGCAAUGAUAAAAUUUUGAUUAGUUAAGUUGGAAAGCAAGGUAUUUGUCAUAGUCAAUCUAACAAUAUUCUUGUUAAAUUGAUAAAAUUUAACAAUAUGCUUGUUAUUUGAUUAUCAUAGUCAAUGAUAAAAUGUUCAACUCCCCUUCUAUGUUGUUUUGAUUGGCUUCCAAAUGUGUAGCUAAUAUGCUAAAUAAAACCGGCUGAAAAGAAAAAGUUGACAUGAAAAAGACGAUCUACAAAUUAUAAGGAUUUUAGCAUGAUAAUAACCACAUCAUAUUUCAUUUCAAAUGCCAAUGGAGAUUGGAAACUGAAAUGUUUGGUGUGUAUUUAAGGAAAACAUCUAUAGGCAGUUGCAGAAGAACUUGUACACAAGAACGUGCCUUUUUGAAGAAAGUUCCCUCUCUCUCUCUCUCUCACACAUAUAUAAUCACACACAUAUAUAAUCACAUAACCAUAUAAAUCUAUAUAGUUUUAUAUAAAAUGGAAAAUGAGAAGAAAGUAACUCCAAUUAUAACAAAUGACCUAAACGCGCUUCAGGAACGCAUGUGAUGAAGUUAUAAUAUUUACUUAGUCCUUCAAUUAUUUCAUGUAUAUCUACAAAAUUUCCCAAUAAUUAAUUUUAUGAAUAGUUGUUCCUCCCCUCAUCCCCUUCCCUCCCCCAAUAUUUUGUUUGGUACCUGAGUAAGGGCAAUACAAACAUUUCAAAUAACAAUUGUAGGAAAACUCCUUUAUGUCAAAUUUUCACUUUAAAAGAAUAAUGUGGUGAUAGAUGAAACCACACUAAGUGCAUAGUUAUUUACCCUGUAUGCUAAUUAUGGAUCUUGUUUUUGCAAUGCAGCAUUAUGACUGCCAAGUUAUAAGAUGAGAUUUUUUUCUUGUUCGGCUGAAAAGUCUUUCAUAUUCGAGUUUACUGUCAAGAAACUAGCUUCAAACAUCUGUUUCAUAUUUCACACCACUCCAUCCCACUCUCGUUGCUCCAUCUCUCUUAAAAGCCUCAAUGUCCACCAAUCACGAAAAUUGCAUAUUCAAAAGUCCGAAAGUGUUCAAAGCCACAUUUAUCAUAACCACCAGUGUAAGACUUCAACAGGUAAAGGCAUUUGCCUGAGCCCAUCUACCAUAAACGUUUGCAAGCAACUUGCAAUGGAGUUUCUUUUCCUUUUUUAAAAAAAUGUGAUGCAGUAUAUGAGCAAAGUACUAGAAAUAUGGCACAAUUAUCACAAAUAAACAGCAUGUUUUUCGUUUAUAUAAUAUGAACUGUUAGUUACAUGUAGUUUCUUAGCUAUCUUAAUUUUUUCUUGGUAUAAUAGAUUUGCAAGUUUUUUUUUUUUUGUUUAUUUGUGUGUUUUUCUAUUUGUUUUGGUAGACUUUGGACCCCAACUUCUACUAAGGUUAUGAAGUGGUGUCUUUGAGUUCAAUAACACAUCAACAUGCAUCAACGAGCAUUCUGCAAAAUAAUGAUGACAUCGACCUACAAGUUGCUAAAGAUUAAAAAAAAAAAAAUUGAAUGAAGAUACUUUUGAAGAAAUGGACUAUGAGAUUGUGGUCAUGGGUUAGUUGUGUCUGUCAAUGGAUUAAACCAAUUUGAUUUUCGUCAGUUGUUCUAUAUUUGCCUAAAAUCACAAAUUUUAUGGAGAAGAUUUUUUUUUUGUCAAAAUAUUAAGGAUCAUUUUGGUGCGCAAGCUAAACAUUGGGAAUCAAAACUGCGUUUCUUCCUUAUUUCACUCACUCUUCUUUGAUUUUCUCAAAAGAAUAAACCUUUUGAAUUGAUUUUUUAAACAAUGGUAAACAUACCUCUUGAACUUGCUUUUUCUUUCUUUACAUGCGAAGAAAGAACUUCAUUUAAAAAUGGAAAUAAGAGAAAUGUUUGAAUAACUUCUAUUCAUGUCAGGCUUAAAUUUUUUUCAUCAAUUUUCUGAACUACCAAUCUCAAUUAAAAAGAAAAGGUUUCUUCAUUAAACCCUACUAAAACUUGCGUACCUAUAGCCUCAAAAGCAAUCAAACCAAAUCUUUUUAUCAGAAUCAUGACUUAUGAUGCACAGAAAGAAACCCAAUAAUCAAGAACGCAUGAACAUAUUGUAAAUCCUAACUAAUCAAAAUCUAGUAGAGUUUUAACUACAGGUUCAAUACUUACAAUGCAAACAAUAAGAAGAACCUAAAAACAACCCUUCAUAUUGUGUAACAAGGUGGUACCUAUUGGAGUUCUCUCAAUAGCAACAAAUGAGAGAAGGAAGGUUGAAACCAUUCUUUCCCAAAUUUGGAGUUUUCAAAAGGCAAAUAAUAUUAACAUUCCCAAAAAAAGGGUUUCGCGCACUCUUUCUCUUCUUGUUUUUGUGUAAAAAGGCAAUAUUGCCCAUUUAUCAGUUGUGUCUAUUCUUUUUUUUUUUUUUUUUGCCAGUAAUGAUACAUUUGUAUAAUCUACUCUAUCCUAAUUUAAGGGGGAUGGGGAGUCUAAGGAGGCUGUAGUGGGAUGGGGAGCCUAAGGAGGCUAUUGUAGGGGCUAGUGGGUAUACAGACCGAACUAGACCAAGAGAGUGUUAUAAUACAACCCUUAGAUUUUUUUGAGAUUUGAACCCCCACCUACAGCCCAAGGAGGGACUUAAGGUUGCCACUGAGCCAUUGGCCCAAUGGUUCAGUUGUGUCUAUUCGUUAACUACUGCAAUUGCCCUAAAGCUUCACAGUUGCUAUAAAAGAAUUCCUUUGCCUCUUUCUUCACUACCAAAACCGUUCUUUCCCUACCAUUGUACAUUUUCUAGCAAUGGCAAAAGAUUAAAAUUGCAAGGGCCUACUAGAUCACAUGAAACUAGAGGAAAUCAAUGAUAUUUGAAAACCACAAGUCUGGAAGAAUUCCUAAAUUUUAUCAAUUGCUUCUAUCUUUCAUAGGUAAUAUUUUUAAAGAUUGAUCUUUUUCAUUUUUUUUGUUUUAUUAGAAGCAUAUAUGUUACAAGUUUGAACAUAACAAUUCAAUAUUUUGAUUAGAGAUCUUUUUUUUUGGAUAGUUUAAGUUAUAAAAAAUAAUAUAUUUGUAGAAAAGAGAACAAUUUGCAGUAGUAUGCCAAUAUACUGGCUUUUUUUGGAUUGCCAUUCUGGACAAAAAUCUCAUGUUUUUUGGGAAUAUUUCCUUGAUACACUUUUCAAUGAACUUUUUAUUUUAUAUAUAUCAUAUCUAAAAAAAUAUUACAAUAUACCCUUCCAGAAAAUGCAAUCCAAACAAUAUACUUCCAUGAUCAAUCAUAGUAGUAUUGUGAUUAGAACCUUUUUUUUACAAUUAGAAUAAAAAACUAAAAAAAAAAUAGAACCUAGACAACAAAAUUGAUUAUGUGACUUGACUUUCAAGAUUACUUGAAAUAAUUCUAAUCUAGGUGAAGAUAACUUGUAGUAUUUUGGGUAAUUUUUUUCAAAGGUCAAAAGGCUGUUUGGGUACAAAGGAAUGUGAGUACUAAACUAUAGGUUUAAAUUUAAUUUCAUUUAAAUCAAAAGAAGGGAAGGACUUAGGCCUGUCAAUUGGGCCAUUUGAAUCGAGGUUUAACAAACUCAGGUUCGCUUUUAUAGUUAGUAGUUAGUACCACUUUUAGAUUUCGAAUUAUGAGUUUUGGAUUGAUAAAUAUGAAACUCGUACUUGACUUACAAAAUAUUCAGAUUGUGAGUUUAAUUCGGACUUAACUCAAACUCAUUUAUAACUCCUUAAUUUCCUUAAUGUAAUUACUAUAUUAUUAAGUUUUAAACUAAUUUAAUAUCCAUAGGACCACAACAUUAAAACUAGGGAUAAUUGCAGAAACCUCCCCUGAGGUUUCUGACAUUUGCACUGAGCUCUCUUGUGGUUUGAAAAAUUACAUUGACCUCCCCUGAGGUUACUAAUCCUUUGCAAAUUUAGUCCAAAUUAAAAUACUGUUUUAGGGAGUGAAAUUAAAAUUUUGUACCAAAUUUGUCCUUUGUACUACAUGUCCAAUGAAUGACAAAGUACUACAAAUCAAUUAACAAUUAAUAAAUUUCAAGGAGCAUAGUUUAUAGGCAAAUAUGCAUUACCUAUUUAAAGUAACGGCUCUUUAUAGGUAUUUGACAGGUGCCGAACCUGUGCAAUAAUAAUAAUAAAAUCCUAACUACCACUAAAAGCAGUCAAUAAUUAAUCCUAGGUACUGGAGCAGGGACUUUAGGUGUGCAAUGGGUUACUUGAUUCACCCUGUUCUCGAAGAGUUUGCUUAACCCGAUAUACCAGAAUUAAUUAGUUGACGAAAAUUACUGAAUAGUAGACAGUGGCAAGUAGGGUCGUCUCCUCAGGGACUGGGGAUAUUUGUCUCUUUUUAAAUGCCAAUUGGUAAGGGGGGAUUUCACCAGAAUAAAACUAAAAUCAAUUGAAUAAUUCAACAGAAAUAAAUAAAUAAUUAACUAGCACAAAUAUAGCAUGAGUUAAAUCAAGAAUGAAUAAAUUCUAGCCAAGGAUGCAACUACUCAGGCACAGUCCACUUAUCCGAUCAUUGAUGCAAGAGAGGUUCACUUAAUUUAUUAAUAGACUAGUUAUAGUUGCCGAUGAACUUUGACAACCAAUUUUUCCUUAAAUUAUUGAUAACCAAGGUACGACCAUUGAUCACCCCUAACCAGAAAAUACUCCUAGGUACGACCAUACGAAAUAAUUUCCCAAUUGCAUUAAUAACUAGAAAAACCUAGCCCUAAUCAAUAACACGCUACGAGGGUUAUUUAAAUUAGAUCGCACGUUCUCCUAGUGUGUGAACACACCAGUUGCCACUAAUAUUAAUCAAUCAAACAAUUACGGAUUUAAUUGACUAAAUUGGCACGAGAUUAAUAAAUCACAUUGAACAUCGGACCCUUGACAUCCAAUUAAUAAAAUAAUCCCAUGAGAAUACAAGCAGACAACGUGCAAAUAUUAAUAAAUUAAGGAACGCGUGAAAACUAAUUAGAUCUCACAGAUUUUCGGGACUGCGCCGUCGAGUUAACCCUUGACUAGAUGAAAGGUUUGGCCACGCCGCAUAAUUAAAUCACCACACGAAUUAUUGGAUUGCAAAGGCAUUGCGAUUUUUUACUAGAAAGCAAGGAAUAAAUGGUGUUUUUCCCGUUGGGGAAUUUUGUCGAACACCUGGCGUGUGUCAGAGGCCAGUCAAACGAAGGAGAAACUAAAACUAAACUAAAAGACUAAAAACUAGAGGUAAACUAAAGCCGUCCGUCUUCUGUACGUUUGUUCCCAAUUUAAAGCCAAAAGAAAGAUAUCCAGUGGUCCCCACCAAUUGGCCACAAGCUGCCGCAUUUCUUCUUAGUUUUCUUAGGCUUUGUACGUUGUCUGCUUUUGGCCAAAUGACUAGUGGUCUUUAUUCCAUGGGCCCCCACUGAAAUUGAGAAGAUGAAUUACCAAUGCUAGGCCCUGCUGAAUUGACCCUUAGUAAUAUGCUCUAGAAAGUCCCCCCAUUUGGUAAUAUUUCUGCUUCACUCCUGAAAUUGAUUCCAAAUACCAAAUAUGAGUAAAUACCAGCAAUUAACACAAUAUUUGUCAGGGAUAGAAAGGGAAAUUAAUAAUAAAAUUACUAACAAAUUAUAUCCUAUCAAUUCUCCCCACACCUGAAUCAUGCUUGCCCUCAAGCAUGGGGACAACCCAACUCAACAAUGGCUAGCUUUCACAUUAUCAUUGCCAGCUGUGUUUAUACCCAAAAUCAAGAUUUAGUGGCUGAGUGUCCAGACAUAUCUCUCCCGGUUAGCUCCUAAGUUCAUAGACUCGUCCAAUUCAUGACUAACUCACCUAGGCAAUCCAAAUAUUAACUAGCAAUAGUUAGCAAAUAAGUCAACUGGCAACCAAAAUCUCAACACUACGAACCAAGGAUCGGCAGGCCAACAUGAUCAUAGACCUACAUAUUUCCCACAUUUGCUCUCUUUUUGUAUUCUUCUUUAUUUUUCUUUUUCUUCUUUUUUUUUUUUUUUGGAUUGAAUAAGGUUUAGUCCCAAGCUAUUCAAGUCUUUUGACGUGAACUCUGACAUUUUUAGAUGAAAGAGCCCAGUUACUCAACUUUUCAUAGCUCCAGGACCACUUACUCAUAGAUAUCACCACUUUUUGACGCGAGAGCCGACACUUGUGGUGAAGACUCCCGGUUACUGGGUGGCGACCCUAGCGGAGUAAAGCCAUAUAUUAUUCACCAUAAAACACCAAGAUACCAAGUAAUUAAAGAACAUAGCCUGCGUCAUGUCCUAAAUAUGGAGAACUAAGGUCAACAGGAGACCAAUUCACACAACAAUGCCAGCAGAAUAUCUAUAUUGCCUAAACAAGUUAGCCAUAAAUCGCCCCAAGUCGUUAAACUCAAAAUAUUCACCAAGACAGCAUGCUCUUACUCGCCACCGAAACUCAACUCAUAGUAUAAACUACAACUAGCAAUAAAAGAGCGAGCUGCCAACAUAUUCACCAAGAUAAUAUCACAGGAUAAACAUCCAAAAGAAAUAAAGGAACAACACCUAAACAGAAAACACUUAAACUAAAACGUGGGAAAAACACCCCAAAAACCAAAAACUGGAAAUAAGUAGCAUCCAAACUGACCCCCCCACACCUAAAUCACACAUUGCCCUCAAUGUGAAAAAGUAACAGCAAAAAAGGAGGAGAAGGGCAACGGUACUUCCCCGAAGUCGUCAAGACGAGGGAGGGUUAGGCGGAAACUGCGGAGGGAACCCGGCUUGCUGCAUAAAUGCCGCUAGAUUCUGCGCCAUAUUGUGAAUGUUAACGUCCAUGUGUUUCUGCCGCGUCUCAAGCCGCUCGACUGUGUUUCGGAGAUGCUGCCAUUCCUCGUCCGUAUGGGCGGAAGGGGGGGAGCGGAAGAAGAAGAACCGAGGUCACCGCCCGCCGUGGAAGCAUUGGCAAAGGAUGAACGAGGAGGAGGUCUAAUCGGCCCCGGGGGAACAAUCUCCCACCCGUUGUCACCCUCCCGGACCAAACCCAUUCGCUCCAAGCACGGGAUGUCCAAGGGCUCCAUUUGACAAGCAACAUGUAAAUCAUGGUUAGAGAGAUCAAGCAACUGCAAGUUAACAGCUAAAUGGGUGAUAUAUGACCCAAAAAUCAAGGGACGCUUCUUUUUUGUCAAAACAGACUUAAAUUGAGAAACGAGCCAGCACCCCAAAUUAACCUUAAUAUUAUUAUGCAUGCACCAUAUGAAAAAAAACUCUGGCUUGGACAAUAUACCCGAACUAUCCCGCCUACCCGAGAAACUAUACGCUAGGAAGCGCUGGAUGUAGCGAGAAGCCGGGUCCUUGAUGUACGAGCUCUUGGACUGGCGAGGAUCAUAAGAGGCAGGGUCGACGGACAACGCCUCCCACAUACUUCGAUAACGAGAGAAGAAAGGCUCUAUGUAGUCGCACGCACUCUCGGCAUACUCCCGAGAGGCGGCAUAGGGCAGAUCAAUAAAGCCAAAAGCUAAAUUAAAAUCAGUAAUCGACUGGUGGAACUCCUGACCCAUCAAUCGGAAGCGAAUGACAUCGGGGGUAGACGCAGAAUAACCGGUAGUAAUGGUGAACUCAAAAGUGGCAUAAAACUUUCUAACCAACUCAACAAAGGCCGGGAGAUCAACAAUACGGGAAUAUGGGCGACACCCAAUGCCAUUAAUCAAAUGGUGGAAUCAAAUGGUGGAAGGGCUCGCUAAUAUUUAGAAGGCCCAAAGUGGCGGGGUCCAGAUAUCGGCAGGGAAUGAUCUGUCGCUCACAACAAACAGCAUAUCGCUGCUUGUCGGCGGCCCUAGUGAAAUGCAGAUUUCCCCCAAAAUGUGCAGGAUCAGAAAUAUGAACGCCCCUCUGUCUCCCAAGGCGAGCUCUCCUCCCAGAGGAGAAAGGUUCGUGCGAGGGGUCAGAGGCGGGAAUAGUGGGUGGGGGUGUUGGAGGCUGUGUUUGCCUAGAUGUCCUAGACUUAGAAGAAGAACGAGGUCGCACCAUGGUGACCAACAGGCAAACCAAAACAAUAGAAAGCACAAUACAGGAAUCCAAGAGCUAGAAAAUGACCCCAAGCGAGUCCAGUAUACCCCACUGAGUAGCAAUGAUAAGCGUCACGGGCGCCCCCAAUAAGCAAAUAUAAGCAAGUCACCCACAAUUGGACAUCAAAUAUAUGAAUCAGCCACGCGUGGACCUACAACCGGAGUCACUGUCUCUAAAUGGACAGUCAAGAACCCAAGUCAAAUGGUCAAAAUCAGCACUUGGGCCAAGCAACCAGCAAUUUCAGCAAUAACCAAAAAGUAAUUGAGAAAGUUUAAGAAUUUUAAGUAAGACUGCAACCAGUACCACUGGUGCUCAAACAGGAAAGUAUGAAAUUCAGCGGCAGCACUCAACCACAAGAACUUAAACUUUAAAAUAAGCAAGUAGCUUCAAAUAGCCGCAACAACAAUAGGCAAAAGAUCUCAACCAAUACCACUGGUGAGUCGCAGGGAAAAAUGAAAUCAACCGGCCAACAAUUCAAUAAUUAGCAGAAGAUACCCCCACUAUGGCAGCAAUUAAACCCAAUUCUGUUCAAAAUUGACCCUAGAAAAUGCCCAAAUUAUCACAUUCUUUUAUCAAUCAAGAAAUCCAACCACAAAUUUCAGAGAGUGAAACUAAUUGGGGCAGAAUUCACAAUACCUCCACCUGUCGAAAUUAGACAGGUGGCGACGUGCGGCAAUGGAGGAGAUGUGCGCGACCGUGGAGCUGGUGGUGCCAAUGAAGUCGACAGGUCAGCGGCUGCGGAAGAGGAGCUAGCUGCAGACUGUAGCGGCGAGGUGGAGAGAAGCCGCGUGGCUGCAGAGGUGCGGCGGCUGGGCGGACUGAUGGUGGGGGAGCGCGCAGGUGCAGGGCUGGCCAGGACAAGGUCGCGCGAUGGAGGAUCUUGCCGUGGGCUGUGGCGGCGCGCGAGCUGAACUGAGGAGGAGGCGCACGAGCUGGUGGAGCUUGGGCGCGGUGAACUGCGUGGGCAGUGUGGCUGUCGCUAGGCUGCGGCUGUGCGCAGCGUGUGGCCGAGAAGGAGAGUGAGGGAAAAAAGGAGGGGCGGCGGUGUAGCUGGAGCUACUGCAGUGGUGGGAGCGACCGUGCGCUGGUGGAGAGUUGGUGGCGCAGCAGCGGCCUCGCGGCUGCUGUGGUGGUGGUUGUGGUGCGGCGUGGUGCGGCAAGCUAAGCUGAGGAGGCGGCACUCGGCGAAGGGUUUCGGUCGCAAGAGACAGGGGGAAAGUGAAGGCGAGGCAGCGGGGAAGAAAAAAAGAAAGAAAGAAGAAAAGAAGGAAAGAAGAAAAGAAAAAAAAAAAGAAAGAAGAGAAAGAAAAGAGAACUUUUUUUUUAUUUAACCGUGUUUCUGCAUUUUUUUUUAUUGGAAUUCUUCCGUAUCUUUAUCUUUAUUUUUCAUUCUUUUUUUGUAUUAUUAUUAUUAUUAUUUUUUAUUAAUAAUUUUUUUUUUAUCAUUUAAAAAAAAUUUUUCUUUUCUUUUGAAUUGUCAAACAUGGCGUGGGCACGCCAAGAUUAGAGAGCAUCCACUGACUUCAAGAGUUACUUUACGCACUUAACGCGUGCCCUCCUCGUGUGGGCACGCCAAGAUUCCAUUUUCUACCAGUGUCGCGAGAUGUUGAGAAUUUACCAACACGGCGCGGGCACGCCAUGUUUUACAACCAUCCACUGACCAUGGGACUUGGACUUAGACGCUUAACGCGUGCCCUCCUCACGUGGGCACGUCAAGAUUACCUAUCCUGAUCAGAGUUAGAAAACAUCAAAAGUGACUAAUACCCAAGUGAGAAACGACAUAAUUAAAUAAUUAAGCACUAAAACAACAAAAUUAACAAUUGGGUUGCCUCCCAAAAGCGCCUUUCUUUAACGUCUUUGGCUAGACGAUGUCCACAACUUCGCUUAAACUAAGCAAGUAGGCAAGUGCAUCAUUUCCACCCGUUCAGUUGGAAAACCUUCAUAAUACGGCUUGAGACGGUGACCAUUCACUACAAAUUUCUUCUCAGUUUUCAAACUUUGGAUCUCGACUGCACCAUAAUGAAAGACAUUAGUCACAACAAAAGGGUCAAUCCAACGAGAACGUAAUUUACCUGAAAAUAACUUCAAUUUGGAGUGGUACAGUAGAACUUUUUGCCCACAUUCGAACGUCUUCCUAGAGACCUGCUGGUCAUGAAAAAUCUUGUUUUUCUCCUUAUAAAUCACAGCAUUCUCGUAGGCUUCAUUGCGAAUCUCCUCCAAUUCUUGUAACUGUAGCUUCCUUUGAAUUCCGCCCUCUUCGAUAUCCAUGUUGCAUUGCUUGACCGCCCAAAAUGCUCUAUGCUCGAACUCGACAGGGAGGUGGCAUAGCUUCCCAAAUACCAAACGGUAAGGGGACAUGCCGAUUGGCGUCUUGUACGCCGUUCUAUAUGCCCACAAGGUAUCUUCAAAUCUCACGCUCCAAUCCUUCCUAUCAGGUCGAACCAUUUUCUCCAAAAUUGACUUGAUCUCCCGGUUCAAUGCUUCCGCCUGACCGUUUGUCUGAGAAUGGUAGGAAGUGGAGACCUUAUGCAAGACACCAUACCUCCUGAAAAGCGCAGCAAUCGUCUUGUUGCAGAAAUGGGUACCCCGAUCACUUACAAUUGCUCGCGGCAUCCCAAAGCGAACAAAGAUAUUAGACUUGAUGAAUUCUGCAACUAUUUUGGAAUCAUUAGUACGGGUGGCUUUUGCUUCCACCCAUUUUGAGACAUAAUCCACGGCAAGCAAUAUAUACAAAAAACCAAAAGAUGAAGGAAAAGGGCCCAUAAAGUCAAUACCCCAAACGUCAAAAAUCUCGACAAAAAUCAUUGGGGUUUGGGUCAUUUGAUCUCUACGAGAAAUAUUACCUACUCGUUGACACUUAUCACAUGACUUACAAAAUAAGUAGGCAUCCUUAAAGAGGGUCGGCCAAUAAAAUCUAUUCUCUAGAACCUUACGAGCAGUCCUCUUUGGUCCAAAGUGACCUCCACAUGCAAAAGAGUGACAAUAAGCUAAAAUAGAUUGGAAUUCAUUUUCACUUACACAUCUACGAAUGAUUUGGUCAGCACCACGUUUCCAGAGGUAAGGGUCAUCCCAGAUGUAAGACUUUGCGUCACUCCUCAAUUUGUCCCUUUUUGCCUUAGGCCAUCCUGCAGGAAACUUGUCAGUAACUAGAAAAUUAACCAUAUCCGCAUACCAAGGCAAAGACAAAUUAAUAGAAAAUAAAUGCUCAUCGGGAAAAGUUUCUCUCAAUGGGAUAUCAUCUUCUACGACUUACACUCGACUUAAAUGAUCUGCUACCAGAUUUUCAGCCCCUUUCUUAUCCCUGAUCUCCAAGUCGAACUCUUGGAGCAGUAGUAUCCACCUUAUCAGUCGUGGUUUUGCCUCUUUUUUGGUCAACAGAUACCUCAGGGCUGCAUGAUCAGAUAAAAUAAUAACUUUAGCACCAAGUAAAUAGGACCGAAAUUUCUCUAAAGCAAAAAUUACAGCUAAAAACUCCUUUUCGGUGGUCGAAUAGUUCAACUGAGCCCCGUUCAAGGCUCGAGAGGCGUAGUAUAUAGCAUGAGCUGCCUUCCCCACUCUUUGACCUAGCACCGCGCCCACGGCAUAGUCGCUGGCAUCGCACAUGAUCUCGAACGAUAGGUUCCAAUCGGGGGGUUGGAUAAUAGGUGAGGAGGUCAGUAACUCCUUCAACCUAUCAAACGCCCCCUUACAUGACUCAUCGAACUCGAAAGGUACCUCUUUCUGCAAAAGUUGGAAUAGGGGCGAUCCAAUCUUGGAGAAGUCCUUUAUGAAUCUCCUGUAGAAACCUGCGUGACCCAAAAACGAACGCACUUCCCGCACACUCGCAGGGUAAGGUAAAGUCGAUAUCACAUCUAUUUUUGCCUUAUCAAUCUCAAUACCCCUAAACGACACCACAUGACCCAAAACUAUCCCGUGCUCGACCAUAAAAUAACAUUUUUCUCAAUUGAGCACGAGAUUAGCUUCUAUGCACCUUAUUAAAAUUAAUUUUAGGUUAUCUAGACAGUUAUCAAAACUUUCCCCAUACACACUGAAAUCAUCCAUAAAAACCUCAAUAAUCUUCUCAACAUAUUCUGAAAAAAUACUGACCAUACAGCGCUGGAAGGUAGCAGGUGCAUUGCAUAGCCCAAAUGGCAUCCUCCGGUAUGCGAAUGUUCCAAACGGGCACGUGAAGGUAGUCUUCUCCUGGUCAUCAGGUGCGAUAGCAAUCUGAAAAUAACCUGAAAAUCUAUCCAAAAAACAAUAAUAAGCUCGACCUGCUAAUCGCUCUACCAUUUGAUCAAUGAAAGGAAGGGGAAAGUGAUCCUUUUUCGUGACGGCGUUCAAUUUCCUAUAAUCUAUGCACUGCCGUCACCCAAUGGGCUUCCGGACUGGUACGAGCUCACCCUCCUGAUUAGACUCUACCGUCACUCCCGCCUUCUUUGGGACCACCUGUACUGGACUUACCCAGGGGUUAUCUGAUAUAGCAAAAAUUAUCCCCACAUCCAGUAGUUUUAGGAUCUCUUUCUUCACUACCUCCAUCAUGAGAGGAUUCAAUCUCCUUUGAGCCUGCCGAAUAGGUUUAGCGCCCUCCUCGAGUCGAAUCCGAUGUGUAUAUACCGCGGGGCUAAUUCCCUUGAUAUCGGCGAUAGUCCAUCCUAUCGUCUGCUUAUGUUCUCUCAAAACUCGAAUCAAUUUGUCUUCUUGGACUUUUGAUAAACUGGCGGAAAUAAUCACUAGGAGUGUCUCCCCUCACCUAAGUACGCAUACUUUAGGUGUUUUGCCAUCGGUUUCAACUCUAAAAUAGGCGCCUGCACCACAGAUCGAAGUAGCCUUUGGUGAGGUUCAGGUGUAAAAACGGGUGCGAGGUCAUACCUUAUCUUUGUGAUUGGCAACGUCUGCAACGCUCCAAUUACACAUUUGAACUCUUCACUCAACUCUAUCUCAGCGGUCAUCUCUGACUCGAAGUGCCUGGUCAAGGCAACUUCCAGCUCAUCCCUGCCUCCAAUUUCAAAAACUUCACGUACAGCAGAAUCAAUAGCAUUUAUAGAGAAAACAGAGCCAGCAUGUGAUUCUGAAGGAUAUUUCAUAGAGUCGAAAAAAUUAAAAUGAACAACCUCACCAUCAAAUUCCAUAGAUAGGGUGCCCUUAUUAACAUCUAUUUUAGUUCGAGCUGUGCUCAAGAAGGGUCUACCUAACAGUAAAGGUGAUGGGUCGUGAGAGUGUUCAUCAUCCAUAUUACGCACGUAAAAAUCAGCAGGGAAAACCAAUUCAUUAAUUUUCACUAAAACAUCCUCAAUCAACCCGUCAGGGUAUGCAUUGGUCCGGUCAGCCAGUUGGAUUAUUAUUCCAGUGUCUUUCAGAGGUCCUAACUUCAACGAGGCAUAUAUAGACUUGGGCAUCACAUUAAUUGAGACUCCUAGAUCUAACAUAGCCUUUCCAAUCAAGGUAUUGCCUAUUCUACAAGGAAUAGUGAACAUACCUGGGUCACCGCAUUUCGGUGGAAGUUUUCGUUGCAGAAUCGCUGACACAUUUUCUCCCACUACCACUCUCUCAUCUCCCUUCAAUCGCCUUCGGUUGACACACAGGUCCCUUAAAAAUUUUGCGUAUCUGGGUACCUGCUUAAUCGCAUCUAGAAGAGGAAUAUUGAUCUCCACUUUGCGAAAGAUCUCUAGGACCUCUUUCUCCUUGUCCUACUUCCUUGGUUUCUCCAAUCUGCUUGGGAAGGGAGGUGGGUUGGAUCUAACUGGCAUGAGUGGGUCCGGGAUUACCCUUGAAUUUUUAUUAUUACCGCCUUCCUCUUCCAACUCUUUUUCAAUUCGAUCUUCGUCCUUGUCCUUAGGAAUCACCGGGUCAGGUCCUUGGACCUCCUUGCCACUUCUUAAGGUCAUGGCGCUCACAUUCUUCGGGUUUAAUUCGGGUUGAGACGGCAAUUUACCUUGGUUCUGGGAAUCCAAACGGUUGAUUGUUGUGGCCAUUUGACUUAUCUGAUUCCUUAUGUCCUGCAUUUCGGAGUCCGUCCUUUGCUGAUUUUGCGUGAUGGUUGCCAUCAUUUGUUUCAUCAUCUCCUCCAAAGAUGGACCAAAUCUUGGGGACGGAGGUGGUCGGGGUUGGUAUUGCUGCUGGUACCCCGGUUGCUUAUUUGGCACGAAAUUAGACUGCCUGUUCGGUGCAAAGUUGGGCUGCCUACUCCCUUCAUAACUGAGAUUGGGAUGAUCUCUCCAUCCGGGAUUGUAGGUGCUUGAGUAAGGGUCGUAAUGCUUCCUUGGCACGGGCGCGUGGCCAGUCAUGUUCACCUGUUCUGCAGUUUCUUCCUGAAUCAUUGGGCACAUGUCUGCAGUGUGACCCAUACCAGUGCAAAUCCCGCACACCCUGGCCUGAGAUGCAUUCCCUACCACCAGUUGCCUAACAACUGAGGUCAACUCAUUUAGCUGCUGCUGGAUAGAGGAUGUCUCUAUCUCAUUCACCUUGCGGAUUGGGACAUCCUCUCUCGUACCGAAUUGUUGUGAAUUUUCCGCCAUCCCCUCUAUCAACUCCCGAGAUUCCCGAGGGGUUUUGUUCACUAGUGCCCCUCUACUUGCAGCAUCAAUUAUGCUCCUAUCUCUGAAGAGGAGCCCCUCAUAAAAAUACUGUAUGAGUAACUGCUCACUUAUCUGGUGUUGGGGGCACUUAUUACACAACCUCUUGAAUCGCUCCCAGUACUCAUACAGCGAUUCCCCUAGGUGCUGCUUGAUCCCACAUAUUUCUUUCCUUAGACUUGCAGCCUUGGACGCAGGAAAAUAUUUUUCUAGAAAUUUUUUCUGCAACUGAUCCCACGUGGUAAUGCUGCCUGGUGGCAGGUAGUACAGCCAGUCCUUCGCAGAGUCUUUCAAUGAGAAAGGGAAUGCCCUCAUUUUUAUUUGCUCUUCUGUGAUUCCCGGGGGUUUUAUACUAUUGCAUGCAACAUCAAACUCCCGCAGAUGCUUAUACGGCUUCUCACCUGGUAAACCAUGAAAAGAAGGUAAGAGUUGAAUAAAGCCAGAUUUUAAUUCGAAUGGAGUGUUGUUAUCUAAAUUUGGGAAUGUGAUGCACAAAGGCUGCUGAUUUAAGUUAGGAGCAGUCAACUCCCUUAAUGUUCGUGCAUUAGCCAUGGUUCCUCCAUCCUGGUCAGAGUCACUUGAAGUGUCUCCAAACGAAUCUGUCGGUUCAACUUCUGACUCAGGUCUCUGAGAUGCAGCACUGGACUGCUCCUCUCUGAGCUGUCUGGUUUCCUUCCUCGUUCUACGCGCGAUCUUCUCUACUUCAAGGCCAAAAAUCAAAUCACCUGUAUGAGAAGAUCGAGGCAUACACUGGAAGAAACCCAGAGAAUUAGGACAAAAAAAUGAAUUUAAAAGGAAACAAAUAGUAACGCCAGUCCCCGGCAACGGCGCCAAAAAUUGACAGGUGCCGAACCUGUGCAAUAAUAAUAAUAAAAUCCAAACUACCACUAAAAACAGUCAAUAAUUAAUCCUAGGUACUGGAGCAGGGACUCUAGGUGUGCAAUAGGUUACUUGAUUCACCCUGUUCCCGAAGAGUUUGCUUAACCCGAUAUACCAGAAUUAAUUAGUUGACGAAAAUUACUGAAUAGUAGACAGUGGCAAGUAGGGUCGUCUCCUCAGGGAUUGGGGAUAUUUGUCUCUUUUUAAAUGCCAAUUGGUAAGGGGGGAUUUCACCAGAAUGAAACUAAAAUCAAUUGAAUAAUUCAACAGAAAUAAAUAAAUAAUUAACUAGCACAAAUAUAGCAGGAGUUAAAUCAAGAAUGAAUAAAUUCUAGCCAAGGAUGCAACUAUUCAGGCACAGUCCACUUAUCCGAUCAUUGAUGCAAGAGAGGUUCACUUAAUUUAUUAAUAGACUAGUUAUAGUUAUCGAUGAACUCUGAUAACCAAUUUUUCCUUAAAUUAUUGAUAACCAAGGUACGACCAUUGAUCACCCCUAACCAGAAAAUACUCUUAGGUACGACCAUAGGAACUAAUUUUCCAAUUGCAUUAAUAACUAGAAAAACCUAACCCUAAUCAAUAACACGCUACGAGAGUUAUUUAAAUUAGAUCGCACAUUCCCCUAGUGUGUGAACACACCAGUUGCGACUAAUAUUAAUCAAUCAAACAAUUACGGAUUUAAUUGACUAAAUUGGCACGAGAUUAAUAAAUCACAUUGAAUAUCGGGCCCUUGACAUCCAAUUAAUAAAAUAAUCCCAUGAGAAUACAAGCAGACAACGUGCAAAUAUUAAUAAAUUAAGGAACGCGUGAAAACUAAUUAGAUCUCACAGAUUUUCGGGACUGCGCCGUCGAGUUGACCCUUGACUAGAUGAAAGGUUUAGCCACGCCGCAUAAUUAAAUCACCACACGAAUUAUUGGAUUGCAAAGGCAUUGCGAUUUUUUACUAGAAAGCAAUGAAUAAAUGGUGUUUUUCCCGUUGGGGAAUUUUGUCGAACACCUGGCGUGUGUCAGAGGCCAGUCAAACGAAGGAAAAACUAAAACUAAACUAAAAGACUAAAAACUAGAGGUAAACUAAAGCCGCCCGUCUUCUGUACGUUUGUUCCCUAUUUAAAGCCAAAAGAAAGAUAUCCAGUGAUCCCCACCAAUUGGCCACAAGCUGCCGCAUUUCUUCUUAGUUUUCUUAGGCUUUGUACGUUGUCUGCUUUUGGCCAAAUGACUAGUGGUCUUUAUUCCAUGGGCCCCCACCGAAAUUGAGAAGAUGAAUUACCAAUGCUAGGCACUGCUGAAUUGACCCUUAGUAAUAUGCUCUAGAAAGUCCCUCCAUUUGGUAAUAUUUCUGCUUCACUCCUGAAAUUGAUUCCAAAUACCAAAUAUGAGUAAAUACCAGCAAUUAACACAAUAUUUGUCAGGGAUAGAAGGGGAAAUUAAUAAUAAAAUUACUAACAAAUUAUACCCUAUCAGUAUUUUACUUUCAAACAUUUAAUUUAAUACAAAUAUAUAUUCUAAAAUACAGAUUUGUAUUUACUUUCAAAUAUUUAAUUUUUGUUAAAUACAAAAACUACCAAUCUCUCUUCCGUAAAAAUAUUAAUAUAACACUUUUUUAAUUUUAGUUACAAACAUUUAUAUAUUUAACAUAAAUUAAAUGAUUUAGAAUAAAAUGCUUAUAAAGAGCCAAUACUUUACUCAUGUAAUGAAUGAAAGCCAUAAAGAAUUAAUACUUUAUGGGCCAUUUCUUUUUUUAAAAAAUAUUUAAUUUAUAUUAAAUAAAUAACCUACCGAUUUCCUUUUUGCACAAAUAUUAUUAUAACACUUUUUGAAUUUUACUUACAAACAUUGAUAUAUUUAUUAUAAAUUAAAUAUUUGAAAGUACAAUAUCCGUAAAGAGUCGAUACUUUAAAUGAGUAAGGCGUGUUUGCCCAUAAAGAGUCGGUAGCCAUUUAAAGUACCAGUUCUUUACGGGUAUUUUACUUUCAAAUAUUUAAUUUAAUACAAAUAUUUACGCUCAAAUACAGAUUUGUAUUUACUUUCAAAUAUUUAAUUUUUGUUAAAUACAAAACCUAUCAAUCUCUCUUCCGUAAAAAUAUUAAUAUAACACUUUUUCAAUUUUAGUUACAAACAUUUAUGUAUUUAAUAUAAAUUAAAUGAUUCAGAAUAAAAUACACAUAAAGAGCGAAUACUUUACUCAUGUAAUGGAUGAAAGCCAUAAAAAAUUAAUACUUUAUGGGCCAUUUUUUUAAAAAAAAUAUUUAAUUUAUAUUAAAUAAAUAACCUACCGAUUUCCUUUUUGCAAGAAUAUUACUGUAAUACUUUUUGAAUUUUACUUACAAAUAUUGAUAUAUUUAUCAUAAAUUAAAUGUUUGAAAGUAAAAUACUCGUAAAGAGCCGGUACUUUAAAUGAGUAAUGCGUGUUUGCCCAUAAAUUAUACUCUUUAAAAUUUAUUAAUUGUUAAUUGAUUUAUAGUACUUUUUCAUUCAUUGGACAUGUAGCACAAAGGGUAAAUCUGGUUCAAAAUUCUAAUUUCACUUUCUAAAAUAAUAUUUUAAUCGUUUGGACUAAAUUUGCAAAGGAUUAGUAACCUCAGGGGAGGUUAGUGUAAUUUUUCAAACCACAGGGGAGGUCAGUGCAAAUGUUAGAAACCUCAAGGGAAGUUUCUUCAAUUAUCCCUUAAAACUAUACAAGAAUCGGUAACAAUUCAUUAAAAAGUAUAUAAACCAAGAAUUUUUCAACAAUAAUAUAUCCAAUUAAUUCAAUGUACAUGGAAAAUAGAAAUAAAACAUGAUCAAUAGUUAAUAUAUCUUCAAAGGUCCUCAAUUUGCUCAUACUAAGAUUUGUCCUUCUGAAUCUUUUGACAUAAUUUUGUAUAUGUAAUAUUACGUGUGUAUAUAUAUAUAUUAAUAUAUUUUGACAAAUAACUCAUAAGUAUUAGUAUUAUAUAUUUAGAUAUAUAAUUAUAUAUAUCAAAAUAUGAAUAUUAUAUAUAUAUGCAUAUUAAAGGAUCGAGCCUAUAUCGGGUUUGACCCUAAUAAGGGCCAAACUCUGCUCACAUUUAAUUUGGAGCUAAUAUUUAGAUCCAAUUUCAAUCCAACUCAAUGAAGGUUAGACUCAUUAGACUUUUUCUCGGAGCCGAGUUCAAACUGACUCAACCCUAUUGAUAGUCCUAGAAGGAUUGCCUCAGAUUUUCAUGCUAUUCCGUUUCCCUCUCAAAAUGAGUAAGAAAGGGAUAAAACAAUAAUUACAUAUAUAAUACUAAGUUUGAGACCAAGUAUACCAAAGGGAAGAAGUAUAUGAGACAUUAGUGGCAUGAAUAAAUGAAGUAAAAAAUAAAAAAGUUUAAUUAGAAUUGCUAGUACCAAUUUAAGACAAUUGCGUUGUGAUUCGCGUCUAUUUUGUCCUAAUACCCUCAAUAUCACUAUGUGAAAACUUAAGCAACUAAAAUGAUUAAAAUUUCAAUCCAAAAGUACAAAGUCAAAAUUGUUAAAUAACAAUAAUUAAAUUUUGACUAUUAGUCAUUGUUGAGUUUUCGUCAUUGUAGAAUGUACCUACUACCAAAAACUUUGAGAACCAAAUUUAUUUUGAUCGGAACAUUAAAGACUAAUUUAGCGCUUAAUCUAAAAAUUGGAGACUAAAACUACAAUUCUCCCUUUUUCCAAAAGAAAAAUCUACACCUUUUUUUGGUUUUAUUUUUGUGCACACAUGUGAUUUUUUUCACCUUUGAUAUCACAUAAUGGUCCAAACCGACUGACAUCGGUUAAUAGAUUCAAUUGUUAAAAUGACUUUGUAAAUUGUGAGGUGGUAAUAUGUAGAAAAAUCCUGUUUGGUAGAAUUUGGGUAAAAGGAGAGUGCAUUUGAUAAAAUUGAAGUUUGAAAAUUGAAGUUUGAAGUCUGAAUUCCAUUAAAUUAAGUUGUUGAAUUGUUAAGUAUUAACCCCUAUUUGAUAACUCAAUUUAACACUUAAAGUUAAUGGAUUUAGAUAUUAACAUGUUCAAAUGCAUUUGAUAACCAAAAAAUUGUACAUCUGAAUUAAUUAAAUGACACUGAAUUUUCUAGGCAAAAAUGGCUUCAAAAAAUAAAAUGACACUAAAUUUUCCAGGUAAAACUUGCUCCAAAAAAUAGGUGAUAAGUUAUUCAUUUAUCAUUUAAUGUGAUAUACAUUCAAAUAUAUUACAUUUAGUACUUAACAAUUCAAUAAAUUAAUGGAUUCAGACUUUAAAUUUAAUAUUUUAUUUUGAUAUACACUCAAAUGUGUCACAUUUAGUACUUAGCAAUUUAAUAGCUUACCCGAUUCAGACUUCAAAUUUAAUAUUUCAAGUUUUGUGUAAAAAAUUCAAUGCUACUUAGUUAAUUUAGACAUUCUAUUUUUGGUUAUCAAAUGCAUCUGAAGAUGUUCAGAUCUGAAUCCAUUAAAUUUAAGCAUUGAAUUGGAUUAUCAAACAAGGCUUAAAUCAUUUAGUAUAAAUCACAUUUUAUCAGUAAAGUAAGUGGAAGAUCUAGGGUAAAAUACCUCAUUUGCCAUACAAAAGAGGGCGCGAAAUAUAAAUAUAAAUAUCCUUUGCCAUACAGAUUGCAAUCCAUUAACUCAAUAAUACUGGGAAUGAAACACCGAUAGACACAAAAAAGGGUGGCUGAAAAAUUUGUGACAGCAAAAACAGAAGAAAAAGCAAAAGAAUUGGAACUGAAAACCAAGGAGGAGCUGAAGCCCUGGGAGCAGCACUCUGUUGUGAUCACCAUUCCUCGUUUUGACUACAACGUCUCUUCUUCUCUCGUCAGUUAUUCCCACUCCGGAUUCCUCAUCACCUGCCCCAUCAGUAAGGCCUCUCAUCCCAUCUCUUCUGUCCAGAAAGUUAUGUUUUUUUUUUGUUAUUUUUGUACUUUAUUGGCAUUUAUUUAUGUAAUUUGCUUCUGGGUUUUUUGAAAAUUUUCAAUUUGAUUGUUUGGGAUAGUCCGGGCAGUGUGGUGAUUGAUAAAAAUGCUUCCUUUGUUAUGUAGAGAGGGAGAAGAGUGCAACAAAAGAAGCCAUGUCAAUUUUUGAAAAGGUAAUGAAUUCUGCUGGUUUUGUCUCUUGUCAAUUCUUUGGAAUAAUGUCACAAUAAGGAAAUUUUAGACAUAAAAGAAAAUUCAUGCUGACUUCAGAAUCAGGACAGUUAAAUUGGUUUAGUGAACUUGGUUUUAUGGGAUUCUUAAAUUCUGGGCAAGGUUGGGAACUUGGGGUUUUUGUAAGUGAAUAAGACUGUAGCGGGCUUGAAUUACCGGUGUAAUGUGUUCGCAGCUGUAAUUGUUUUGCUUUAAGAUGAAGAGUAGCAAUUUUAUGGAAUAGAUGUUUGAAUGAUUAAGCAUAAGUAAACAGCAAAUGGGAUGGCAACAAAUUGAUAAAACUGAUGAAGUUUGGAGAACUGGGUGAGCUAUGCAGAAGGUAGGCACAGGCAUGUUGUGUUGUUCAAAUGCAACAGGUGUUGAUGGGGGAAAAACAAACUAACUAAAGUUGUUUACUGUUUUAAACGUGAUAACUUUUUGGAAAUGAAGUGUAAUGCUAAUGGUCUUCAUUUGUAAGAAUAAUGGCAAAAUUAUGCACGCAACACUAUUUCCAUAUGUUGAACUUAGUCUAGGAAAAACAUUGAUGAUUUUUGGGUUCUAAACUUGAUUAAGAUUUCAGUUUGCAGACAAACAGAAGGAUAAGAUGUCAAUUAUCCUGCCGAUAGGUUAUUAACAUCUGAGUCUAGUAGCUGGCUUCAAAUUUUUUUUCCUAUGAUCUUCAACUUCAUCCAUUUAUUUGUAGCCUGUGCAUUUUUGGGUCACAGAUUAGUAUGGUUUAGUCCUUGUUUACAAGUCUUAUUCAACAUGUUUUGCUUACACACUGUCAUUUGUCACUUGGUUCAAUCAAGUGACUGCUUAAGUCUGCUGUGCCUUCUUGAGUAAAUGACAUGAUCCGACAUCCAAAAUGCAGCACUGGUUAAUCACUCACAGCUUUCCAGUAUAUAUAUAUAUAUAUAUGACUUACCAAUUUCCUUGAAUUUGAAGAGGCUUAUGGAUACAUAGUAACCUUAGCUUAAGCUUGAGCACAUAACUGAUACAGGUUAAGCACUAAUUCACCUUACUAAUAUGGAACCUUUGCAUUGUUUUCUUUGAAAAUAAAUCAUAAACAAUAGAUAGAAGAUAUGCAAUAUUUUCUGCCGUAAGAAAAAUUUUUUAAAUAUAAAAGCAAUUUAAUAAGUGUAUCGUUAUAUUUCUCUAAAGAAUGAGAUGGUCUUAAGUGAUCGUAUUUCUGGAAGAAGAAGACCAUUAGUCCAAUUUUGUUCGGCAUUUGAGACAUCAGAUAUUAUAUGCAUGAAAUAUAUAGCUGAUUGCCAAUCACCUAUUUUGAGUUCUCAAGAAAUAGAUAUAUAAGCUUCAGUUUGCUUUUAAUAUCAAAAAGGCAUUCUCCAUUGCAGCAGCUUUAGAUAAUUGUCUUUCAUUCAUACCUAAGGGACUUGUAUAGGCAUGAGAUGUUGCACUCUUCUAGGGCCCAAAUAAUAAGUGGACAAUUUAGAGUUAGCUUAAAAUCUUGUGGCAGACAACUUGUUUGGAAUUGUUUUUUGAUAUAUUUACACCAGAGGCCAAGCGUUGCUGAAGCUUAUCACUAUGUGAAAGAAAUGAAUGAGUUUCAGUUAUAUUUGAAGUCCUCUCCAAAGCCUGUAUCGUUUUUAUUUCUUGGACCUCUCUCGUUGCAAAGGGAAGACAAAUGAUAAACCAACUUGGAGAAUGGGGAGGUGUGCAUCUAGUGCUUGCAAGAUUCUAUUCCUUUGACUUCACGGAGUUUUUAUAAAAGCUGUGUGUGCUGAAUGUUUUCUUAGGGCUUCAAACUGAUGUUGAUAUAUUGAUACAUUAUGCGUUCCAUUCGUUUUUUAUGAAUGCCAUCAAUAUUCACGACUGAUGCAACCAAUGAAGAGUUUAAGGGAAGAGUAAAUUUUAAUAUUCUUGGGAACUUGGCUGAAGAUCCAAUUUACCCACUUUGAAGAAUGGGUUAUCUUUUUAGGAUCUAGAUUAUUUAUUAAAAAUUUAAAUUCUACAUAUUUCAGUAGACUUAAAAUUUAUGGUCCUUUAGUAGCUUAUGGGUAUUGGGUAAACUGACAGUGGAGGACACUUCGGCCAUUGUUUGAGACCAUAGGCUUAUUCGUUGACUUUGUUGGAAGGGCUUUUAAUUGGAAUGUUGGGAUUCAUCACCUCAAUUUCCUGUCAUAAGAUAUUCUGGUCCCCAGGGCUGAGCUGAAGCCCAGUACAUAUUGCAUGUACUAUUGUACACACACCCCACAGACCCAGGUUUGUUAGGCCAUCCAUGAAGGAGUUAUUUAAGUUAUUCACUGGUGAAUUUUUUAUGCAUCUUUGUCUUGGAAGUGAUGUCCUAAACCUUUGUGUCAUAUGUGGCUUUCUUCCUGACAUUUUACUCUCAUCUUCCAUUGCAUGUGGUAGUUUCUUUUCCCGUCCUUGAAUAUACACCAAUGUGAAAGUAAGAGUUCAACCUGUCCUCCCCACUGUCAAAUAACAUUCAGUGUUAAAAGCUUGUGUUCAAAUUUUGUGUGAAUGAGUUUGCUGCUAUUAGUUAAAAGAGUUCAGGACGUUUUUACUGAGUCAGAAGCUAUUUUAGUGUACUUCUAAUGGAUUUCAAAAGCUGGGGAAGUGCUUUGUUAUCUGGGCAUGGGUUUUAAGCUUGAAGCAUGCUCUAUGUUGUUGGAAUAUUGAGUUGCUGAAUUUGUGCACUAAAUAGGGCUCUAGGAUACAAUCAGUGCAGAAAAUUAGAACAGAAGUAGGGAAGAAGAAAUUUAGAAACCGUUGCGUCCAUGGGGAUACUAUUUUGUACCAGUUCUCCUUUUCAAACUGCCAACAUAGAGAUCUGAUCACUCCUACAGUGGACAACCUUGCAUUUUCUCCAAAUCUCAUGUUAUUUUCAUAUGCAUCAAUAACUAUCUGUAUUCUUCUACUUCCAUCAGUUGCAGCUAUAGAAGACUUUUAUAUCCUGAUUGCUGAUUGAAACCUGAAGAAUUCCAUGAGAACAGAAAUAUCUGCUACCAAAUCGAACUAUUGACUUUUAAAGAUGAGAAUCCCUCUGAAUCCUCCUAUGGAGAUAAUAGAAUUAUGUGUCAAAUAUAGAUAAUCUUUUCUUACUGGCUAUUCUAUGUAAACUGUUUCCUCUUGGAAAAUAGUGGAGAAAUGAAGUGAGUCUGGCUAGCUGGUGGUGAUCUAUUGUCAUUCUUUACUUUUUCUUUUCAUUAAUUUUUUUUCAAAACUUGAUUGACUUUUAGCACUUCUGAUCUUAGAACAAUGCUUCUUUCUACAACUUUUUUGCUAACCCGGUUCUAUCUUGAUAGCUGUAUUAAUUUAUGAAAUCUUGGUUAAAAGAGUGACAAUUAGCACAAGGAUAAUCAGAAAUUUAUGGUACAACAGAUGGUCCGGGGGCAGAAUACUCGAGUUUGGGAGCAAUUCUGACAUAAUUGUUUGAUAUGAUUAUUAGUAGAGAAAUUGCAGUUUAAUGAAAUGUAAUUCUUGAAGAUAAUAGCCUAUGGCUUUUAUAUACUUAUGCUACUGAACUUGUGCAGAAUCAGCAUGCAUGAUAUUUCUUCACCAUCUUUUCUUUUUUCUUUUUCUUUUUUUUAUAGAUGAUCUGAUUGAUUCAUCCAAUUUCAUAUAUCUGAACUAUCUCAAUGGGAAACCUGCUUGCAUCUAAAAGGUGUAAAGUGUAGAAAUCAGCUUGAUGUCUUGUUACCUGUAAUUGCAGUACAUUUUCUUACAUACCUUGUUGUGUAUGCAAAACUAAAUAAGUCAAUUCAAGUUGCGUUUAUGUUCUGUGAGAUGUUGACCAGUUGUACGAUUAAAUAUGCUUUGCAGUAUGUCAGGUCUUUGAGUAUUCCAAAUGCUGAAGGUUCUGAAAGUUUGGAUGAGAAUAUGUCAGCUAAGAAGAGGAGAAUAUCUGUAAGUACAGAGGAGGAACUUGGCAACAGUUUGGAGAGGAAAGAUGCGGCCGAGGACUUUGGAGAACCUGGUAAUAGUUUAAGUCUGGUAUUUUAGUUUAUACACAUGCUCGUACAGAUAAAUUAACAUGUAUGACGACCUGCAAAUCUACAAAAAAAUUAAGAGGGUGGGGAUUUGUCUGUAAGAACAGGUAAUACGACUUGUAGGCAUGAAAAAAUAAGAACAAGUUUAUUAAAACAACUAGAGCCAGAAUCUAAUGGAAGAUUCUGAAGUUUUUUUGUCAGUGGCUGUUUGGCUUCUUUACCUUUUGGUUCUGAGCCUGAGACUCCACAACUAGAGCAAAUUUUGCACCAGGGCAUGUCCAUGUCCUGCUUGGCAUGGUUAUAUUUUUUAUGGCUAGAUUGAGUGCUGUGACCGGCUUGAUUGAGAAAUUCAUCUUCACGGGCUUAAGAAGAGGGCAACAAGCAUUGAUGGUCAACUUCACUGGCCUGCUCAUCCUCCUCUUUGGAGUAUCUGUUGGCUUCACUGUUCUUCUUCCAAGAAGUUAUUAAAGAAGUAGUCAUUGGAAAAUCUUGUAAUGUUUGGUUAUAUUUAUAUAUAGUUUGGCCCAAUAUUGCAGCUAGACUAAACAUUUUGUUAGAGUAAUGAUUCCCAUGUUUGUUACAAGUGUUCUGAGUAUUUGAAUAGUAUAUUUGGUCAAAUAGUUCUUUUAAAACCUGCAUUUUAUGCAUGAGAUUUGUGACAUUGGCAUAUGAACUUUAUUGGGACUAUUGGAGCAGGAAAAUGGCCAUAAGUGCAGGUUUGAAAAUAAGCUACUAGCUAGUAGAUCAAGUUGAUGGUUUGAACAACAAAAUCUUGCCCCCUUCAAUCUGCAAUUUGGCUAUGUCAAAUCAGUAAAACUGUCAAGUUAAUUCUGAAAAUUUCUUAAAGCUCUAUAAAAAUGCUGGUAUACAAUAAUCAGUUUGUGUACUGGUCAGUGAAAACUCAGGUCUCAAAAGAGCUCAAUCAGAUGAACAGAACUAUGCCUGUGUAUCUCAAUACAUGACAAAAAUUUAUUAUGUGUUUCAUAGAGUUAAUUGAAAAGUAUGAGUAUUUUUCUAGGUAUUUUUGAAAUCUAGGAAAUAUGGAGUUUUUUGUAUGAUACGUGAGAACGAGUCUUAUAUAAGUACAUUACAAAUGCCUGCUAACUAGGACUAAGAGAAAACAAAAUGAACAAACUAAUAUCUUCAAAUCAUUUGCCCGUAUUACAUCCCUUCUUUCUUCAAGUAUACUCUACCAGAAAAAAAUCAAUUCAGAUUAAUAUCCUACCCCUAUUUUUUUCCACUAAUUGCCCAAAUAAAUUAGUGUGGAUAUAACAAAAUGGUUGAUUAUUGUAGAAUAUAAUAAGAUGUUUCCACCACUUGUAAAACCUACCAAAGAUAUCCAUAUUCUAAAUUUCAAAUUUUUGCCUACUAAGCAUUUCAUCAUACUAAAAGAAAAAAUCACUAGGCAUUUCAUCAUACGGAGGGUGCUAUAUUUGUUCAUAUUACUCGACAAUCAAGAUUAACAUGAUAGUUUUUUCUAGUCAAUUAGAUCUUUGUAGAAAUUGCUAUGUAUUAAAAGUAGGGGAAAAAAUGAGGUAAAGAACUAGUUUUGUACCAUGGAAGUUCGCGUGCAUUAAACAUAUAAUUCAAAAAUGUGUUUACUCAGAAAUAUAAAAUUACCUUUGGUCAUGGACAGCCGAUUGAAGUUUGGGAUCAUUUGCCACCAUUAACCUCAUUUGUGCAUUAGCUCAAUAGAUAUAUUGUAGAGUGAACCCAAAGGCAACUCUUCCAUCAGUUUUACUUUACAUGGCCUGUGGUAUCUGAAUCGCAUGAAAUGAAAAACAUGUUCCAAACUGUGUUCAUCGCAACCCUGUCAAGUUUCUGUGUUGUGAUAAUGACAAAGAAUUGCUUAGAGUUAUUUACUUCAAAAAUCGAGGGAGGAUUCAAAUUCGAUUUUGGAAAACAUCGAUCCCAGCAUUAAUGGCGUGUUUUCAAUCACAUUGCUUGGCCCUUUGGGGUAAAAUCAGAUGAAGAUCUUACAUCAUGAUGAAAUGGAGUUUAUACAUUUCAAGUCCAAGAACACAAGCACCAUAACAAGUAUAGUUGGCCGUUGUUGCAGAAGUACUACAACAAGUACAGCUAAAACAAACGACCAAAGGAAACAACAAUUUGCAACCAAAAACAAAACAUAUCAAACACAGGAAGAACGAAGAGAAAUGCCAAAGGUGAUGAAGGCAAAAACUCAAAAGACCACGUAAAUGCCAAAACAUGAAAAGGAAUGAUCAUAAUUUCCAAGAGGAUUGAAAAAGUAGAAGCCAUGAGAACUCCUUACUUUUGCGAAAUCCCUUAUUUUGCCAUGACAACCUUCAAGUCUGGACUUUGGACUUCAAAAGGUGUUAUACAUCCAAACUAAUUUCACUAACUGCUUCAUACACUUCAAAAUUAACUUAAUGAAGACUGCCUUCUCUGUUUUACUUAACCAGAGCAAGUUUGAUGGAGCCAACUAUAAAAAACUAUUUCGAGGAAUUGAAGGUGAUUGUAGCUAUUUCAUGAUAUGAUUUGAUACAAAUGUAGUAAGCAGUAGAAAGGAAAAAGUAAACGAGAACUCAAUGAAAUAAAGGGAAAAGCUAGUAAGCAACCUGAGACUUAUACAAGAGAUGAGUUGACUGAAUAUCAAUUAAUGUUGAAAGCUGCAAAGAGUUGUCUCUUAGCUUCUCUUCUCUUAGAGGAACAUGCCUUCCCAAUGACCAUCAAUCCAGUGACCAGUGAAAACUUGAGGGAUAUGAGAAAUUGUCUGAUAAUCUUCACUUUGUUGAUCUAAAUUUUGUACUUUCUGCAUUAGCUCAUCAGACAUAUCAAAGAACCCAAGAAAUUGAAGUCCGGUCAAGUUUUGGAUGCCUGAAGGCAACUCCUGCAUCAGUUUACAACCCAUUAAUUGCAGAUUUCUGAGAGUAGCCAUUGAUUCCUCUUCCACUCUCACCCAUUUCAGUCUUGUUAAUUGCACAAGCUCUAAGUGCUGGAGUUUUUGAAAUCCUCCAACCUCGAAACACAGUGUCUCCCCUUCAUAAGCACGAUAGAGAGUAAGUGAUACCAGAUUGGGCAAAUGUCCGAGGGAGCCUGUUACAUUCUCAUCUUCUCUCAACCUACUAUUGUCCAACUGUAAGAUUCUCAAGGAUUGAAGUGAUGUCACCCAUUGCGGUACUCUCUCUAAACGCCCCUUCAACAACAGAGAUGUGAGGAAUCCAAGUUUUGGAGAGACGGAAUGUUGGAGAUCAAGGAUCUCAUCUUCUUUAAUACAGGAGAUGACCAAUUCUCGAAGGUUGGUCAGCCUCAAGAGGCAGGACAGCAACUCUUUUCCAUCUUCUCUUCUCAGCUUUGUGAUGGCUAAUCGUCGCAAUUGCGUUAGCUUUCCAAUCUCCCUUACUAUUUUAUCACUGUCUGCUUCUAUACCAAACAAAUCCUCCAAACAAACAAGCUUUCCAAUUCCAUCUGGAGAUUUGCAGCCCCAAACUGCAUACUCAUUUGAAUAAUCACCCACUCCACCUAAGCAAAGACAACGGAGUUUUCUUAGAUUUAGAAUAUCCGCAGGCAACUCUGUUACAUUCGUUCCUAUCAGAUCUAUAGCUUCAAGGUUUUGAAGCUUCCCAAUAGAUUUUGGAAUAAUUUUAACUCCAGUUCCACUGAGAUUAAGAUACCUGAGAUGAAAUAGUUUGAAGACUUGCUUUGGGAUGUUGUCCAAUUCAGCUCCAUGCAAAUCCAACACCUUUAGCAACUUGGGAUCACCACUUAAGAACUCGGAUAAAAAUGUAGUUGUGAAAGGAUCUUCAUACCCAAAUAUUGCCACAGACCGAAGACACUUUAAGCGACUAAAUUCUUGUGGAUUAUCAGUGAAGUUGUGGAUUGCUAGGUGUCGAACUUUUGUAGGCCAUCUUGUGUAAUAUCUGGUGGCCACAGUCGUGAAGUCCUGCUCUUUGGAUUUUGAAACAAUGAUUUCACGCAGAAAAUCAUGGAGACCACAUGUUUCCAAUCUGCCAUCGGCAAAUGAGGAUUUAACUUGGAUUAAGCUUCUGUUGAUGAGUUCUUUCAUAUAUCUCAUAGCAAUAUCAGUGGAUGUUAUUCUUUCUUUCUCUUCUACAAAUCCUAGUGCAAUCCAUUUCAGAAGUAUAUCAUCCACAUCAAUUGGAUAAUCUUCAGGGUAGAUGCUUAGAUAUAAUAGGCAGCUUUUAAGAUAGUAAGGCAAAUCAUUGUAGCUAAGUAAGAGUACCCUUUUGAUCCUGUCAAGCUUACCACUGCCAUCUGCCUCGCCGCCAAAACCAUGAAGAAUCAUCUCCCAUUCAUCUGUCUUUUCCAUGUCCUUCAGAGCCAAAACAACACCUAUUGCAACAAUUGCAAGCGGUAGGCCCUCACAUUUUUUCAAUAUUUUUUUAGCAACUUCUUCUAGAUUUGGAGGACAGUCAUUGCUCUGAAAUGUUCUAUUGCAAAACAGAGUCCAAGACUCUUUAUCAGAAAGAGGCUCCAUCUUAUAGACGAAGUCAAGUGAUCCUAAACAGGACGCAGAAGCUACAUCAGCUAUUCGUGUUGUCAACACAACACGACUAGUGAUAUUGCAGUCAGGCAAUACACAUUUGACAGCUUCCCAGGCAUCUAUACUCCACACAUCAUCAAGGACAAGAAUGUACCUUCUUUCUUGGAGGAAGUCUCUGACAAAUUCACUCAGCGUAAGAACAUCCAUGGAUUCCACUUGGGGAGGGACCGGCUGUCUGAUUUCGUUGUACAAUUGUUGGAUCAGGUUCUUGAUGAUGACGCUGAACUGAAAAUUUCGAGAAACAGUUAUCCAGGCAUGGCUCUGAAAUUGUUUCUUCACUGCAGCAUCAUCAUAGACUUUUUUCACCAGGGUAGUCUUCCCGAGUCCCCCCAUUCCCACAACCGAAACUACUUUCAAUUAGGAAUGGUCAUCAAGGAUUUUUUAGAUGAGCUCUGCUUUUGGCUUAUCAAUCCCAACAAGUUGAGCUUCUUCAAUGAAGAGUGAUUGAGCACGAAUGUCAAAAUCUGCAUUCACCUGACGGGAAGAGCUGAAGCCGCUUUCUUGAGUACCAUAUAGGGACUGGUACCUCUGAUGCCUUGCUGAAAUCUCUCCAACUCUGGCCUUGAUGUCUUUUAUCUCCAAAGAAAUUUGAUGGCGAGCUUUCAGAUUCUUCAUUGAGUUAUAGAUCUUUCCAACCUUGCCACAGAAUCCAUCCAUGUAACCACGAGCAAAGCGGAAGGUAAAAUCAUCGAGACCAUCCUCUGUAUCAUAAGCAACUUCUCGAACCUGCUUUAGCCAUUCUUGGAGUUGAGAAUCAUUAUUGUCUUCCUUUGCUUCAGCUUCUCUGAGGAAAGACUUCAUGCUCCCGAGUUCAUCUUUGAUGAAUUGAACAUCUGAUUUAAGCCCCCCCAAAAGUGUGAUCUCUUGGGAAAGCAAGGUUGAGAGCUGGUUAAUCAAUAAACCUACGACACUCUCUGCCAUAAUGCUCAGUCAAAUUUCUCAAGAAUCAGUUUUCUUAUCAAAAAAAUUAUGAGAGUUGUUCCAAAUUUCAGAAACUAUGCUGUUUUUCUUUUUCUUUCUUUCUUUUGUAGUAUAGAGGAUGCGGUUUAUAUGAGCUAGCAAAUUCUAGAAUUAUAUGAAUUUGAAAGAAUAGCUGUUCAAGAAUGAUAUUAAUUUGGGAACGUAUGCUUUUUUUCCCUUUGUGGUAUAAACAAGGAGUCUUAUUUGGCAUUUUGGUAGUACAAAUCAAAAGUCAUUGUAGUCAAAAAGUGGGAUGUAAGUCUACUCAAAAGAAAAAGUAUACAGAGCAUAACCUAAAAAAAUAGGUAAAGAAUAACUAUUCUCUUGGGCUAAGAAAGGCAUAGAGAAAAUUUUGGAUUUCUUUUGAUUGUUUAAAUUGGAAAGGAAGGCAUUUGUCAUGUGGAAUCUAACAAUCUUCAGAUAAUGUUCAGCUCCCUUCUAAUGUUUUCUUCAUUUGCUCCAAAAAGAAAUGGCUAGCUAUGAUUCUAAGUAAAACUAAUGGAUAGGAAAAAAAAUAUAUGUUGUCCCUAAGAUCCAACUUACUUUGGUAUGGAUGAUAAUCAUGUAAAGGUAAAGGCCUUGAUUUGUCUCUUAUGCCCGAAGAUCGUUCUUGAAAUUGACACUUUGGUAAAACUUGCAAAGUAACAUAAAUUCAUUAUAACGAAACAAAGAAAGAUUUGCCUACCUGCAACGAAAGCAUAUUGAGCAUAACCUAAGAAAUGGGCCAAGUUUAUUAGAAUACACAUAUUCUCAUGCUAAGAAAGGCAAUGACAAAAUUUUGAUUAGUUAACUUGGAAAGCAAGGUAUUUGUCAUAGUCAAUCUAACAAUAUUCUUGAGAAAUGUUCAACUCCGCUUCUAAGUUGUUUUUGAAUGGCUUCCAAACGUGUAGCUAAUAUGCUAAAUAAAACCGGCUGAAAAGAAAAGGUUGACAUGAAAAGACGAUCGACAAAUUAUGAGGAUUUUAGCAUGAUAAUAACCACAUCAUAUUUCAUUUCAAAUGCCAAUGGAGAUUGGAAACUGAAAUAUUUGGAGUGUAUUUAGUAAAACAUCUAUAGGCAGUUGCAGAAAAACUUGUAUACAAGAACGUGCUUUUUUGCAGAAAGUCCCCCCCCCCUCCUUCUCUCUAUUUCAUAUAUAAUCACAUAACCAUAUAAAUCUAUAUAGUUUUAUAUAAAAUGGAAAUUGAGAAGAAAAUAACUCCAAUCAUAACAAAUGACCUAAAUGCGCUCCAGGAACGCGUGUCAUGGGUUAGUUAUGCCUGUCAAUGGAUUAAACCAAUUUAAUUUUGCCCGUCAAUUAUUGAAAUGUUUCCUCAAUUGUUCUAUAUUUGCCUAAAAUCACAAAUUUUAUGGAGAAGAUUUUUUUUUUUGUCAAAAUAUUAAGGAUCGUUUUGGUGAGCAAGCUAAACAUUAGGAAUCAAAACUGCGUUUCUUCCUUAUUUCACUAUCUCUUCUUUGAUUUUCUCAAAAGAAUCAACCUUUUGAAUUGAUUUUUUAAACAAUGGUAAACAUACCUCUUGAACUUAUUUUUUCUUUGUUUACAUGCGAAGAAAGAACUUCAUUUAAAAAAUGGAAAGAAGAGAAUAUGUUUGAAUAACUUCCAUUCAUGUCAGGCUUAAAUUCUUUUCAUCAAUUUUUUGAACUACCAAUCUCAAUUACAAAGAAAAUGUUUCUUCAUUAAACCCUACUAAAACUUGCGUACCUAUAGCCUCAAAAGUAAUCGAACUAAAUCUUUUUAGCAGAAUCAUGACUUAUGAUGCACAGAAAGAAACCCAAUAAUCAAGAACGCAUGAACACAUUGUAAAUCCCAACUAAUCAAAAUCUAGUAGAGUUUUAACUACAGGUUCAAUACUUACAAUGCAAACAAUAAGACGAACCUAAAAACAACCCUUCAUAUUGUGUAACAAAGUGGUGCCUAUUGGAGUUCUCUUAAUAGCAACAAAUGAGAGAAGGAAAGUUGAAACCAUUCUUUUCCAAAUUUUGGAGUUUUCAAAAGGCAAAUAAUAUUACCAUUCGUGAAAAAAAAGGCCUCACACACUCUUUCUCUUCUUUUUAUUGUGUAAAAAGGCAAUGUAGCCCAUUUAUCAUUGUGCCUAUUUGUUAACUACUGUAAUUGUCCUAAGGCUUCACAGUUGCUAUAAAAGAGUUCCUUUGCCUCUUUCUUCACGACCAAAACCGUUCUUUCCCUACCAUUGUACAUUUUCUAGCAAUGGCAAAAGAUUAAAAUUGCAAGGGCCUACUAGAUCACAUGAAACUGGAGGAAAUCAAUGAUAUUUGAAAACCACAAGUCUGGAAGAAUUCUUGAAUUUUGUCAAUUGCUUUUAUCUUCCAUAGGUAAUAUUUUUAAAGAUUGCUCUUUUUCAUUAUUUUGUUUGUUUUAUUAGAAACAUGAUGUUACAAGUUUGAACAUAACAAUUCAAUAUUUUGAUUAGAGAUUUUUUUUUGGAUAGUUUAAGUUAUCAAAAAUAAUAUAUUUGCAGAAAAGAGGUCAAUUUGCAAUAGUAUGCCAAUAUACUGGCUUUUUUUGGAUUGCCAUUCUCUGGACAAAAUUUUCAUGUUUUUUGGGAAUAUUUCCUUGAUACAUUUUUCAAUGAACUUUUUAUUUUAUAUAUAUCAUAUCUAAAAAAGUAUUACAAUAUACCCUUCCAAAAAAUGCAAUCCAAACAAUAUACUUCCAUGAUCAAUCAUAGUAGUAUUGCGAUUAGAACCUUUUUCUUUACAAUUAGAAUAAAAAACUAAAAAAGAAAAAUAGAACCUAGACAACAAAAUCGAUUAUGUGACUUGACUUUCAAGAUUACUUGAAAUAAUUCUAAUCUAGGUGAAGAUAACUUGUAGUAUUUUGGGUAAUUUUUUUCAGAGGUCAAAAGGCUGUUUGGGUACAAAGGAAUAUGAGUACUAAGCUAUAGGUUUAAAUUUAAUUUCAUUUAAAUCAAAAGAAGGGAAGGAUUUAGGCCUGUCAAUUGGGCUAUUUGAAUCGAGGUUUAACAAACUCAAGUUCACUUUUAUAGUUAGUAGUUAGUACCACUUUUGGAUUUCGAAUUAUGAGUUUUGGAUUGAUAAAUAUGAAACUCGUACUUGACUCACAAAAUAUUGAGAUUGUGAGUUUAAUUCGGACUUAACUCAAACUCACUUAUAACUCCUUAAUUUCCAUAAUGUAAUUACUAUAAUUAUUAAGUUUUAAACUAAUUUAAUAUCCAUAGGACCACAACAUUAAAACUAUACAAGAAUCGGUAACAACUCAUUAAAAAGUAUAUAAACCAAGAAUUUUGCAACAAUAAUAUAUCCAAUUAAUUCAAUGUACAUGGAAAAUAGAAAUAAAACAUGAUCAAUAGUUAAUAUAUCUUCAAAGGUCCUCAAUUUGCUCAUACUAAGAUUUAUCCUUCUAAAUCUUUUGACAUAAUUUUGUAUAUGUAAUAGUCGUGUAUAUAUAUAUAUAUAUAUAUAUAUAUAUUAAUAUAUUUUGACAAAUAACUCAUAAGUAUUAGUAUUAUAUAAUUAGAUAUAUAAUUAUAUAUAUCAAAAUAUGAAUAUUAUAUACAUAUAUAUAUAUAUGCAUAUUAAAGGGUCGAGCCUAUAUGGAGUUUGACCCUAAUAAGGCCCAAACUCUGCUCACAUUUAAUUUGAAACUAAUAUUUAGAUCCAAUUUCAAUCCAACUCAAUGACAGUAAGACUCAUUAGACUUUUUCUCGGAGCCGAGUUCAAACUGACUCAACUCCAUUGAUAGUCCUAGAAGGAUUGCCCCAUUGAUAGUCCUAGAAGGAUUGACUCAGCCCCAUUAGUGGCAUGAAUAAAUGAAGUAAAAAAUAAAAAAGUUUGAUUAGAAUUGCUAGUACCAAUUUAAGACAAUUGCGUUGUGAUUCGCGUCUUAUUUUGUCCUAAUACCCUCAAUAUCACUAUGUGAAAACUUAAGCAACUAAAAUGAUUAAAAUUUCAAUCCAAAAGUACAAAGUCAAAAUUGUUAAAUAACAAUAAUUAAAUUUUGACUAUUAGUCAUUGUUGAGUUUUCGUCAUUGUAGAAUGUACCUACUACCAAAAACUUUGAGAACCAAAUUUAUUUUGAUCAGAACAUUAAAGACUAAUUUAGCACUUAAUCUAAAAAUUGGAGACUAAAACUACAAUUCUCCCUUUUUCCAAAAGAAAAAUCUACACCUUUUUUUGGUUUUAUUUUUGUGCACACAUGUGAUUUUUUUCACCUUUGAUACCACAUAAUGGUCCAAACCGACUGACAUCGGUUAAUAGAUUCAAUUGUCAAAAUGACUUUGUAAAUUGUGAGGCUGGUAAUAUGUAGAAAAAUUUUGUUUGUUAGAAUUUGGGUAAAAGGAUAGUGCAUUUGGUAAAAUUAAAGUUUGAAAAUUGAAGUUUGAAGUCUGAAUUCCAUUAAAUUAAGUUGUUGAAUUGUUAAGUAUUAACUCCUAUUUAAUAACUCAAUUUAACACUUAAAGUUAAUGGAUUUAGAUAUAAACAUGUUCAAACGCAUUUGAUAACCAAAAAAUUGUACAUCUGAAUUAAUUAAAUGACACUGAAUUUUCUAGGCAAAAUUGGGUUCGAAAAAUAAAAUGACACUAAAUUUCCAGGUAAAACUUGCUCCAAAAAAUAGGUGAUAAGUUAUUCAUUUAUCACUUAAUGUGAUAUACAUUCAAAUGUAUUACAUUUAGUACUUAACAAUUCAAUAAAUUAAUAGAUUCAGACUUUAAAUUUAAUAUUUCAUUUUGAUAUACACUCAAAUGUGUCACAUUUAGUACUUCGCAAUUUAAUAGCUUAUCUGAUUCAGACUUCAAAUUUAAUAUUUCAAGUUUUGCGAAAAAAAUUCAAUGCCACUUAGUUAAUUUAGACAUUCUAUUUUUGGUUAUCAAAUACAUCUGAAGAUGUUCAGAUCUGAAUCCAUUAAGUUUAAGUGUUAAAUUGGAUUAUCAAACAAGGCCUAAAUCAUUUAGUAUAAAUCACAUUUUAUCAGUAAAGUAAGUGGAAGAACUAGGGUAUAAAUCCUCAUUUGCCAUACAAAAGAGGGGGCGAAAUAUAAAUAUAAAUAUCCUUUGCCAUACAGAUUGCAAUUCAUUAACUCAAUAAUACUGGGAAUGAAACACCGAUAGACUCAAAAGAGUGGCUGAAAAAUUUGUGACAGCAAAAACAGAAGAAAAAGCAAAAGAAUUGGAACUGAAAACCAAGGAGUAGCUGAAGCCCUGGGAGCAGCACUCUGUUGUGAUCAACAUUCCUCGUUUUGACUACAACGCCUCUUCUUCUCUCCUGAGUCAUUCCCACUCCGGAUUCCUCAUCACCUGCCCCAUCAGUAAGGCCUCUCAUCCCAUCUCUUCUGUCCAGAAAGUUAUGUUUUUUUUGUUAUUUUUGUACUUUAUUGGCAUUUAUUUAUGUAAUUUGCUUCUGGGUUUUUGAAAAUUUUCAAUUUGAUUGUUUGGGAUAGUCCGGGCAGUGUGGUGAUUGAUAAAAAUGCUUCCUUUGUUAUGUAGAGAGGGAGAAAAGUGCAACAAAAGAAGCCAUGUCAAUUUUUGAAAAAGGUAAUGAAUUCUGCUGGUUUUGUCUCUUGUCAGUUCUUUGGAAUAAUGUCACAAUAAGGAAAUUUUAGACAUAAAGAAAAUUCAUGCUGACUUCAGAAUCAGGACAGUUAAAUUGGUUUAGUGAACUUGGUUUUAUGGGAUUCUUAGAUUCUGGGCAAGGUUGGGAACUUGGGGUUUUUGUAAGUGAAUAAGACUGUAGCGGGCUUGAAUUACCUGUGUAAUGUGUUUGCAGCUGUAAUUGUUUUGGUUUAAGAUGAAGAGUAGCAAUUUUAUGGAAUAGAUGUUUGAAUGAUUAAGCAUAAGUAAACAGCAAAUGGGAUGGCAACAAAUUGAUAAACUGAUGAAGUUUGGAGAACUGGGUGAGCUAUGCAGAAGGUAGGCACAGGCAUGUUGUGUUGUUCAAAUGCAAUAGGUGUUGAUGGGGGAAAAACAAACAAACUAAAGUUGUUUACCGUUUUAAACGUGAUAACUUUUUGGAAAUGAAGUGUAAUCCUAAUGGUCUUCAUUUGUGAGAAUAAUGGCAAAAUUAUGCACGCAACAUUAUUUCCAUCUGUUGAACUUAGUCUAGGAAAAACAUUGAUGAUUUUUGGGUUCUAAACUUGAUUAAGAUUUCAGUUUGCAGACAAACAGAAGGAUAAGAUGUCAAUUAUCCUGCCGAUAGGUUUUUAACAUCUGAGUCUAGUAGCUGGCUUCAAAUUUUUUUUCAUAUGCUCUUCCACUUCAUCCAUUUAUUUGUAGCCUGUGCAUUUUUGGGUCACAGAUUAGUAUGGUUUAGUCCUUGUUUACAAGUCUUAUUCAAUAUGUUUUGCUUACACACUGUCAUUUGUCACUUGGUUCAAUCAAGUGACUGCUUAAGUCUGCUGUGCCUUCUUGAGUAAAUGACAUGAUCCGACAUCCAAAAUGCAGCACUGGUUAAUCACUCACAGCUUUCCAGAAUAUAUAUAUAUAUAUAUAUAUGACUUACCAAUUUCCUUGAAUUUGAAGAGGCUUAUGGAUACAUAGUAACCUUAGCUUAAGCUUGAGUACAUAACUGAUACAGGUUAAGCACAAAUUCACCUUACUAAUAUGGAACCUUUGCAUUGUUUUCUUUGAAAAUAAAUCAUAAACAAUAGAUAGAAGAUAUGCAAUAUUUUCUGCCGUAAGAAAAUUUUUUUAAAUAUAAAAGCAAUUUAAUAAGUGUAUCGUUAUAUUUCUCUAAAGAAUGACAUGGUCUUAAGUGAUCAUAUUUCUGGAAGGAGAAGACCAUUAGUCCAAUUUUGUUCGGCAUUUGAGACAUCAGAUAUUAUAUGCAUGAAAUAUAUAGCUGAUUGCCAAUCACCUAUUUUGAGUUCUCAAGAAAUAGAUAUAUAAGCUUCAGUUUGCUUUUAAUAUCAAAAAGGCAUUCUCCAUUGCAGCAGCUUUAGAUAAUUGUCUUUCAUUCAUACCUAAAGGGACUUGUAUAGGCAUGAGAUGUUGCACUCUUCUAGGGCCCAAAUAAUAAGUGGACAAUUUAGAGUUAGUUUAAAAUCUUGUGGCAGACAACUUGUUUGGAAUUGUUUUUGGAUAUAUUUACACCAGAGGCCAAGCGUUGCUGAGGCUUAUCACUAUGUGAAAGAAAUGAAUGAGUUUCAGUUAUAUUUGAAGUCCUCUCCAAAGCCUGUAUCGUUUUUAUUUCUUGGACCUCUCUCGUUGCAAAGGGAAGACAAAUGAUAAACCAACUUGGAGAAUGGGGAGGUGUGCAUCUAGUGCUUGCAAGAUUCUAUUCCUUUGACUUCACGGAGUUUUUAUAAAAGCUGUGUGUGCUGAAUGUUUUCUUAGGGCUUCAAACUGAUGUUGAUAUAUUGAUACAUUAUGCGUUCCAUUCGUUUUUUAUGAAUGCCAUCAAUAUUCACGACUGAUGCAACCAAUGAAGAGUUUAAGGGAAGAGUAAAUUUUAAUAUUCUUGGGAACUUGGCUGAAGAUCCAAUUUACCCACUUUGAAGAAUGGGUUAUCUUUUUAGGAUCUAGAUUAUUUAUUAAAAAUUUAAAUUCUACAUAUUUCAGUAGACUUAAAAUUUAUGGUCCUUUAGUAGCUUAUGGGUAUUGGGUAAACUGACAGUGGAGGACACUUCGGCCAUUGUUUGAGACCAUAGGCUUAUUCGUUGACUUUGUUGGAAGGGCUUUUAAUUGGAAUGUUGGGAUUCAUCACCUCAAUUUCCUGUCAUAAGAUAUUCUGGUCCCCAGGGCUGAGCUGAAGCCCAGUACAUAUUGCAUGUACUAUUGUACACACACCCCACAGACCCAGGUUUGUUAGGCCAUCCAUGAAGGAGUUAUUUAAGUUAUUCACUGGUGAAUUUUUUAUGCAUCUUUGUCUUGGAAGUGAUGUCCUAAACCUUUGUGUCAUAUGUGGCUUUCUUCCUGACAUUUUACUCUCAUCUUCCAUUGCAUGUGGUAGUUUCUUUUCCCGUCCUUGAAUAUACACCAAUGUGAAAGUAAGAGUUCAACCUGUCCUCCCCACUGUCAAAUAACAUUCAGUGUUAAAAGCUUGUGUUCAAAUUUUGUGUGAAUGAGUUUGCUGCUAUUAGUUAAAAGAGUUCAGGACGUUUUUACUGAGUCAGAAGCUAUUUUAGUGUACUUCUAAUGGAUUUCAAAAGCUGGGGAAGUGCUUUGUUAUCUGGAAGCAUGCUCUAUGUUGUUGGAAUAUUGAGUUGCUGAAUUUGUGCACUAAAUAGGGCUCUAGGAUACAAUCAGUGCAGAAAAUUAGAACAGAAGUAGGGAAGAAGAAAUUUAGAAACCGUUGCGUCCAUGGGGAUACUAUUUUGUACCAGUUCUCCUUUUCAAACUGCCAACAUAGAGAUCUGAUACAUCACUCCUACAGUGGACAACCUUGCAUAUUCUCCAAAUCUCAUGUUAUUUUCAUAUGCAUCAAUAACUAUCUGUAUUCUUCUACUUCCAUCAGUUGCAGCUAUAGAAGACUUUUAUAUCCUGAUUGCUGAUUGAAACCUGAAGAAUUCCAUGAGAACAGAAAUAUCUGCUACCAAAUCGAACUAUUGACUUUUAAAGAUGAGAAUCCCUCUGAAUCCUCCUAUGGAGAUAAUAGAAUUAUGUGUCAAAUAUAGAUAAUCUUUUCUUACUGGCUAUUCUAUGUAAACUGUUUUCUCUUGGAAAAUAGUGGAGAAAUGAAGUGAGUCUGGCUAGCUGGUGGUGAUCUAUCGUCAUUCUUUACUUUUUCUUUUCAUUAAUUUUUUUUCAAAAUUUGAUUGACUUUUAGCACUUCUGAUCUUAGAACAAUGCUUCUUUCUACAACUUUUUUGCUAACCCGGUUCUAUCUUGAUAGCUGUAUUAAUUUAUGAAAUCUUGGUUAAAAGAGUGACAAUUAGCACAAGGAUAAUCAGAAAUUUAUUGUACAACAGAUGGUCCAGGGGCAGAAUUCUGACAUAAUUGUUUGAUAUGAUUAUUAGUAGAGAAAUUGCAGUUUACUGAAAUGUAAUUCUUGAAGAUAAUAGCCUAUGGCUUUUGUAUACUUAUGCUACUGAACUUGUGCAGAAUCAGCAUGCAUGAUAUUUCUUCACCAUCUUUUCUUUUUUCUUUUUCUUUUUUUUAUAGAUGAUCUGAUUGAUUCAUCCAAUUUCAUAUAUCUGAACUAUCUUAAUGGGAAACCUGCUUGCAUCUAAAAGGUGUAAAGUGUAGAAAUCAGCUUGGUGUCUUGUUACCUGUAAUUGCAGUACAUUUUCUUACAUACCUUGUUGUGUAUGUAAAACUAAAUAAGUCAAUUCAAGUUGCGUUUAUGUUCUGUGAGAUGUUGACCAGUUAUAUGGUUAAAUACUCUCUGCAGUAUUUCAGAUCUUUAAGUGGUCUAAAUGCUGAAGGUUUUGAAAUUUUGGAUGCGAAUAUGUCAGCUAAAGGGAUGAGAAUAUCAGUAAGUACAGAGGAGGAACUUGGCAGCAGUAUGGAGAGGAAAGAUGCAGCCGAUGACUUUGGAGAACCAGGUAACAGUUUAAGUCUGGUAUUUUAGUUUAUACACAUGCUCGUACAGAUAAUGGAAAUUAACAUGUAUAACGACCUGCAAAUCUACAAAGAAAAUGAAGAGGGUGGGGAUUUGUCUGUAAGAACAGGUAAUACGACUUGUAUGCAUGAAAAAAUAAGAACAAGUUUAUUAAAACAACUAGAGCCAGAAUCUAAUGGAAGAUUCUGAACUUUUUUGGUCAGUGGCUGUUUGGCUUCUUUACCUUUUGGUUCUGAGCCAGAGACUCCACAACUAGACUAGAGCAAAUUUUGCACCAUGGCAUGUCCUGCUUGGCAUGGUUAUUUUUUUCAUGGCAAUAUUGACUGCUGUGACCGGCUUGAUUGAGAAAUUCAUCUUCACGGGCUUAAGAAGGGAGCAAGAAGCAUUGAUAGUCAACUUCACUGGCCUGCUCAUCCUCCUCUUUGGAGUAUCUGUUGGCUUCAUUGUUCUUCUUCCAAGAAGUUAUUAAAGUAGUCGUCAUUGGAAAAUCUUGUAAUGUUUGGUUAUAUAUAGUUUGGCCCAAUUUUGCAGCUGGACUAAAACAUUGUUUAAUCUUUUGGCCCAAUAUUGCAUCUCUAGCUAGAGUAAUGAUUCCCAUUUUUGUUACAAGUGCUCUGAGUAUUUGAAUAGUUUAUUUGGUCAAAUAGUUCUUUUAAAGCCUGCAUUUUAUGCAUGAGAUUUGUGACAUUGGCAUAUGAACUUUUUUGGGACUAUUGGAGCAGGAAAAUGGCCAUCAUUUGUGUGUACUAGUUCUAAAAAGGGGCUCAGUUUUGGACUGAACCAAAACUCUCAGUGCAGGUUUGAAAAUAAGCUACUAGCUAGUAGAUCAAGUUGAUGAUUUGAACAACAAAAUCUUGCCCCCUUCAAUCUGCAAUUUGGCUAUGUCAAAUCAGUAUACUGUGAAGUUAAUUCUGAAAAUUUCUUAAAGCUCUACAAAAAUGCUGCUAUACAAUAAUCAGUUUAUGUACUGGUCAAGGAAUGGCCCAUAAGCUUGAGCCUAUAUAUCUGUGAACAUUUUUCAGUACUUGAGACCAAUGAGCAUUAAGACCUGAUUUACAAUAUUUUCUUUUCCUGGAUCACAUUCUUCUCUUUGAAUUCGGCCUAGUAUACAAUAGUUCACAUACCCUGUUUGCAUUAUCAUCUUUAAUCACAGAAAACCAUCAUAAUUGAGGAAAAUUUGAAGUGUUGAUUGAAAAGCAAAGAACUAUAGGGAGAUUUUCACCAAAGAUGCAGUUGUAACCACGUCUGCAGGCUAUCACCAACAGCCAGGAGACCCCGCCACAAAUUCCAAAAUCAAUAACAUUGCCAGAAAGACAUAUACUUUCCACUCACAGAGUUUCUAAUCUACACACAGGACUUCAAAUCCAUGUGUGAGCCCACGAGUUCUAUAAAAGCUUGUUCAUUUAAUUAAACUGUAACAAUACAAAAUUGCAUUAGACUGAUCCCAUAGAAUUAUCCCUGCCAAGAAUUGCAAAAUUAGAAAGUAAUCAGCAUCACUUCGCUCUAACAUCUGUUCUGACUAAAAUGGUGCUGCAAAUCUACCUAUAGCACACGAAUUUGGGAAAGAAAUUCAAGAUAUGAAAGCCACUCUACGGUCAGACUUCGGCCACACCAAAUAGUACAACUUGUGUCUGAAAUAUCAGUAGCGUAACCUUUUUUCCGCAUCAUAGUUUGCCGAUAUAAACUACACAUGUAUGAAAGAUCAGCAUGAGAUAAAACAAAGUUCAUUACCUUUGCAACAGCAAGUGAGCUUAAGAACAUAUUACAACACAAUUCAGGUGACUGAAUGAACAGAAGAGAACCAGCUUAAAAGUUCCUGUCAAUUACCAAUGCCAAACGUACUAGUGCAUGUUGAUUACUCACAGUAAACCAGUUCAUUGGCAGCUCUAACACACACAGAUUUAUGUGAACAAGUAUACAAACUCUGAAAAAGUAAAGUGCGGUUGUAAAACGAAGCAAAGUAAAAGAAUGAAAGAUAUGUGAUUGGAUCAUAACCCGGGAUAGAUGCUAAAAUCCAGAUCAACUAUGAAAUGAAGACCAGAAAUUCAGCACUACCAAGAAGAAUGAAACAAAAAAACUCGCAUUCACCAACCUUUCAUAUAUAAUCUGCGCAGAAGGAUUUUGGGAACGUACGCUAAGAGCUGCCUUCUAAAACAUAAAAAAAAUCCCUCCUCCUUCAUCCGGACUUGGGACCGGCUGUGUGAUGUAUUGUGUCAACACAGGUGGAGUUAAAAAAUUUCAUGUCUCUAGUGCCAAGCAUGAUAAGCCAUCUCUUCGCGAUCAUAGACAAGUCACCUUGGACAAUGAGUACCCCCUAUGCCAUUGAAUGCGAGGAAAAAUUGACGAAUACUCCCACUCAAAAACAUGUAGAGCAGACUGUAUCAAAUAGCAAUAAUUGGUUAAUUCCCAGUCUUCAGCAUGUGUGAGGGAUGAAAUGUCAUCUAGCCUAGUAAAGGAAAUUUGUUCGAGCAUAACAAUUUGAUAUGAAUUCAACACUAAUUGGCCCAUAUGACAAUUAUAUUAAAGAAAGAUGGCGUGCUCACAGGAGUUGGGUUAAAAACGUCCACAAGACUCGUCUUAACUUUCCAUCCACAACCAAGUUUUUUGGUUUAAAAUCCCAAUAUACCUAAAAGUCGAAGGUCCAAGUGAGAUCUAGGAUUGCUCACCAGAACCAGGGCGUUAACAAUGGUAACGACAGUGGUUGGCCUGCACUAUAGUUGCGGUGGGGUUCCCCCCAUUGUCCCUUGAUGUGUGAGUGCAAGGACUUGGCUGCAGCUUGUUAAUAGAUUUUGUUUUUCGACUGCAAAGCUGUCCCUCUUGUGGCAAUUGCAAUCCCAAUUUUUUUCAGAAGCACCUUUUUUUUUGUGCUAUUUUGUGCUCUUUUUGCACUUAUUCAUUUUUAGGUCUCCUGAGAAUCCAACUGGCUCACUCAGGAGAUGUUUGGCAUGGGAACCACAAGUGCACCCUCACUUAUUAUUUGGUAUAGCGAGACUCCCGACUUGGCUUACUCUGCAAUAACCGAACAGGGAACCACAACAGAUACAUGGCACUAACCUGCCCCUAAUUGCUUUAUCGCCUCACCAACUUAUUAAGUAUAUUAAGAUGUCAACUCCAAUCACUAGGCGCAGACUUCAAGUUUUAACUCAUACUUCUUUCAGUUUCUAAGCCAAGGUAGAAAUGGAAAGAGGCCAAUUAGGAUUUCAUUCACAUCAAAAGCUACACCGUCGCAUUAUCACACAAUUACAGGGCUAGUUGCUAUACGUGCAAAGGUGUGUGAAGUAGCCUUAGACAGAUUCCCAAGUAUAGCUAACUUUGAUGCCUGAAAGUGGAAGUACCUAUCAUUUUCACCUCUGCUAUUUAGGCACAUUUAUAGGGAACUCACUUAGACACACUAAUAGGAACUCAACUGAUCAUCAGUAGCUAUUAAAAUGCACACAAACAGUUAAAAAGUUAAGAACAUAGCAUUUAUAGGCAGGCUAAAUGGGGCAAAAAAGAAUCAAGUGCUAUUUAAUUAACUAAAGGACAGAUUUAAUUAUUGAUCGUGUAGAGUAUUUAUGAGACAUUAGAGUGGCAGAUUUAAAAUUAUGCAUUACCCUUUUUUUCUUUUGAAAACAAUAACACCUCAUGCAUAGUUGAUAGAUACGUGUUAGGUAGAGCUAAGCGAAUUUUCUAUUUUUGGGGAAAAAUAAGACAUUCAAUGCCUUUUUUUCAUUUUUUAAAUUUUUUCUUUUUUUAAAAAAAAAUUCUUUCCCUACUAAUAAAAAAGUAAAGGAAUAAAGAAACCAAAAUCCUUUAGUUUUUUGGAUUUUUUUUUCAAUUUUUCGUUCUUUACUUGCAAAUAAAAAAGUAAAAAGGAAACCAUAAUCAUUUUUCAAUUUUUUCUUUUUUUAAAAAAAUGCUUUUUCUACUAAAAAAAGUAAACAAAAAAAAGAAACCAAAAUAUUUUUGUGCUUUUUUGGAUUUUUUGAUUUUUUUGGUCUUUUUUGUUUUUGUCAAUGUUUUUUGUUCUUUGCUUGCAAAUAAAAAAGGAAAAAAGAAACGAAAAUCUUUUUUCACUUUUUUUGAUUUUUCAAGUUUUUUUAAAAUUCUUUUCCUACCAAAGAAAAGUAAACGAAAAAAAAAGAAGCCAAAAUAUUUUUGUGCUUUUUUGGAUUUUUUUUGUCUUUUUUUUCAAUGUUUUUUGUUCUUUGCUUGCAAAUAAAAAAGAAAAAAAAAGAGACGAAAAUCUUUUUUCACUUUUUUGAUUUUUCAAUUUUUUUGAAAAUUCUUUUCCUACCAAAGAAAAGUAAACAAAAAAAAGAAGCCAAAAUAUUUUUGUGCUUUUUUGGAUUUUUGGAUUUUUUUGUCUUUUUUUUUCAAUGUUUUUUGUUCUUUGCUUGCAAAUAAAAAAGAAAAAAAGAGACGAAAAUCUUUUUUUCACUUUUUGAUUUUUCAAUUUUUUUUGAAAAUUCUUUUCCUACCAAAGAAAAGUAAACGAAAAAGAAGAAGCCAAAUCUUUUUUGCUUUUUUGGAUUUUUUGAUUUUUUCAAUGUUUUUUUAGCAAAUAAAAAAGAAAAAAAGGAGGAAACCAAAAUCUUUUUUUCUUAAUUUUUAAAAAAAUUUUGUCUUUUUGGUUUUUUCAUUGUUUUUUGAAAUUUAUGAUGAUUCUCUUCCUAGCUACUACUAGGCUAAUUACUUAGCUAAUAAUCAGAUAAACCAGUGAAAGAAAUUGAGAUUUUCAAACCUGUUGUUGCGCUUUGCCCGCCAAAUCCUCAGCAACUCUGGACAGGGUCCGCAAAUUCAGUUUCACGAUCGUAUCCACAAAGGCACACGUCUCUUCUUUCGUGUUGGCCUCGGCUGCAUCAAUCACGUAAGUCUCCACAACCACCGUCUCAUUGCCGCCAUUGGGGUGUAGGCUCAUGAUCGAGCGAUAGUUCGACAACCGGUGGUCGCCGCCGACAAUGCUGAACCCGAAGAUGCGCUGAUCAUGAUCAAGAAUCUCGAGCCGCUCGAUGCUAUGGGAGGCUGGAAGUCCUGACGCGACAUCCACACGGCGUAAGCAUCCGACUUGGUUCGCCUGGCCAUCUAUGAUUCUGCAGGAUCUCACGAAUGGCUUGUAGCGUUGAGGAUUUUCAAAGUCGGAAACCAGAGCCCAAACGACGGAGGCAGGAGCUGCGAUAGUUUGGAACAAAGUAGAUGAACAUUCGUUCGGCUGCAAAACAGGGUUGUGAUGGCUGGAAACGGUUGUGGGAAGCUGAAAAACCAUGGCUGUGGGAAGGGGCGUUGGAGGGUUGUUUAUCAGUGAAAAAGAUGGAAGGAGUUUCUGUGAGGAAGUUGGAAGAAUCGUAACGUGUAUUUAUAUAUAUAGGCGUAGGAGAAAUUGCUCCAAUUCCUAAGAGCAGAAAGGACUAUUACCAAACUAAGGAAGGAUUAGGAUUAUGAUUUCCUAUGUGAAAAAGAAUUGGAUAUCAGGUUCAAAGACUCCUUAGACGUUAGAACUGGCGGUGGCGCAGGCUGGCUGGAGAACCAUCUAAAUUUGGGUUAAUUGAAUUACGCCAUUAACUAUUGGGUAAAAUAUAGAAAUGCCCCUUGAGAUCAAGUAAACACAUAGAAACACCCCCUAUAGUUUUUAAACAUAUACUCCGGUACCUCAAGGUUAGAAAUUAUUUUAGAAAGCGAUGGGAAUUGUUUGAACGGGUUUGAAAUACACGCGUUUCUUUGCGAGUAUUUGUACUGGAAACAAAUAGAUUUUUAAUUGAUAUACCUAUUAUACUCUUAGAAUUAUAAUACAAAAAAGUCCCCUGUGAUUAAUCAAACCUACAAAAAAAGCCCUUAUGGUUUCAAAUCAUACAAUACAAUAUCUCGUGAUUUUGAAUUAAUGUGAAAAUCGGCAAAAGUCAUUUAAAUUAAUGAGUUUGAGAUUCCUUGACUUGAAAAAUAAUUUUUUUAAUUCAAAAUUUUAGUUGACAUACCUAUUAAAUACCUUAGAACUCAUAAAAUUUUCAAAAACAACCCAAAACUCCCAAUACAACUCACCUUUAUUUCUAUAUAUAAAAUAAAUAAAUAAAAAUUCUCAAAUAAAACUCACCUUAUUUCUAUACAUAAAAUAAAUAAAUAAAACUUCCAAAUAUAGCUUAUGUUAUUCCUAUGCACAAAAUAAAUAAACAAAUAAAAGCUACAUGUAACCAUAGGGGGCUUUUUCCGUAGAUUGGCUUAAUCACAAUGGAUUUUUCCGUAAGUUUACUUAAUAGGAUGGUUGUUAGAAGGUCUUUUAUUGCUUAUAUAUAUAUAUAUUAGGGUAAUAAAACUUCCAAAUAUAGCUUAUGUUAUUCCUAUGCACAAAAUAAAUAAAUAAAUAAAUAAAAGCUACAUGUAAUCAUAGGGGGCUUUUUCCGUAGAUUGGCUUAAUCACAAUGGAUUUUUCCGUAAGUUUACUUAAUAGGAUGGUUGUUAUAAGGUCUUUUAUUGCUUAUAUAUAUAUAUAUAUAUAUUAGGGUAAUUAUGUCAUUUCCUCUGCCUCAACUGGUUUUGACGAUUUUCGUUGCUAUUUCAAAUUAUUUCAAACUAUGAGAGGUCAAAAUGUAUGAUUCGAAAUCAUAAUGGACUUUUCCGUAGGUUAGCUUAACCACGAGGGACUUUUUUGUAUUUUACCCUACUUUUAAAGAUUGAACAUUUUCAUUUUUUUUCUUGUUUUGUUAGAAGCAUAUAUGUUACAAGUUUGAACAUAACAAUUCAAUAUUUUGAUUAGAGAUCUUUUUUUGGGAUAGUUUAAGUUAUAAAAAAUAAUAUAUUUGUAGAAAAGAAGUCAAUUUGCACUAGUAUGCCAAUAUACUGGCUUUUUUGGAUUGCCAUUCUCUGGCCAAAAAUCUCAUGUUUUUUGGGAAUAUUUCCUUGAUACAUUUUUCAAUGAUCUUUUUACUUCAUAUAAAUUACAUCUAAAAAAGUGUUACAAUAUACCCUUCCAGAAAAUGCAAUCCAAACAAUAUACUUCCAUGAUCAAUCAUAGUAGUUAUAUUGCGAUUAGGAACCUUUUUUUUGCAGUUAGAAUAACAAAAACAAAAAAAGAAAAAUAGAACCUAGACAACAAAAUCGAUUAUGUGACUUGACUCUCAUGAUUACUUGACAUAAUUCUAAUCAAGGUGAAGAUAACUUGUAGUAUUUUGGGUAAUUUUUUUCAAAGGUCAAAAGGUUGUUUGGGUACAAAAGAGUAUGAGUACUAAACUAUAGGUUUAAAUUUAAUUUCAUUUAAAUCAAAAAAGGGAAGGAUUUAGGCUUGUCAUUGGGCCAUGUGAAGUGAGGUUUAACAAACUCAGAUUUGGCUCAUAUAGUUAGUACCAUUUUUGUGUUUCGAAUUAUGAGAUUUGAAGUGAUAAAUAUGAAACUUAUACUUGACUUACAAAAUAUUCAGAUUAUAAGUUUAAUUUUGACUUAACUCAAGCUCACUUAUAACUCCUUAACUUCCUUAAUAUAAUUACUAUAAUUAUUAAGUUUUAAACUAAUUUGAUAUCUGCAGAACCACAACAUUAAAACUAUAUAGAAACCAGUAACAGUUCAUUAAAAAGUAUAUAAUACCAAGAAUUUUUCAACAAUAAUAUAUCCAAUUAAUUCUAUGUACAUAGAAAAUAAUAAUAAAACACAAUCAACAGUCAAUACAUCUUCAAAGGUCCUCAAUUUGCUCAUACUGAGAUUUGUCCUACUAAAUCUUUGACAUAAUUUUGUAUAUUUAAUAUUCCUUAUGUAUAUAUAUAUAUAUCAAAAUAUAAAUAUAUUAUAUAUAAUUAAUAUAUAUGCAUAUUAAAGGGUCAAGCCUAUAUCGGGUUUGAUCCUAAUAAGAUCCAAACUCUGCUCACAUUUAAUUCAGAACUAAUAUUUAGAUCCAAUUUUAACCCAACUCAAUGAAAGGUCAGGCUCAUUUGACUUUUUCUUGGAGCCGAGUUCAAACUGACUCGGCCCCAGGCCCCAGUAAUAGUCCUAGAAGGAUUGCCACAGAUUUUGAUGCUAAUUCAUUUCCCUCUCAAAAUGGGUAAGAAAGGGAAUUUGGGGAUCAGACGAUUAGAGUUGGGGCUUGCUUGGUUGGAUAGGUUAAUUUGGUAAUUUCGGUUAUGACAUGUGUUUUAUUAGAUAUUAGGAAUAUGUGAAUUUGCCAAAACUUAUAUGUCUUUAAGAAUUUAAAUCUUUCUAUUACUGCUUCUCAAAAUUUUCCAAAGGGAGAAACGCAAAUUUGAUUCUCAAUGUUUGACUUGUAGAUCAAACUGGUCUCUAAUGUAUUAGCAAAACAAAUAUGGUCUCUAAAUUUUCUGAUUUUAACUUUACAUUUUUAGUCCCUAAUUUUUGAAGUUUCAAUCAAUAUGGUCUCUUAAGUUUCUAGUUAUUGUUAGGAGUUUUAAAAAGAAAAAAAAAAGGUGUGAAUUGAUUUAAAGAUUUGACAAAUGUCAUCCUAAAUCCCUAUAAAUUUCAUAAAAACACUUUAUAUCGAGAUAAUAACAUCGUUGAACUUAAAGAGUUUUAUUGCUAUUUUUUGAAUAAGUUACAAUCAAAUGACAAUAUAUACAUAAUAUAUAAAUAAAAAAGGAAAAUUCUAGUAUUAAUAUAAAAUUUAUUAUCUUUCAUGCCAGUUCUUGCAUGGUUUGUGCAUAUAGGCCUUAAAUUGUUAUAGUUAGGAAUUGUUAUAAAAACUAGCAAUCAUAGAUACUAAUAUGAAGUGCUUUUACUCAUUAUGGGUUAAUUAUCAGUUAAUUACUAAUAGUAUAAAACAAUAAUUACAUAUAUAAUACUAAAUUUGAGACCAAUUAUACCAAAGGGAAGAAGUAUAUGAGACAUUAGUGGCAUGAAUAAAUGAAGUAAAAAAAUAAAAAAUUUUAAUUAGAAUUGCUAGUACCCAUUUAAGACAAUUGCGGUGUAAUUCUUAUCUUAUUUUAUUCUAAUAUCCUCAAUAUCACUAUUGAAAACUUAAGCGACUAAAAUGAUUAAAAUUUCAAACAUUAGGGUUCAAAAGUACAAAGUAAAAAAUUGUUAAAUAAUUUGACCACUAGUCAUUAUUGAGUUUUCAUCAUUGUUGAAUGUACCUACUACCAAAAACUUUGAGAACCAAAUUUAUUUUGGUGGAAACAUUAGAGACUAAUUUAGCACAUAUGCUAAAAAUUAGAGACUAAAACUACAAUUCUCCCUUUUUCCAAAAGAAAAAAUCUACACUUUUUUUUGUUUUAUUUUUGUGCACACAUGUGAUUUUAUUUUUUCACCUUUGAUAUCACACAACGGUCCAAACGGACUGACAUCAGUUAAUAGAUUCAAUUGUUAAAAUGACUUUGUGAAUUGUGAGGGUAGUAAUUUGUAGAAAAAUUCUAUUUGGUAGAAUUUGGAUAAAAGAAGGGUGUGUUUGAUAAAAUUAAAAUUUGAAAACUGAAGCUUGAAGUUCGAAUUCCAUUAAGUUAAGUGGUUGAAUUGUUAUUAGGCCCUAUUUGAUAAUCCAAUUCAACACUUAAAGUUAAUGGAUUUAGAUAUUAACAUGUUCAAACGUAUUUGAUAACCAAAAAUUGCACAUCCGAAUUAAUUAAAUGAUACUAAAUUUUCUAGGCAAAACUUGCUUCAAAAAAUAAUAUGAUACUGAAUUUUCUAGGCAAAACUUACUCUAAAAAAUAAGUGAUAAGUUAUUCACUUAUCACUUAAUGUGAUAUACAUUUAAAUGUAUCACAUUAGUACUUAACAAUUCAAUAAUUUAAUAGAUUCAUAUUUCAAAUUUCGGAUUAAAAUUUCAAAUUUCAAUUUUAUCAAAUGCACGCUAAAUCCAAUCUAUUUGAGUGUAUUUUAGAGUAAAUGAAUAACUUAUUACUUAUAUUUGAGAGUAAGUUUUGUUUAGAAAAUUCAACGUUACUUAAUUAAUUUGGGCAUUCUAUUUUUGGUUGUCAAAUGUGUCUCAAGAUGUACAGAUCUGAACUUAUUAAAUUUAAUUGCUGAAUUGGGUUAUCAAAGAGGGUCUAAAUCAUUUAGUAUAAAUCACAUUUUAUUAGUAAAGUAAGUGGAAGAACUAGGGUAUAAUACCUCAUUUGCCAUACAAAAGAGGGGGCGAAAUAUAAAUAUAAAUCUCAUUUGCCAUACAAAAGAUGAUCAAUAAUACUGGGAAUGAACACCGAUAGACUCAGAAAAGAAUGGCUGAAAAACUUAUGACAGCAAAAACAGAAGAAAAAGCAAAAGAAUUGGAAGAAGAAGCAAUGAAAGUGGAACUGAAAACCAAGGAGAAGCUGAAGCCCUGGGAGCAGCACUCUGCUGUGAUCACCAUUCCUCGUUUUGACUACAACGCCCCUUCUUCUCUCCUCAGUCAUUCCCACUCCGGAUUCCUCAUCACCUGCCCCAUCAGUAAGGCCUCUCAUCCCAUCUCUUCUGUCCAGAAAGUUAUGCUCUUUUUUUGUUAUUUUUGUACUUUAUUGGCAUUUAUUUAUGUAAUUUGCAUCUGGGUUUUUGAAAAUUUUCAAUUUGAUUGUUUGGGAUAGCCUGGGCAGUGUGGUGAUUGAUAAAAAUGCUUCCUUUGUUAUAUAGAGAGGGAGAAGAGUGCAACAAAAGAAGCCAUGUCAAUUCUUGAAAAGGUAAUGAAUUCUGCUGGUUUUGUCUCUUGUCAGUUCUCUGGAAUAAUGUCAAAAUAAGGAAAUUUUAGAUAUAAAGAAAAUUCAUGCUGACUUGAGAAUCAGGACGGUUAAAUUGGUUUAGUGAACUUGGUUUUAUGGGAUUCUUAAAUUCUGGGCAAGUUUGGGAACUUGGGGUAUUUGUAAGUGAAUAAGACUGUAGCGGACUUGAAUUACUGGUAUAAUGUGUUCGCUGCUGUAAUUGUUUUGGUUUAAGAUGAAGAGUAGCAAUGUUACGGAAUUGGUUUCUAAAGAAAGAGAUGUUUGAAUGAUUAAGCAUAAGUAAACGGCAAAUGGGAUGGCGACUAAUUGAUAAAACUGAUGAAGUUUGGAGAACUGGGUGAGCCAUGCAAAAGGUAGGCACAGGCAUGUUGUGUUGUUCAAAUGCAUUAGGUAUUGAGGGGGGAAAAACAAACAAACUAAAGUUGUUUACUGUUUUAACGCGAUAAAUUUUUGGAAAUGAAGUGUAAUGCUAAUGGUCUUCAUUUGUGAGAAUAAUGGCAAAAUUAUGCACGCAACACUGUUUCCAUCUGUUGAACUUAGUCUAGGAAAAACGUUUAUGAUUUUUUGGUUCUAAACUUGAUUAAGAUUUCUGUUUGCAGACAAACAGAAGGAUAAGAUGUCAAUUAUCCUGCCAAUAGGUUAUUAACUUCUGAGUCUAGUAGCUGGCUUCCAAUUUUUUUGCUUAUGAUCUUCCACUUCAUCCAUUUAUUUGUAGCCGGUGCAUUUUUAGGUCACAGAUUAGUAUGGUUUAGUCCUUGUUUACAAGUCUUAUUCAACUUGUUUUGCUUACACUGUCAUUUGUCACUUGGUUCAAUCGAGUGACUGCUUAAGUCUGCUGUGCCUUCUUGAGUAAAUGACAUGAUUCGACAUCCAAAAUGCAACACUGCUUAAAUUCUUUAUCACUCAGCUUUCCAGUAUAUAUAUAUAUAUGAGUUACCAAUUUCCUUGAAUUUGAAGUUUCUUAUGGAUAUAUUAACCUUAUCUUAAGCUUGAGCACAUAACUCAUACAGGUUAAGCACAAAUUCACCUUACUAAUAUGGAACCUUUGAAUUGUUUUCUUUGAAAAUAAAUCAGAAACAAUAGAUAGAAGAUAUGCAAUAUUUUCUGCCGUAAGAAAAAGUUUUUAAACAUAAAAGCAAUUUAAUAAGUGCAUGGUUAUAUUUCUCUAAAGAAUGACAUGGUCUUAAGUGAUCAUAUUUCUGGAAGGAGAAGACCAUUAGUCUAAAUUUGUUAGGCAUUUGAGACAUCAGAUAUUAUAUGCAUGAAAUAAAUAGCUGAUUGCCAAUCAUCUAUUUUGAGUUCUCAAGAAAUAGAUAUAUAAGCUUCAGUUUUGCUUUUAACAUUAAAAAGGCAUUCUUCAUUGCAGCAGCUUUGGAUAAUUGUUUUUUAUUCAUACCUAAAGGGACUGUAUAGGCAUGAGAUGCUGCACUCUUCUAGGGCCCAAAUAAUAAGUGGACAAUUUAGAGUUAGCUUAAAAUCUUGUGGCAGACAACUUGUUUGGAAUUGUUUUUGGAUAUAUUUACACCAGAAGCCAAGCGUUGCUGAGGCUUAUCACUAUGUGAAAGAAAUGAAUGAGUUUCAGUUGUAUUUGAAGUCCUCUCCAAAGCCUGUAUCAUUUUUAUUUCUUGGACCUCUCUUGUUGCAAAAGGAAGACAAGUAAUGAACCAACUUGGAGAAUGGGGAGGAGUGCAUCUGGUGCUUGCAAGAUUCUAUUCUUUUGACUUCAUGGAGUUUUUAUAAAAGCUGUGUGUGCUGAAUGUUUUCUUAGGGCUUCAAACUGAUGUUGAUAUAUUGACACAUUAUGCGUUCUAUUCUUUUUUAUGCAUGCCAUCAAUAUUCACGACUGAUGCAACCAAUGAAGAGUUUAAGGGAAGAGUAAAUUUAAAUAUUCUUGGGAACUUGGCUGAAGAUCCAAUUUACCCACUUUGAAGAAUGGGUAAUCUUUUUAGGAUCUCGAGUUAUUUAUUAGAAGUUUAAAUUCUACAUAUUUCAGUAGACUUAAAAUUUGUGGUGCUUUAGCAGCUUAUGGGUAUUUUAUGUGUUAUGGGUAUUGGGUAAACUGACAGUGGAUGACACUUCGGCUGUUGUUUGAGACCAUAGGCUUAUUCAUUGACUUUGAUGGAAGGGCUUUUAAUUGAAAUGUUGGGAUUCGUCACCUCAAUUUCCUGUCAUAAGAUAUUCUGGUCCCCAGGGCUGAGCUGAAGCCCGGUACAUAUUGCAUGUACUACUGUACACGCACCCACAGACCCAGUUUUGUUAGGCCAUCCAUGAAGGAGUUAUUUAAGUUAUUCAUUGGUGAAUUUUUUAUGCAUCUUUGUCUUGGAAGUGAUGUCCUAAUCCUUUUUGUCAUAUGUGGCUUUCUUCCUGACUUUUUACUCUCAUCUUCCAUUGCAUGUGGUAGUUUCUUUUCCUGUCCUUGAAUAUACACCAAUGAGAAAGUUAGAGUUCAACCUAUCUUCCCCACUGUCAAAUAACAUUCAGUGUUAAAAGCUU